rnacentral:lncRNA from 1 species
ACCGAACAUUUAACCGAGUCAUUGCCAAUAACUUGCUUACUGAAUCAAUUCUUUGUUUUCACAUAUAGUUCUUGCUUCUUGUUUUUCUUCAGCAGUUAAUAUUAACACAGAUGGGGCAAAUUAGCAGCUUUAAGUCAGUCAUGAUGGUGUUCGUUUUGGCAGCUUUUGCAAUGGCUGCUGCUUCAGCUCAAAGCACCGAGAUGGCCCCGGCACCAUCUCCUUCAUUGGACACCGGAGCAGCCUCUUCUCUUCCGGUUUCCGGUGCUGUUAUUGCAUCUUCGCUGUUUGUUUCUCUUCUCGCUCUCCUGAAGCACUAAGUCGUUUGGUAAUGGAAGAAAAUCAUAGUUAUUACUAAGAUAUUAUUUUCGAGGAUGAUUGGAGAUUAAUGUAUUGAAUUAUUCAUUUGUUCGUUUCAUAUUUCAUACUAUUAAUGACAUAAUAAUACUUAUUCUUUCUGUAUUCAUUUGGUUUUUCUUUUGAGUUCAAUCACUUGUAGUUUAUUAUUAUUAUUAUUUAAGUAGUAUGUUAAUUUCUAACGAGAACAAGUUAAGGCCUGAGUUGGUAUUAAAGUUGGACAAUCGGAACUUAAAAUUAUGAUUAGAUUACACUUGUUCAAAUAAUAAUAUAAAGUGAAAAUAUCUCCAAAUGGUUCAUUUAAUAUUUUUUUAGGUACUUAUUUACUUAAAUAUGUGACAAAUAGAACAGUAAAAAAUAAAUUUUCUUAAAUACUCUUUGAAUAAAAAUAAAUUUAUGUUAAAUUAUAUUAUUUUUAAUAAUAUAAUUAUAUUAUUUCUAUCUUUUCAAUAUUGAUAAUAUAAAAAAUAUAAUAUUAUUUGAAGAGAAAACAAUCACUUUUCAAUAUUGAUAAGAAAGGAGGAUAAUCUUAUUUAAAGGGAAUUUUAAAACUUUACUAUUGAUAAGAAAGGAGGAUAAUCUUAUUUAAAGGGAAUUUUAAAACUUUACUAUUGAUAAGAAAGGAGGAUAAUCUUAUUUAAAGGGAAUUUUAAAACUUUACUAUUGAUAAGAAAGGAGGAUAAUCUUAUUUAAAGGGAAUUUUAAAACUUUACUAUUGAUAAGAAAGGAGGAUAAUCUUAUUUAAAGGGAAUUUUAAAACUUUACUAUUGAUAAGAAAGGAGGAUAAUCUUAUUUAAAGGGAAUUUUAAAACUUUACUAUUGAUAAGAAAGGAGGAUAAUCUUAUUUAAAGGGAAUUUUAAAACUUUACUAUUGAUAAGAAAGGAGGAUAAUCUUAUUUAAAGGGAAUUUUAAAACUUUACUAUUGAUAAGAAAGGAGGAUAAUCUUAUUUAAAGGGAAUUUUAAAACUUUACUAUUGAUAAGAAAGGAGGAUAAUCUUAUUUAAAGGGAAUUUUAAAACUUUACCUCAUUCCGGUUGUACGAUCAUGCUUUAAAAUGUGUACGGGUCUCGUAUCAAUGUCCCAAAUAGUCUAAAUGUUUUGCUUACCAUAUUCUAAUUAAUAAUAAAUUGACAUUUUGAUGAUAUUUUAAAAAAGAUUCGAAAUUGAAAUGAAAAACAUCCAAGAUACAAUUAAAAUUGCUAAUUCUCUAGUAUCAAAGAUCUAAUUUACAAAUAAAUCAGAAUAUUGAAUUUGAAAAUUUGAUGUAAAAUAAAAAAUUAAAAAAAAAUGGUUGAAAUGGGAUCCAGUUGAGAUUUUGAGAUUUUAAUUUCUUAUUGUCUCUUAAUCAGUUAAAUGAAACUGUUUAAAAACUAUUAAAUCAAGCACCUCUAGGGGCAGAAGAGCUUGAGUUUAUUUGCCAAGAUUAAGGAUUAAUUUCAGUUUUGCUCUUCAAUUUGUAAAAACAUCUGCUAAGCCCACGCUCUAAUUAGUUGCCACCAAUUUAAAGAAAAAAAUUACGAGAUAUGCAAUUUUGUUUUAAGAAAUGUUAACUAAUUAUUUUUUAUUUGAUACAAGAAAAUUGCAACAGCAUGCCUACAGAUUCUUAUAAAAAAAAAUAAAAGAAUGAGUCAUCAAUGGGCCCGUUUAAUGGAAAUUAAGAUUUUUUAUAGAUUUUUUUUCUAAGUAGUAAAGAAGAAAAACCAAAUGAAUAAAGUGAAAAAAAAAGAUGAAAUAUUAUUAAUUAAUAAUUUAUUGAUAAUACAAAUAUUGAUAACAAACAAGCAAAGAAUAAAUGCAAUACUAUAUCUCCAUUUCCUCAAAAUACAACCUCUUUUUUUACACACAACGAAUUUCCAUUCAAUGCUUCAGCAGGGCAAGAAGAGAUAAAACGAGGGAAGAACCAACGACGGCAAGAGAAACCGGCAGAGAGAAGCCGGCUCCGGUAUCCAUCGAAGGAGCCGGCGCCGGCGCCAUCUCGGUACUUUGCGCCGACACGGAAGCAGCCAUUGUAAAAGUUGCCAAAACCAACCCCAUCAUCGCAUUCACGGCCUUUUUUGAGCUACUAACUGUCGCCAUUGUAUUAUAUAUAUACUGUUAAAAGUGUUGAAGAACUUGAAACUGCUAUCCGAGCUUACAAGUGGUUCGGUUCAACGUUUGUGAUGGUUAUAUAUAAGAGCUUCUUUUCGUCUGAGGUAGCCACGUGCAGGUACAGCAAUGCCGCGUAUAUAUAUACGUGUUGGUGAUGAUUGGUCUACGGGUUGGUGAGCAGCGUAUAAACAUAUAUAAUCAUGAUAUCCAGUUCCAGUUUUGGAGGUCUGUAGGCACUGACAGGUUUGGUUAAUGGAGCAAUUAAGGCAGUACACUAACUGGUGUCUAGCUUUCAUUUGGGAAGUGAUUAUACGACUGCGAAAAAUAGAUCAGGAUCCUAUAUUAUAUGAUGACUCGUAUAUAAAUAUUUUUAUUUCUUGAAUAUUUGUCUAUUCACUCUUGAAACAAAUGGAAGACUACCGUGCAUUAGCACAAAUCCUGUGGGUUGAGUGUCUUUUUAACUCUUGGCUUUAUAUGUUUAUAAAAUUGUAGAUUAUACAAUACAUACACAUGGUGGCACCUCUUAAAACUUUCUUAAUGUGAUGAUUUUGCCAAGAAAUUAAUUUGUGCCGAACUGUCUUAUUAGCUAAACAUGUUGAGGUAAUGAAACAGUUUAAAGUUGGCAGAGCGAUGAGUUUUAUUGUAAGAUUCACUGAUAUUUUUAAUAUUAAAUUUAAUACAUCUUAUUAUAAGAAUUACUAUUGAUCCCAUAAUAAGACUACUGUUAUGUCACAUGACAAAACACUACUAGAUUGUCUCAGAUAACCUCACAAAAGUCCUUCUCUAUUGCCAAAUUUGUAUAGCAAAUUCCUAUUGAAUCAUGUAUCCAUGACCUUAAGUAAUUAAAAGGAAAUAAAAAUAAUGACAAGGAAGGAAUUAAGGGGAAAAAAAAUAACUCUCGUCUAAGAUUGUACUAUAUAAAUAGAUAAUAUAUUAAGAUUUUAACUAGUAGUGACCGACCAUUUUCUCAUCUAACAAAAGAGAGAUAGGUCAUUAGAGGAGUAAGAAUUAUCCUUCAAAUUAUUAUAAUACUUUUUUUUAUAAAUCAAACGCUAAGUUAGGCAUCAAAGGGUCAUCAAUAAAUAGAAGAUGGAUACUCAGAACUUUAGGAACGAAUCAUUUCUUAGAAAUGGAGGAUUUGGAGCCCCUUCAAUACUUUUUUUUUUUUUAAUUUAAUGAUCUUUACCCACUGUCAAUCUGUAGAUUCUAACCAAUUCAUUACACAUGCUUGUAAACUACAUAUUUAAGGCACGCAACCGUUUACCGACUUAACAAUGGUCAACAUCGUGAGUCCAACUACCACGUGCCAACGUGUUCCAGAUCCCACUCGGUCCCAUGUUUUUAGUUCCGACCAAUCUGAGUCUGUCAAGAUACGCUUUGGGCGAAAACCAAACCAAACACAACACGUUUGCCGUCACACAGAUCGAAGCGGGCUCCACAAGCCGCGCAUACACCUCAUGACCUCACUAUAUAAGCACCACCUAACAUUUAACGGAGCCAUUGCCCAUAACUUGCUUACUGAAUCAAUUCUUUGUUUUCAUAUAUAGUUCUUGCUUCUUGUUUUUCUUCAGCAAUUAAUAUAAAUAUAGAUGGCGCAAAUUAGCAGCUUAAAGUCCGUUAUGAUGAUGUUCGUUUUGGCAGCUCUUGCAAUGGCUGCUGCUUCAGCUCAAAGCACCGAGAUGGCGCCGGCACCGGCUCCUUCAUCGGACACCGGAGCAGCCUCCUCUCUGCCGGUUUCCAGUGCUGUUAUUGCAUCUUCACUCUUUGUUUCUUUUCUUGGCCUCCUGAAGCACUAAGUCGUUUGGUAACGGAAGAAAAUCAAAAUUAUUACUACGAUAUUAUUUUCGAGGAUGAUUGGAGAUUAAUGUAUUGAAUUAUUUAUUUGUUCGAUUAAUAUUUCAUACUAUUAAUGGCAUAAUAAUACUUAUUCUUUCUGUAUUCAUUUGGUUUUUCUUUUGAGUUCAAUAACUUGUAGUUAUUAUUAUUAUUAUUAUUAUUUAAUAUAUAUGCUUAUAAUUAGUGUGUUAAUUUCCAACGAGAACAAGUCGAGGCUUGAUUUGGUAUUGAGAUUAGAUAAUCGGAGCUUAAAAUUACAAUAAGGUUGUACUUGUCCAAAUAAUACUACGCAAGUGAAUCUUCAAAAGACUAAUUUAAUAUUACUUUUUAGAUAUUUAUUUAUUUAAAUGUGUGACAAAUAGAAGUGAGAAAAAAUAAGUUUUUUUUAAAGGUUCUUUAAAUAAAAAUAAAUUUAUGUUAUUUUAAUUAAAUUCCCCUCUCUAAAUUAUAUUAUUUUUUAAUAAUAUAAUUAUAUUAUUUCUUGAAAUACUAACUAGGCAACCCAAAAGGGGGGGUGAAUUGAGAUUUUAAAAAUUAAGCUAAGCAAACCACACAACAAUUUAAUCUAUUGCCUUAAUCAAAUUGAAAACAAUAAAUUCAAUCAUGCACAAUAUUAAAAGAGUAAGGGAAGAGAAAACAAACACAAUGAUUUUUACGUGGUUCGGCAAUCCCCGCCUACGUCCACGCCUCCAAGCUCACUGGGCUUGAGGAUUUCACUAAGCUAGCCUCCCAAGGCUUCAAACGUUUACAAUUGACUUCCAAGGUGUCAAUGGACCUUUACAACAAGAGAUUAUCCACAAUCUCUUAACCCAAAUGUAUCCUAACACUUACAAUCUUUUAACUUGAUUUUACAAAAAAGAUUACAAAUGAAUCUCUCUCACACAAUGUGUUUGAUCACAAGUGAAAGCUCAAUGUGUGAAUGAAUAAGAUGAAUACAAAGAUUUAAAGCUCAAUGAAAGUUGUAUUCUCAAUAUUUUGCUCAAUGAUGAUCGUUGGAAUCCUCCUUGUUUGAAUUGGAUUGAACUUAUUUAUAGUUGGAGCUGAAAAACUAGCCGUUACAAACUGUCUGCUUUUGUGUUCAAAAUAUAACAUUUGCAUCCAAAAACUUUGCAAUAAUUAAUGUUGGGUUUUCUAUAUUUCCAAAGCUCAUAGAGAGUAUUAUUGAGAUGAUGUCUAAUCAAUGUGGUCUUAACCAUUUUUUUUUAAUAGACCUAUCAUUUUUCUCUACAACUCCAUUUUGUUGUGGAGUUCUAGGUGAUGAAAAUUUAUAUUCAAUGGCAAAACCAUUACAAAAAAAAAACCUCAAAUGCACUGCUGUACCGUACAUCCGCCUUGGCCGUACAGCAGUAAUGUGAAAAUAAUGAUUUAUUUAAAAAGAAUAAAAACAAUCAAUUUCAUAAAAUCAUUUUUCCAUUAAAUAUAAAACAUUUAUAAUGUGAAAAUAAUGAUUUAUUUAAAAAAAAUAUUAAAUAAUUUGAGCUUAAAAGAUUAAUCAUUCUUAAUCUUGUUUGUUAUCAUCAAAAUUAAUAUUAUGGAAACAUAUAUGUUAACAUUUCUAUCUUUUAAUACUGAUAAUAUAAAAAGGAUCCACCUAUGUUGCAACAGUUGCAACAUACCACACUUUUUAUCUUUAUUCUAAAUUACCAGUGGAUGUAAACUAAAUGAAUCUAACGGUUGAAAUUAGAAAGUAGGUAAAGGUCUAUGGUCGGUUGUUGAAAGAAAUUAUAAAAAAAAUUAUUAAAUAAAGAAAGUGUACAAAAAAACAUAAGUUAAAUAAGGGUCCAUGUAUAUACUGAUUUUGACUUUGUUUUGGGAGGCCGUCGUUGAAAAUAUUUUCACACCCUAGAAUUUGAGAUCAUCAAAAUCUUUUCAACCCCCAGAAAAUCCGAUCAUCGAACUAUUUUCCACCCCAGAAUUUGCGAUCAAUUUCCCGUAGAAAAAUUUAUCGUCAAGUUUCAGAUGUAACUGAUAGCAUAUUGCAGGAGACCUUUUCUAGUGAGUAUCCAUCUGUAAAAGGAGCCAAAGUUAUCAUCGACUCGAAUACUGGCCGUACAAAAGGUUACGGUUUUGUUAGAUUUGGUGAUGAAAAUGAGAGGUCAAGUGAUACAACUCUACAACUCAGAGUUUAUAUCCUAGAUUUACACUUUUCGAGUAAGUGCUGACUCCAGCAAAAAGAAGAAAAAGAAUUGAAAUUAAUGGAGAAACAGAGAUAGCAGGAGAGACGAAGAGAGAGAAGAAGAACUAUUUGGCAUUUUCUUAUUAUCCUUUCUGACCUGUUGCCCUUUUCAAAUAUCCUUUUUGUCCCACAACAAUACAAGCGUAACUAACCAACUACGACAAAAUUGGCAAAACAAAUAGUCACAACAAAAUAACCAAAAUCACAGCUGUCAUCUUUCUCGCUCCUUUUGUUCCUUCUCGAAUAUUCCUUAGGUAAUGUAAUCCUUGAGGUAUGUUGGUGCCCUGCGCAUACGAGCUGGACCUUUGAUGGGCUCCUCGACCAGCUGGGCUUCUUCCUCUGUUUCAAGUGUUGAUUUGUCAUUAGUCUCGGGCAAAGUUGUAUCAUUCCCCAUCCCUUGAGAAUUUACCUUGUCCUCAAGGUGAAGCUCGGGAUAUGUCUUGCAAAAAUCAUCAUAAUCCUCCCAAGUAGAAUUUUCAAGGGCACAAUCAUACCAUUGCACCAAAACUUGAUGAAGCUCCUGCCCUUGUUUAAGCACCGAGCGUUCAGCACAAAUCGCUAUAAGAGAAGAAAGUGGCUUGUUGUUCACACUUGCAGGGGGCAGGGAAUGAAUGUCAACAUGAGAAUCCCCAACAUAAGGCUUGAGUAAGGAUAUAUGAAAAACAUGGUGAAUUUUGCUGCCAGCAGGCAAUUCUAAUUUAUAAGCAACAGAACCAAUUCUCUCCAAUACCCGAAAUGGCCCAUAGUAGCGCUUUGCCAGCUUGUGCGAAGGGCGGUUGGCAGCAGAUGAUUGCCUGUAAGGUUGUAAGCGUACCAGCACGUUGUCCCCCACCUGUAGUUGUCAAUAUUAUUAACAUAUUUAUGUUAACAGUGUCAUUCGCAAGCUACUAUGAUAACUGGUAUUGUAACAAAAUUCAGCCCAUCCCAAAAUAGUUGACCAAGAAUGAGGUUUGUCUUGAGUGAAGGCUCGGAGAUAUUGCUCUAGGCCGCGGUUUACCACCUCGGAUUGGCCAUUGGUCUGUGGAUGAUAAGCGGUGCUGUGGCGUAAUGUGGUGCCGCUCAAUUUAAAUAAUUUUUGCCAAAAAUGGCUCAUGAAUACUGGAUCUCGGUCUGAAAUGAUUGAACUGGGAAAACCAUGUAAUUUGACUACCAAGUCAGUGAAUAACAUGGCUGUCUUGUGGGCAGUGAACUGAGAUGGCAAUGCUCCGAAAUGUGCUGAUUUCGUCAAACGAUCAACCACAACCAAAAUAACUUCAAAUCCUUUAGAAUUGGGUAGCCCCGUAAUAAAAUCCAUAGUUAAUUCAUCCCAAACAAGUGAAGGGAUGGGAAGAGGCUGGAGUAAUCCUACAGGGGAUUGGGUGGAAUAUUUGAUUUGUUGACAGGUGAGACAAGCAGCAAUAUACUUUUCCACAUCAGCUCGCAUUUUGGGCCAAUAAAAAUUAGAAGACAGUCGAAUCAAAGUUCUUUGAUGCCUGCGUGACCUGCCAUUGGAGUGUCAUGGAAUUCUUUUAGCAAUAUUGGUUUCAACGAUGAGUGCGGACUGAGAUAGUAGCGGUGGCGGAAUAAUAAGAACCCAUUGUGAACAGAAAAAUCGGGGGAAAGUGUUCAUGUCGCCAACUUCUUGUGGAGAAGUAACAUGUCAUCUACGGUUUCAUUUUCCUUUAGCAAGAUUUGUAAUAACUCAGUAGAAGGUUGACUAACCAUUGGGAAACAGAGUGCUUGAACCAUUUGGGAUUCAAGAGGUGUAUCUUCAUGUAUUCGUGACAGUGCAUUUGCAGCUUGAUUCGAGCUUCUAGCCUUAUAGUCAAUUCUAAAAUGGAAUCCUAAUAACUUUUGGACGUAAGCCUGCUGAUCAGGAGUUUGGAUUACUUGUUGAAAUAACUCUUUAAUGCUUUUGUGAUCUGUACGGAUGAUGAAAAAUCUGCCGAGGAGAUACUGUCGCCAUUUUAGCACGGCCGACACAAUGGCAUGUAGUUCUUUGAUGUAUGUCGACGAUGCCCGCAACCGAGGUCCCAAUUUUUUACUGAAAUAAGCUAUGGGGUGACCUACUUGCAUUAAUACGGCCCCAAUUCCCACAUUUGAUGCAUCCGUUUCAAUGACAAAUUCCAAUUCAAAGUUAGGUAGGAGCAAUACAGGAGCUUUUACCAUGGCAUCUUUCAAUUUAUUAAAGGCUUCAGUGGUUGUUGCAUUCCAACGGAAGGCAUCCUUGCAUAACAAUUCUGUAAGUGGAGCUGCAAUAGUUGCAUAACCUUGUAUAAACCGCCGAUAAUACCCCGUAAGCCCCAAAAAUCCCCUCAGUUGCUUCACUGUUUUAGGCAAGGGCCAAUCCACCAUGGCGGUAAUCUUUUGAGGGUCGGCAUGAACACCAUGAGCAGAGACUAUAUGUCCUAAGUAAGCAAUGGUCUUUUGACAAAACAAACAUUUAGAGAGUUUGGCAGAAAAUUGAUGUGAUUGUAAACGCAGCAAAACCUGCUCCAAGUGACACACAUGAUCAGCCAAAGAAGAACUGUAUACCAAAAUAUCAUCAAAAAAUACGAUAACAAAUUUGCGUAAAAAAGAAGCAAAUAAUUGGUUCAUUGUCGCUUGGAAGGUGGAUGGAGCGUUGGUCAGUCCGAAGGGCAUGACAAGAAAUUCAUAGUGCCCUUCAUGCGUGCGAAACACUGUUUUGUAAGUGUCACGUUUAUGGACUCUGAUCUGAUGAUAUCCUGCUCUCAAAUCCAGUUUGCUAAAUACCCUUGCACCACCAAGUUCAUCAAAUAAUUCAUCGAUGGUAGGGAUUGGGAAUUUGUCCUUCACUGUUACCGCAUUCAAAGCACGGUAGUCCACACAGAAGCGAUAUGUGCCGUCUUUCUUCCUUACUAACAACACUGGUGAGGAGAAAGGGCUAUGACUUGGUUUGAUAAUUCCUUGCUCAAGCAUUUCAUGAACUAAUUUCUCCAUCUCAUUUUUUUAAAACUGAGGAUAACGGUAGGGCCUGACAUUGACAGGUUUGCAAUUGGGAGUGAGGUGAAUUUUGUGGUCUAUAUUUCGCUGGGGAGGGAGGCCAGUCGGUGGAGCAAAAACUGCUUUAUAUUGAUGGAGGAGAAGAUAAAUAGAUUCUGGCAAGGCAGUGGGUAAUUCGGUUUCAAAGGUUGAGGAUGUGGAGUUGGGAAUAUUGAACUCGGAUGUGUUACUGGAGAGGGAAUGGAGCUCGAAUAAAGUGUCAACUUCUUCGCUGUGUAACAAUGCUUGAAAUUGAUUAAACGAGAUCAAGUGAGGGAGUUGAAUAGGGUCACCUCGUAAAAGGAUUUGCUUACCCUCCCAAAAAAAAUUCCAUAGUCAUCUCUGAAUAAUCUGUGGAGACACGCCCAAGGCGUUGAAGCCACUGGAUGCCCAAAACUACCUCCGGUCCCUCAAUUGGCAAAACAAAGAAAUCCAAGCGAAACUCAUGGCCUUGAAUAACAAUUGGCACCUCUGGGCAGUGAAAACGACAAACCAAAAAAUCCCCGUUGCCGAUAUAAACUUGAAACGUUGAGGUGCAUUGAAUCGACAGACCAAGCCGUUCAGCUAGUUGCGGUUUGAUGAAGUUGUGAGUACUGCCGUAAUAAAUAAUUUUUUAAAAUCUAAUUUCGAAACUGCUGUACGGCCAAGGCGGAUGUACGGUACAGCAGAGUUUUAAUACUUGACAAUAAUUAAGAAAAAAAUAGAAAAUAAAAUGAAUUAACUUGCUGACAGACUAACAGUGAUGUCAGUUAAUGAAAAUGAACAAAUGAUAUCUCUUUAGCGGGCUUGAGCAUUAGGUUCUGAGCAUUCCAACAGCCUAGCACAAUGUGCAAAGAUAUUAUUUAGUUCAAUCACAUAGAUCUUUUUCAGCUUUCUAAAGAGAAAAAGACAGCCGCAUUAUUCCUAAAUACCAUUAAUCUCAAUCAACUCAUCUCCUUCAUGUAUCCCGGCUCGAGCUGCUGGGCUAUCUUCUACACAAGACAAAACAACCUGAAAAUAGAAAAAAAAAGUUGAACAAACGAACAACAUAGCAUGACUGCUGUACCGUACAUCCGCCUUGGCCGUACAGCAGUACGGCCCCAAUUCCCACAUUUGAUGCAUCCGUUUCAAUGACAAAUUCCAAUUCAAAGUUAGGUAGGAGCAAUACAGGAGCUUUUACCAUGGCAUCUUUCAAUUUAUUAAAGGCUUCAGUGGUUGUUGCAUUCCAACGGAAGGCAUCCUUGCAUAACAAUUCUGUAAGUGGAGCUGCAAUAGUUGCAUAACCUUGUAUAAACCGCCGAUAAUACCCCGUAAGCCCCAAAAAUCCCCUCAGUUGCUUCACUGUUUUAGGCAAGGGCCAAUCCACCAUGGCGGUAAUCUUUUGAGGGUCGGCAUGAACACCAUGAGCAGAGACUAUAUGUCCUAAGUAAGCAAUGGUCUUUUGACAAAACAAACAUUUAGAGAGUUUGGCAGAAAAUUGAUGUGAUUGUAAACGCAGCAAAACCUGCUCCAAGUGACACACAUGAUCAGCCAAAGAAGAACUGUAUACCAAAAUAUCAUCAAAAAAUACGAUAACAAAUUUGCGUAAAAAAGAAGCAAAUAAUUGGUUCAUUGUCGCUUGGAAGGUGGAUGGAGCGUUGGUCAGUCCGAAGGGCAUGACAAGAAAUUCAUAGUGCCCUUCAUGCGUGCGAAACGCUGUUUUGUAAGUGUCACGUUUAUGGACUCUGAUCUGAUGAUAUCCUGCUCUCAAAUCCAGUUUGCUAAAUACCCUUGCACCACCAAGUUCAUCAAAUAAUUCAUCGAUGGUAGGGAUUGGGAAUUUGUCCUUCACUGUUACCGCAUUCAAAGCACGGUAGUCCACACAGAAGCGAUAUGUGCCGUCUUUCUUCCUUACUAACAACACUGGUGAGGAGAAAGGGCUAUGACUUGGUUUGAUAAUUCCUUGCUCAAGCAUUUCAUGAACUAAUUUCUCCAUCUCAUUUUUUUAAAACUGAGGAUAACGGUAGGGCCUGACAUUGACAGGUUUGCAAUUGGGAGUGAGGUGAAUUUUGUGGUCUAUAUUUCGCUGGGGAGGGAGGCCAGUCGGUGGAGCAAAAACUGCUUUAUAUUGAUGGAGGAGAAGAUAAAUAGAUUCUGGCAAGGCUGUGGGUAAUUCGGUUUCAAAGGUUGAGGAUGUGGAGUUGGGAAUAUUGAACUCGGAUGUGUUACUGGAGAGGGAAUGAAGCUCGAAUAAAGUGUCAACUUCUUCGCUGUGUAACAAUGCUUGAAAUUGAUUAAACGAGAUCAAGUGAGGGAGUUGAAUAGGGUCACCUUGUAAAAGGAUUUGCUUACCCUCCCAAAAAAAUUCCAUAGUCAUCUCUGAAUAAUCUGUGGAGACACGCCCAAGGCGUUGAAGCCACUGGAUGCCUAAAACUACCUCAGGUCCCUCAAUUGGCAAAACAAAGAAAUCCAAGCGAAACUCAUGGCCUUGAAUAACAAUUGGCACCUCUGGGCAGUGAAAACGAAAAACCAAAAAAUCCCCGUUGCCGAUAUAAACUUGAAACGUUGAGGUGCAUUGAAUCGACAGACCAAGCCGUUCAGCUAGUUGCGGUUUGAUGAAGUUGUGAGUACUGCCGCUGUCUAUAAGAACAUGGAAUUAAUGUCCUUUAAUUUCACCCAAGACACGCAAAGACCGCGGAUUGGACUGACCAGCCAAGGCAUUCAGACUUGAAAUGUCGGCGGUAACCACUUCUUCAGUGUGCUCAAUGAUAUUCCCUUCCUCCCCUGGGUCACGCUCUUCAUCAUCAGUACCCAUCAACAACAAGAAUUUGCUACGGCAACGAUGGUUUGCACUAUAUUUUUUAUCACAAUUAUAACAUAACCCUUUUUCUCUUUUAUCCCGUAACUCAGCUGGAGUAAGGCGACAGAUUGGUAAAUUGGGGGUUGGUAAUAAUGGAGGUUGAGAUGGUGGUUUUGUGGUAGUAAUAACAGGGGCAACUAGAGGAUUGGUAUUUUUAAAAGUGGAAGUGUUUGGUAAAACAGGGGGGACAUUUGGUGAAGCUGGAGGUGUAGUAGGAGGCCAUUUUGACCACGAACGGCUGGUUGUUUUAACUUCAUCAGAUCUAGCCUCAUAAGCUCUAGCAAGAGCAAAGGCUUCCAUGAGAGAAGUCGGUCGAGUAAACAAAAACUCACGACGGAUAUCAGACUUUAAACCCGUGAUAAAGAAACUAAUUAACAAAGGCUCAGAUAUACCAGUAACUUUGUUCAUUAGGUCUUCAAAAGCCGACUGAAAAUCAGCAACUGUGGAGGUCUGCGUUAAUUUUGAAAGGUUUCCUUGAUGGUCUUCAUACAUGGAAGCUCCAAAGCGACUCUUAAGACUGACCAAAAAACUUCGCCAUGUGGUUAAUAGAUUGUUAGCUUUCAUCCAUUGAUACCAAGCCGCGGCUCUCCCUUCCAUAUGAAACGAUGCAAUGCGAAGACGCAAAUUAUCUAGGGUCCCAUGGAGGUCAAAAAACUCGUUGAUGCGAAAUUCUCACCCUGUUGGAUCAGAGCCAUCAAACUUAGGAAUGUCCAUUUUCAUGGAACGUAAAAGCGGUGAAAAGUCUGUGCCCCCAGCAAAACCCUCUGUAAACACUGUCAUAGGCUCUGAUGGUCGCGAAUGGCCACUCAAAACGCCUACCGAGCCACGGAUUUGAGCUUGGAAUUCCUCAAAACGGGAAUCUACAGUGGACAUGUACUGUUGUAAGGUCUGAUGAACAGAGAGUGUUUGCUUCUCAAGGAGCUCCUUCAUGGCGGAAAGAACCUCAGAAUCAGUCGUCUUUGUGUGCAGGUUUGCAAUUGGGAGUGAGGUGAAUUUUGUGGUCUAUAUUUCGCUGGGGAGGGAGGCCAGUCGGUGGAGCAAAAACUGCCUUAUAUUGAUGGAGGAGAAGAUAAAUAGAUUCUGGCAAGGCUGUGGGUAAUUCGGUUUCAAAGGUUGAGGAUGUGGAGUUGGGAAUAUUGAACUCGGAUGUGUUACUGGAGAGGGAAUGAAGCUCGAAUAAAGUGUCAACUUCUUCGCUGUGUAACAAUGCUUGAAAUUGAUUAAACGAGAUCAAGUGAGGGAGUUGAAUAGGGUCACCUUGUAAAAGGAUUUGCUUACCCUCCCAAAAAAAUUCCAUAGUCAUCUCUGAAUAAUCUGUGGAGACACGCCCAAGGCGUUGAAGCCACUGGAUGCCUAAAACUACCUCAGGUCCCUCAAUUGGCAAAACAAAGAAAUCCAAGCGAAACUCAUGGCCUUGAAUAACAAUUGGCACCUCUGGGCAGUGAAAACGAAAAACCAAAAAAUCCCCGUUGCCGAUAUAAACUUGAAACGUUGAGGUGCAUUGAAUCGACAGACCAAGCCGUUCAGCUAGUUGCGGUUUGAUGAAGUUGUGAGUACUGCCGCUGUCUAUAAGAACAUGGAAUUAAUGUCCUUUAAUUUCACCCAAGACACGCAAAGACCGCGGAUUGGACUGACCAGCCAAGGCAUUCAGACUUGAAAUGUCGGCGGUAACCACUUCUUCAGUGUGCUCAAUGAUAUUCCCUUCCUCCCCUGGGUCACGCUCUUCAUCAUCAGUACCCAUCAACAACAAGAAUUUGCUACGGCAACGAUGGUUUGCACUAUAUUUUUUAUCACAAUUAUAACAUAACCCUUUUUCUCUUUUAUCCCGUAACUCAGCUGGAGUAAGGCGACAGAUUGGUAAAUUGGGGGUUGGUAAUAAUGGAGGUUGAGAUGGUGGUUUUGUGGUAGUAAUAACAGGGGCAACUAGAGGAUUGGUAUUUUUAAAAGUGGAAGUGUUUGGUAAAACAGGGGGGACAUUUGGUGAAGCUGGAGGUGUAGUAGGAGGCCAUNNNNNNNNNNNNNNNNNNNNNNNNNNNNNNNNNNNNNNNNNNNNNNNNNNNNNNNNNNNNNNNNNNNNNNNNNNNNNNNNNNNNNNNNNNNNNNNNNNNNCGAGAUAUUUAAAACAUCGAAAUUAUAAUUAAUGAUUAUGGAUUUUAAAACAUGCCCAAAAGUAUGUAUCUGUAUGCGUGACGCGCUGUGGUAGUGCAUUUGGAAACCGCUGUUGCUUCUCGCUGAUCAAGCGGUAAUACGUGUGAAUAUGCUGUGAAGGGAUUAUACCAAGUAAAUUUAUAUCAAUAUCCAUGCCAGCAGAAAUAUUAUUGUGUAUUGUAAUGUACUGACCAUUAAACACACUUACCUCGUCACCAAGCCACCCCAUCGAAGCAUUGCCCAUGAGUAUUUCAAAGAAAUUUCGAGACUGUUGGACGGGCCGAUCCACGGAAAUGUUGCCGGCAAACCACUGAUCAAACGACUCACAUAGGCUUGAGUCUUCUAGUCCUCUAAGCGGAUUCAUAUCCACACUCGAUCUUUCAUCAAUUCCAUAGUCCGUAAUGUUGAGUGCGGGUAGAGGCCUGACAUUCCUAACUCUCUUGAAAGGAGGAAUGAAGUAAGGACUGCCAAAUAUAUACGACGGUCGAUACGGACGGCCAAACUUACUAACGCCGGGAGGUGCCUCCGUGAAUAUCUGUACACUGUCAUCACAUAUGUCCCCAUGUAGACUGUACAAUGACAUAUGGGUGUGCUCGUCGUCAUUACCAGCAUCAGUAUGCGUACCAUAGCCAGCAUCAACGUUCGGACCACCUCGAUCUGGAGCCUGUUGUUUCGAGGAGAUGAACAUAUUAACAUAAGUUCAGGUUUGAAAUCAUAAUAACAUAACGAAAACAUAUGAAACUUGCUCCGGUACAGCAGAAUCAUUGCGGAACUUAGUCCUUGCCUACAAUUUACGCAAAUAAGAAAGUAAUGACAAAAUGCCGGAUAGGUAUAUGUGCAUUGUAAAUAUUCAGGACGACAGAAGUUACCUCUGGCUCAUUUCUGUCAUCUGAAUCAUGUGCGGAUUCAUAAUGUUCGUCGGCAGCACCAGGCCGUACAGCAGAUCAAAUUUUUAAAAUGAUUAUUGAUANNNNNNNNNNNNNNNNNNNNNNNNNNNNNNNNNNNNNNNNNNNNNNNNNNNNNNNNNNNNNNNNNNNNNNNNNNNNNNNNNNNNNNNNNNNNNNNNNNNNNNNNNNNNNNNNNNNNNNNNNNNNNNNNNNNNNNNNNNNNNNNNNNNNNNNNNNNNNNNNNNNNNNNNNNNNNNNNNNNNNNNNNNNNNNNNNNNNNNNNNNNNNNNNNNNNNNNNNNNNNNNNNNNNNNNNNNNNNNNNNNNNNNNNNNNNNNNNNNNNNNNNNNNNNNNNNNNNNNNNNNNNNNNNNNNNNNNNNNNNNNNNNNNNNNNNNNNNNNNNNNNNNNNNNNNNNNNNNNNNNNNNNNNNNNNNNNNNNNNNNNNNNNNNNNNNNNNNNNNNNNNNNNNNNNNNNNNNNNNNNNNNNNNNNNNNNNNNNNNNNNNNNNNNNNNNNNNNNNNNNNNNNNNNNNNNNNNNNNNNNNNNNNNNNNNNNNNNNNNNNNNNNNNNNNNNNNNNNNNNNNNNNNNNNNNNNNNNNNNNNNNNNNNNNNNNNNNNNNNNNNNNNNNNNNNNNNNNNNNNNNNNNNNNNNNNNNNNNNNNNNNNNNNNNNNNNNNNNNNNNNNNNNNNNNNNNNNNNNNNNNNNNNNNNNNNNNNNNNNNNNNNNNNNNNNNNNNNNNNNNNNNNNNNNNNNNNNNNNNNNNNNNNNNNNNNNNNNNNNNNNNNNNNNNNNNNNNNNNNNNNNNNNNNNNNNNNNNNNNNNNNNNNNNNNNNNNNNNNNNNNNNNNNNNNNNNNNNNNNNNNNNNNNNNNNNNNNNNNNNNNNNNNNNNNNNNNNNNNNNNNNNNNNNNNNNNNNNNNNNNNNNNNNNNNNNNNNNNNNNNNNNNNNNNNNNNNNNNNNNNNNNNNNNNNNNNNNNNNNNNNNNNNNNNNNNNNNNNNNNNNNNNNNNNNNNNNNNNNNNNNNNNNNNNNNNNNNNNNNNNNNNNNNNNNNNNNNNNNNNNNNNNNNNNNNNNNNNNNNNNNNNNNNNNNNNNNNNNNNNNNNNNNNNNNNNNNNNNNNNNNNNNNNNNNNNNNNNNNNNNNNNNNNNNNNNNNNNNNNNNNNNNNNNNNNNNNNNNNNNNNNNNNNNNNNNNNNNNNNNNNNNNNNNNNNNNNNNNNNNNNNNNNNNNNNNNNNNNNNNNNNNNNNNNNNNNNNNNNNNNNNNNNNNNNNNNNNNNNNNNNNNNNNNNNNNNNNNNNNNNNNNNNNNNNNNNNNNNNNNNNNNNNNNNNNNNNNNNNNNNNNNNNNNNNNNNNNNNNNNNNNNNNNNNNNNNNNNNNNNNNNNNNNNNNNNNNNNNNNNNNNNNNNNNNNNNNNNNNNNNNNNNNNNNNNNNNNNNNNNNNNNNNNNNNNNNNNNNNNNNNNNNNNNNNNNNNNNNNNNNNNNNNNNNNNNNNNNNNNNNNNNNNNNNNNNNNNNNNNNNNNNNNNNNNNNNNNNNNNNNNNNNNNNNNNNNNNNNNNNNNNNNNNNNNNNNNNNNNNNNNNNNNNNNNNNNNNNNNNNNNNNNNNNNNNNNNNNNNNNNNNNNNNNNNNNNNNNNNNNNNNNNNNNNNNNNNNNNNNNNNNNNNNNNNNNNNNNNNNNNNNNNNNNNNNNNNNNNNNNNNNNNNNNNNNNNNNNNNNNNNNNNNNNNNNNNNNNNNNNNNNNNNNNNNNNNNNNNNNNNNNNNNNNNNNNNNNNNNNNNNNNNNNNNNNNNNNNNNNNNNNNNNNNNNNNNNNNNNNNNNNNNNNNNNNNNNNNNNNNNNNNNNNNNNNNNNNNNNNNNNNNNNNNNNNNNNNNNNNNNNNNNNNNNNNNNNNNNNNNNNNNNNNNNNNNNNNNNNNNNNNNNNNNNNNNNNNNNNNNNNNNNNNNNNNNNNNNNNNNNNNNNNNNNNNNNNNNNNNNNNNNNNNNNNNNNNNNNNNNNNNNNNNNNNNNNNNNNNNNNNNNNNNNNNNNNNNNNNNNNNNNNNNNNNNNNNNNNNNNNNNNNNNNNNNNNNNNNNNNNNNNNNNNNNNNNNNNNNNNNNNNNNNNNNNNNNNNNNNNNNNNNNNNNNNNNNNNNNNNNNNNNNNNNNNNNNNNNNNNNNNNNNNNNNNNNNNNNNNNNNNNNNNNNNNNNNNNNNNNNNNNNNNNNNNNNNNNNNNNNNNNNNNNNNNNNNNNNNNNNNNNNNNNNNNNNNNNNNNNNNNNNNNNNNNNNNNNNNNNNNNNNNNNNNNNNNNNNNNNNNNNNNNNNNNNNNNNNNNNNNNNNNNNNNNNNNNNNNNNNNNNNNNNNNNNNNNNNNNNNNNNNNNNNNNNNNNNNNNNNNNNNNNNNNNNNNNNNNNNNNNNNNNNNNNNNNNNNNNNNNNNNNNNNNNNNNNNNNNNNNNNNNNNNNNNNNNNNNNNNNNNNNNNNNNNNNNNNNNNNNNNNNNNNNNNNNNNNNNNNNNNNNNNNNNNNNNNNNNNNNNNNNNNNNNNNNNNNNNNNNNNNNNNNNNNNNNNNNNNNNNNNNNNNNNNNNNNNNNNNNNNNNNNNNNNNNNNNNNNNNNNNNNNNNNNNNNNNNNNNNNNNNNNNNNNNNNNNNNNNNNNNNNNNNNNNNNNNNNNNNNNNNNNNNNNNNNNNNNNNNNNNNNNNNNNNNNNNNNNNNNNNNNNNNNNNNNNNNNNNNNNNNNNNNNNNNNNNNNNNNNNNNNNNNNNNNNNNNNNNNNNNNNNNNNNNNNNNNNNNNNNNNNNNNNNNNNNNNNNNNNNNNNNNNNNNNNNNNNNNNNNNNNNNNNNNNNNNNNNNNNNNNNNNNNNNNNNNNNNNNNNNNNNNNNNNNNNNNNNNNNNNNNNNNNNNNNNNNNNNNNNNNNNNNNNNNNNNNNNNNNNNNNNNNNNNNNNNNNNNNNNNNNNNNNNNNNNNNNNNNNNNNNNNNNNNNNNNNNNNNNNNNNNNNNNNNNNNNNNNNNNNNNNNNNNNNNNNNNNNNNNNNNNNNNNNNNNNNNNNNNNNNNNNNNNNNNNNNNNNNNNNNNNNNNNNNNNNNNNNNNNNNNNNNNNNNNNNNNNNNNNNNNNNNNNNNNNNNNNNNNNNNNNNNNNNNNNNNNNNNNNNNNNNNNNNNNNNNNNNNNNNNNNNNNNNNNNNNNNNNNNNNNNNNNNNNNNNNNNNNNNNNNNNNNNNNNNNNNNNNNNNNNNNNNNNNNNNNNNNNNNNNNNNNNNNNNNNNNNNNNNNNNNNNNNNNNNNNNNNNNNNNNNNNNNNNNNNNNNNNNNNNNNNNNNNNNNNNNNNNNNNNNNNNNNNNNNNNNNNNNNNNNNNNNNNNNNNNNNNNNNNNNNNNNNNNNNNNNNNNNNNNNNNNNNNNNNNNNNNNNNNNNNNNNNNNNNNNNNNNNNNNNNNNNNNNNNNNNNNNNNNNNNNNNNNNNNNNNNNNNNNNNNNNNNNNNNNNNNNNNNNNNNNNNNNNNNNNNNNNNNNNNNNNNNNNNNNNNNNNNNNNNNNNNNNNNNNNNNNNNNNNNNNNNNNNNNNNNNNNNNNNNNNNNNNNNNNNNNNNNNNNNNNNNNNNNNNNNNNNNNNNNNNNNNNNNNNNNNNNNNNNNNNNNNNNNNNNNNNNNNNNNNNNNNNNNNNNNNNNNNNNNNNNNNNNNNNNNNNNNNNNNNNNNNNNNNNNNNNNNNNNNNNNNNNNNNNNNNNNNNNNNNNNNNNNNNNNNNNNNNNNNNNNNNNNNNNNNNNNNNNNNNNNNNNNNNNNNNNNNNNNNNNNNNNNNNNNNNNNNNNNNNNNNNNNNNNNNNNNNNNNNNNNNNNNNNNNNNNNNNNNNNNNNNNNNNNNNNNNNNNNNNNNNNNNNNNNNNNNNNNNNNNNNNNNNNNNNNNNNNNNNNNNNNNNNNNNNNNNNNNNNNNNNNNNNNNNNNNNNNNNNNNNNNNNNNNNNNNNNNNNNNNNNNNNNNNNNNNNNNNNNNNNNNNNNNNNNNNNNNNNNNNNNNNNNNNNNNNNNNNNNNNNNNNNNNNNNNNNNNNNNNNNNNNNNNNNNNNNNNNNNNNNNNNNNNNNNNNNNNNNNNNNNNNNNNNNNNNNNNNNNNNNNNNNNNNNNNNNNNNNNNNNNNNNNNNNNNNNNNNNNNNNNNNNNNNNNNNNNNNNNNNNNNNNNNNNNNNNNNNNNNNNNNNNNNNNNNNNNNNNNNNNNNNNNNNNNNNNNNNNNNNNNNNNNNNNNNNNNNNNNNNNNNNNNNNNNNNNNNNNNNNNNNNNNNNNNNNNNNNNNNNNNNNNNNNNNNNNNNNNNNNNNNNNNNNNNNNNNNNNNNNNNNNNNNNNNNNNNNNNNNNNNNNNNNNNNNNNNNNNNNNNNNNNNNNNNNNNNNNNNNNNNNNNNNNNNNNNNNNNNNNNNNNNNNNNNNNNNNNNNNNNNNNNNNNNNNNNNNNNNNNNNNNNNNNNNNNNNNNNNNNNNNNNNNNNNNNNNNNNNNNNNNNNNNNNNNNNNNNNNNNNNNNNNNNNNNNNNNNNNNNNNNNNNNNNNNNNNNNNNNNNNNNNNNNNNNNNNNNNNNNNNNNNNNNNNNNNNNNNNNNNNNNNNNNNNNNNNNNNNNNNNNNNNNNNNNNNNNNNNNNNNNNNNNNNNNNNNNNNNNNNNNNNNNNNNNNNNNNNNNNNNNNNNNNNNNNNNNNNNNNNNNNNNNNNNNNNNNNNNNNNNNNNNNNNNNNNNNNNNNNNNNNNNNNNNNNNNNNNNNNNNNNNNNNNNNNNNNNNNNNNNNNNNNNNNNNNNNNNNNNNNNNNNNNNNNNNNNNNNNNNNNNNNNNNNNNNNNNNNNNNNNNNNNNNNNNNNNNNNNNNNNNNNNNNNNNNNNNNNNNNNNNNNNNNNNNNNNNNNNNNNNNNNNNNNNNNNNNNNNNNNNNNNNNNNNNNNNNNNNNNNNNNNNNNNNNNNNNNNNNNNNNNNNNNNNNNNNNNNNNNNNNNNNNNNNNNNNNNNNNNNNNNNNNNNNNNNNNNNNNNNNNNNNNNNNNNNNNNNNNNNNNNNNNNNNNNNNNNNNNNNNNNNNNNNNNNNNNNNNNNNNNNNNNNNNNNNNNNNNNNNNNNNNNNNNNNNNNNNNNNNNNNNNNNNNNNNNNNNNNNNNNNNNNNNNNNNNNNNNNNNNNNNNNNNNNNNNNNNNNNNNNNNNNNNNNNNNNNNNNNNNNAGAACAAGUGAGACAAGCAGUGAGACAGGUGCCUGUCUCACAUAAACGAACUGCGUUUAUGUGCGACGGGCACUUGUCCUAUUGCCUGUCGCACAUAACUUGGUGAGACAGGCACCUGUCCCACUGCCUGUCUCACCAAAUUUAGUGAGACAUGCAAUGGGACAUGUUUCCGUCACACAUAAACCCACUAGUUUUAUGGAGUAUAUGAUUUUGGAUUUGAUUUGUCUCGUCAUAAGCUUCGAAACAGUAUAUUAUACGCUUAAAACAGACAUAUAUAGCUCAAGUUAUGGCUUUUGAAAAAUAUUUGAAAUUUAGUGAGACAUGCACCAGUCCCACUGUCUGUCUCACUAAAUUUGGUGAGACAAGCAGUGCGACAGGUUGUUGUCUCACUUAUUCUGGGCUUCGUUUUUUGCCUAAUUUUGCUGUGCUUUCAAUUAUUUUUCUUCAUUUCUCAACUCAAAUUAAGUACUUUAAUAAAUCACAUUAUUUUAUUAAUGAAAAAUAACAACAUUUACAACAAAACCCACUUUAAUUUUGAACUUAGUUGAUAAAAUCAAUAGAUUAAAGGUUUAUAUUGUGUAAGAGUAUAAACUAACUUUAAGAAGCUCCCUAAUUGAUGAUUAUAUUUUCAAUUAUGCAAUAUUUGUUUGAUGGAAUUUGUUGAUUUAUUGAGAGUGAUAAAGUUUGCUGAGAGUGAUGAAGGUUUGUUAAGUUGUUUAAAGUUGAGAGCAUUAUAGUUGUGUUGGAGUUUAUCGAGUAGCAUGCAUUUGUAAAUUUGAUGAAAGUGGUGAGAGUAAUUUAGUCCAAAAAUAGGGUGUUUGGCUAGUUAUGAUAAAAAAAAUUAGGUGGGUUAAAUUCAAAAAUUACAAAAGUUUUAAGGCUGUUCUUGUAAAUUUUCCCCUUUCUUCUUCUUUCUAGUAGGUAACACUUUAAGUGGCGUCGUCAGUGUACACAUAUUUCAUGUUAAGAAAUACUUUGAAUUACAUACAUAAUACAUGAAAUAUGUAAAUUUUGUGUCUAAUUUUUUAUUGGUUGCUUUGUACUGAGUCGUGAUGAUAUUGUUAUUGGAAAAAAAUAGUUUCUUACAAUCGGUUAUUAUAUAACUUGCAUUUUUAUUUACUGGAGGUCGUUUAGUGGAAAGAACAGUCGAAUCCAAUUUUUUAAAAGUGAAACAAGCAAUAGUGAUGUCAAGGAUAAAAUGCUACUAAAUCUAUGUUAAUUUUGCUAUUAAAUUACACUGCUGCCAUAACUUUCAGUCUGCAUGAAGCAACAAGACGGAGAAUCCAAAAUAAGAAAUAAAUCUACACGCAUCAUCAAUGGUAGAGUUCUGGAGUAGAUAGUCUUGCAGUUGGGAUGGCAACAAGUGGAUAAGAUUUCUUCAAAAUGAUCCCAAAUUUAUAUGAUAAAUCAAGCUUCAUUCCUUGAGGUAAUUUCCACUCAAAAGAAUGCAGCAGUGUGGCCAACACAUAUGUUACCAUCAUUUCUGCUAGAGACAUGCCCGCACACACCUACACGGUGAAACUCCAGUUGGUUCUGCCAUUACCUCAGGAUCCCGAAGCAUCAACCACGCGUUAAUGAAGAUUCAUGAUCGGGGAGGAAUUCAAGAAUAUAUAAGAUGUAAUAGAAUUAAUUAAUGCAUGUAUGAUAUAUGUAAUUAAAUUUAAUAUAACCACCACUUAUAUGGUGAUUUUUCAAAAUAAAUACACUUAUAUUAUAGCAUCAUUUACUUGUUGUAUAAUUAACAUGGUACUUCUAAUGUAUUCUACAAUUUCAGCAUAUAUCCCGCAUAGUAUAGGUAGGCUCUGGUGGAACCAUACACGUAAAUUAGGGGGGUUAAAUAAAAAAUAUUAAUUUAAUUUGGAGUGCUUGAUUUCUUUCACGUUCUCUUAAAUAAUAUGUAGCUAUUGAGAUUCGCACUAAGUUUCCAAAACAUUUAAAUGGCACUCUUAGAAUUAAAUAAUAAGUACUUUGUGGUAUAGAAAAUGUGCCUAAAUUUUUUUUAUUUAACUCUUUUAGUAAGGAUUUAAUAAUGGGUCUACCCAUAUAGGUGGGUGCAAUCUGUAGGUUUCUUUUACUACUACUUGUAAUUAACGGCUAUGUAGUUUUGGUAUAUAAGACUCUUUAACAAGAGCCAGACUAUUAACACUCUUCCAAAAUCCUAUUGAUAUCUAUUUUUUUUAUUAUAUUUCAUUUAAUACCAAAAUAUCUUUUUUUCUAAAUGAACAUUCUUUUUAUUUAUGAAUUUUUCAAUUUCUAAUAAUUUUCUCGCUCUUUUAGUCUUAAUACUUAUAUUCCUCUCUUCAAACUUUCUUUAUUAUUUAAUUUCUAAAGAAAAAAAUCUAAAAGAAAAAGUGAGAAAAACAUUAUACUUAGAAAAUAAUGAAUAUUUCAUGGGCUUAAUACAAUUUUAUCCUACCUAUAAGUUUUGGGUUUAUUGCUUUCAGCAAUUAGUUUGGGAAUCCUUAAAAAAUUAGUUGCAAUAGGAUAAAAUUUUAUUUAAUUUAUUUUUCCACUAUGUUGUAUCUUAAUUAAGUUGUUAUGUUUAUUACAAGAAUUUUGUUUUGGCAUAGAGAAUUACUUCUUAAAUUCAAAUUAUUUUAAUGAUAAUAAAAAAAUUUAUAUUGUGCAAGCAUAAUAAAAUUUGAGGAGAGAAAGAAAAUAUAAAUAGUUUAAUUAUAUUUAUAUUUGUCCUUAAAUAUAAUAGUAAUAUAACAGGAGUUUUAUGAAAUUAAUGAAGGGGUGCCAACAGUCUAACUCCUUCAACAAAUCAAUAAUGAUGUAGUAAGUAUGCCACUGAAACAGUAGCAAUCACUCUGAUAACUGUAUCUUCAAAAGUUAAGCUAAAAAUCUUGAUGAGAACGUUUGAAAUCAUGAUUAGUGGAUUACAGCUCAAAAAAGACUGAUUGAUGAAAACUGAAAGUUCAAUGAAUGUAGUACAAUUUGUUUGCUAAAACCUAAGACUACAGAUAAAGAGCAGAGGUAGAGAGACAAGUUAUUGAGAACAAAUCAAUAUUUCUUUUUUCCUAUAGAGCCAAAGAAAUUAUUAGAUUUGGGACCGAUUGAUUAAAUUAUGAGAGUGUUAAAGGCAGUGAGACUUAGAAAUGGACAAUGGGCUGGACGGCACGCGGCAUGGCACGUGUCCGUACGGCACGGCACGAGCACGUUUCAAUGGGGCACGCGGCACGAGCACGUUUCAAUGGGGCACGCGGCACGGCACGACACGCACGUGGAUUGGGCCAAGCUUAGAAUUUUAGACACGCAGGCCUUAAAAGCACGGCACGAUUAGAGAUGGGCUAAGCACGAGACGAUGAAAAAGCACGCAAUAAGCACGUUUUAUUUUUUAAUGAAAAUAAACUUAAAAUUUUAUGAUUUUACAAAUAACUUGAAAUUGAAUUUUUUGAAUUCAUUUAAUUCUUAGUUUUAAAAAAUACUAUAAUUUAUUUAUAUUUAUGAUUUAUUACAUAAAUAAUUGAUAUCAUGAUUUUAAUGAAUAAAAUUAUAAAUAUCAUGAUUUUAUAAAUAUGCAUUAAUAUUAUUGUGAACUAUGAUUUAUAACUCUAUAUAAGUCCAAGUUAACAAUUAAAUCAACACUUAAGAAAAAUUUAUUAUUAUUAUUGUUAUUAAGUAUUAAAAAAAAUUCUAAUACUAUAAGAUCAAACUUAGUAAUUAAUAUUACAUUCUCUUACUAUUAUUAUUUAAUAUAGACUUGAGUUUUGAAUUUUCAGUUUUAUUAAAUUUGAAUAAAGGCAUAGGCCUAAAAAAAUGUACAUAGAGUUGAAAAAAGUAUGCAAACAUUUUGGCAUGUGCUCUUAAAAAAUUAAAAAAAAAACUUAUUGGGCCUUUUUUUAUUAGGCAUGGCACGGCACGGCACCAGUGGACAAGACACAUGUGCCGGAUUAGGCUUAAGCAAAAAAAAUAAAGCACGGCAUAACACGGCAAGCAUGGGCCUUAUUUUGAUGUCGGCCUGACCCAUUGACCAUCUCUAGUGGAACUGAUGAAUUUUCUUCAAAAUUGGACUAUUGGCACCCCUCCAAAAUUAUUUUAAAACCUCUCUUAUGUUACAAUUACAUUUAAGAACAAAUACUCUAAUAUAUCUCAUAUUUAUUUUAUCUCACUUCAAAUUUUUGAAUUUUCUCUCUUAAAAAAAAAUCUUAUAUUUUCUCUGCUAUCAAACUCACACGUAAUUUUUUUUCUCAAAUUCUCUAUAUUUUUUUCUUCAAUUACGAAGUCAAUCUAUUGAUAAUAAACAAAACACAUUCUGACAAAAUUAUCUUUCUUUUUUUAAGGCUCAUAAUAAAAUUUUUACAUCAUAAUCUUACAGAUAUUUAUUUAAUUGAUUGAUUUUUAUCAAGAAGUUUAUCACCCAUAAAAGUUUGUUUAUGAGGAGUGAGAUAAUAAUAGAAAAUUAAAAAAUUCAUAAAUUAAAUGUGUUUUAUUUAGAAAUAAGGGUGGGUUUGAGAAGAAUUUUGGAGGGGUGCCAAUAGUCCAACUCAUUUUCUUCUAGUAAACAAAUCUAUAAUUGGUAUGGACAAAAGUCAUAGAAUAGUUUAUGAAAUUGGUCCAAGUAGAUCAUAACCGACGACCUUGCCAUCAUUUACAAUAAAAUUUUCAUCAAUUUAAUUAGUUUAAAAUUCAUUAAAUAAUUGAUUAAAUUGGGGUUUCAUUUUUCAGGGGAGAAAAAGAUUAAGAAAUAAAACAUGCAGCGACCAAAAACUAAAUCUAUGUACAAACACCCUAGACCAUUUCUCUCUCAGCUCCAAGAAUUAUUAUUAUUAUUAUUAUUAUUUGGUAUACACUCAGAUUUUAUAAUUGGGACUAUUCUUAAUAAUUUUAAUAUAAUAGAGCCUAAAUUUUUACUCUCACAUAAUAUUAGAAAGAUAUCUAUUUCAAUCGUAUUAAUAAGAAAACAUUUUUAUCUCUACUCAAUUUAAUUAAGAGAAAAAUCGAGUCGCAGUAUGCGCUCUGCCAAGCCAAGGAGAGAGACUGAAUUUAAUUCUUGAAAUGUAAGAAGCGAUCAAAUAACAAUAAAACUAAUUAUUAGUUCAAUUAAUAAUUAAUAUUCACGCAUGUUUUUGCUCAAUCGCUUCACUAUUAUUCCAAGGCCAACUCCAAUCCAAAUACUGUAUCUUAGCAUUAUUAAUAUGUUUAGUAGUAAAAUCUCUUUUUUUUUUUUUUUUUCACCACGAGGUAUCCAGGGGAGGGCCUCAACUGUGGGAGGUACCUUUAAGCCCGUACCACAACAUAGACUAGAAGUCCCCGCACGAACCGAGAGGCACAUGUUCUCCCAACAAAGACGACUUCUCUGCGACUCGAACUGGGGAACAAACUCAGUCAAGCCACUUAAGGGGACUUCAUUGCCAGUGGAGCCAACACUCUAUUGGUUAGUAAAAUCUCUUAUGAUUGUUCGAAAAAUAACAUAACACACUUGCUCAAAAGUAAAAAUAACAUAACAGUCUGCGAAAAAACAACAAUAAUCCAGAAUAAGAAAUAAAUCUACACCCAUCAGUGGUAAGAGUUCUGGAGUAGAUAAUCUUGCGGUUGGGAUGGCAACAAGUGGAUCAGAUUUCUUUAAAACAAUCCCAAAUUUUUCUGCGAAAUCCAAGCUCAUUGCUUGAGGCAAUUCCCACUCAAAAGAAUGCAACAAUGUAGCCAAUACAUAUGCUACCAUCUUUUCUGCUAGAGAAAUUCCUGCACAUAUCCUCCUACCAGACCCAAAAGGAAGAUACCUGAAAUUGGUUCCUUGGUAUUCAAAUUUUCCAAGUUCUUUCAGGAACCUCUCGGGAUGAAACUCUAGCGGAUUCUGCCAAGCCUCAGGAUCCCGAUGCAUUGACCACACGUUGACGAAGACUCUCGAUCCCUUCGGGAUGGUGUAUCCACCUACGGUACAGGACUCAACAGGACAGUGUGGCACCAAGAGUGGUAAAGGUGGGUGCAAUCUGAGGGUUUCUUUUACCACUGAUUGUAAAAAAUGAAGUUUUGGUAUAUGUGACUCUUCAACAAUGCUGCCAUUCCCUACCACUUCAUCCAAUUCUUGUUGAACCUUUCUCAUUAUCUCAGAAUGUUGCAGCAUUUCUGCCAUUGCCCAUUCCAGUGUUGUGGAUGUUGUAUCUGUUCCUCCAAGGACUGUGUCCUGUUAACAAAAAAUGAGUCCAGUUCAAGUCCAAUGCCAGAUGACCUUAUCAACUAUUAUACGUUGUAUAUUAGACUUUAGAAGAAGGGUCACAUACUUGCGCUGUGAAUUUCUUAUGUUCAAUCUUCAUUUGGUCAAUAACUUUUUAGUCAAAUUAUGGCAGAAAAGUUAAAUCAAUAAACAAAAUUUUGUUAAAUGAAGAUACGUACCAAUAACAAACCCUUGAUCUGGGUCAUUGACAAUGAAGUUUUAUCCUCUCCUUGCUGCUUAAGCUCCAACAAGAAAUGCAGAAAGUCCUUAUUUUCCUCAUUUUGUUUACUGAUCUGCCCCUUGGCUGCAUCAAUCUUCAUCCGCUGAACUAUCACUGAGUCAAAAAUCCUGUCAAACCACAACACUAGUUUCUUCGUUUUAGAUUCGAUUCCUUGCAAAUCAAGCCAAGCAAGCGUAGGAAACAGAUCUGAAAUGUUAGGUUUUCCCAACAUUUCAACAAUCUCCCCUACCACUUGCCUGAACUCCACUCCCACGCUGCUCCUUUCUUCUCCAUGCAAUGAAGAACCCCAUAACAUAUUCAUUACUACAUUAAGUAUGGCUAGGAACAUUUGCUCGCCGAGAUUGAUGGGUGAACCAACCUUUUUAUAAACUUCCUUCACCAUUUCUCGUACUUCAGCACGACGAAGAGCACAGUCAUCAAGAUUCAAGCUGCUCAUCAUCUCUCGAACAAAAACCUUGCGUAACUGGCGCCAUUCGGGGCCGUUAGGCAUCCAUACUAUGUCAUGCAGGCCAUAAGAGGUGACCAAAGCUGAAGCAGGAGGAUCGCGAUUGGCGAAAAUUGCAUCUUGGUCUUUGAGGAUUUGCUUGGCUAAUGAAGGUGAGCUUAUGUGAAUACAGAUCUUGCUGCCUAGUUUAAGCUUGAAGAUUGGUCCAUAAACUUGAGACAAUUUGGCACAGUAGCGGUGAAAAUCAGGUUCAAUGGAGAGAAGGUUUCCUAGCACCGGUAAUCCCAGAGGUCCGGGCGGCCAUGGUGGGGUCCUUGAUUUCUUGAUCAGCCAUGAUACGGCAAUUAUUGCGACUGACAUAGUAGCUAUCACUCUGACAACAGUGUCUUCAAAAAUUACGCUAAACAUUUUAGAGAUAACGUUUGAUAUCACGGCUCCGGGAAAGGGUUUAAAGCUUCACAAAGAUUCGGAAUAUUUUGCCACAAACUAAAACGACAGAAAAAGAGCAGAAAGAGAGAGUGGGAAAUAAAUAAAACUUAGAUUUGAUUCUGAUUUGCUCAAUUGCUUGGCUGGACUGACAAAUGUUUUGACUAAAGAUAUAUCAUUUCUCAACCAUUUCAAGAGUAUGGAACGAAUAAGUAGCCACCACAACUAUUUAAUGGUAUUUCAGAAUUACCUCGAAAUUUUAAUUUUCUAUUAACCAAUCACUUUUCUGUUAACUCCAUUAACUGAUAAUUAAAAAAUUUAAGAUAAAAGAAUAUUUUGUCAUGAAACCUUUUAAAUAUUAUUUUUUCUUAUUAAAUGAAUUAAGGAUAAAAUAAUCUUCUAUCUUAAAUUUUUUAACUAUAACUUAUGAAAUUAGUGAAAAAAUAAUUGAUUGGUAUACAAUGAAAAUUUGAAGUAGCUCUAAAAUAUUAUAAAAGACUCAUAAUGACUACUUGUAUUUUCGACAUUCUUUAAGUGAUUGAAACAUAAUUUUCCUCCCGUUGAAUUAUGUCAAACGUGAUAAUGUAAAUAGGUACACAAAGUGGCCUGUAGAAAUUUAUAGUGAUAUGAUGGAUUGACCACUGAGUGCCCUACCUCCAUAAUUGAGCGGUGGUUAGACGAUGAAGUCAUUGAUGAAGUAGUGGUUGUCGGUGGCAGCACUUACAUCGGCCAUGCCAUGGCAUAAAACAUGCGCCUCAGCCUGAGACCUCAAUUACCCAUGCAACUUCAGGAUCCAGUGUUCACAAAGAUAAAAGAACAAUUUCGGAAAACUCCUAAAACUGUAAACCACAAUUAUCGUAUAUUUUUUCUGUGACAAAGGGGAUACAAGCGACUUCUUGUGGAAUGUAUCAAGCAGCAAAUGUUAACAAUAGCUCAACAACAGUAGUUCUAUUAAUAGUUCGGGGUCUGAUAAUAAAAAAACAAAAUGGCUAGAAAAGUCAAUCAUAUGUCUAGCUAUUAUCAACCAUUCCCACAGAUAUCUAACUUGUAGUAGUCCAAGCUGUGUUGUUUGAAAUCUAUUUAAUUUUAAAUACAUUAAAAAAAACUGCAAUUGCCUAGCUGUUACAGAACUUGAUUUCAGAUCUCCAGCAAUCGGAGAUGAGUACACAACAAAAAUAAAACAAGUAUGUGCAAGUUUCGGUAUCAGGUGCACUCAUAGAACCACCCAUGCAGAUUCCAGAACAGGCCAAGUAUGCGUAAGAAGAAGAAUAUCACAAUGGCCUAACUUACCACAUUUUUGUAGCGGCCAGCCUCUAAGACUAAAUGUUUGCCCGUAUUUCUCCAAUUCAUUCAUUUCAGUACACUGCCUCUAAAGUUUGCAUAUUUACAAAUUGAAUAGCUCACAGGCAUCAAUGUCCUUUAUCGUCUAUCAUUUUCAUGUUUGUCCAGCCUACUUAAUAAUGCAGUGCAGUUCAAGUGAGUUAGGACGAACAGAUCCUCUUAGUCUUAGGUAAAUGGCAGUCAACUAAUUCUCACUUCAAACAAAUAUAUACAACUGAAAAUUUUUCAAUUUAUGUCUUUCAGCAGCCUAAACAAUGCAGAAUACUAGUUAAGAUAUAUGCAAGGUGCUAGUAGAAAUACCAACACUAGUGCAAGAAAGCAAAAGGAGAACAUCACAAUACAUUUUUCAAAAGUUUCAUGAAAAUUUAAUACGAAAUCAUAGAACUAUUCCUCCCAAUGCAAGUAGUACUAAGAUUACAAAACCAACCAAAGCAAAAACUCAUCCAUCUGUUUGAUUAGAGUACAUUCAAAUUCUCAAAUGUUUUAGCAUACGCUUUUUGUCACAAUGAUACUUUACAUAAAAUUGCAAUGCAUCAGGAGAGACAUUUCCAGAAAACCCACACAAUAAUUCCAAUUAUAUUUACCACAAACAAGCUAAUUCAUAGAACAUGAAUAGACUCAGGAAAAGAUGUAAAACAAACUCUCAAAAUUCGACAAAGAAAAUGACUUGAGUAAACUAAAAACACCAUUUAGCAUCCUCUCUUAGAGCAAGAUAGUGAAGACAAUAACUUAGAUGGUGAAACAUCAGAUGAGAACCCAAUAUAAACACAAGUUGUUAUUAAAACUCGAAUUAUGACUGUAGAAAUUUGUCGACCAGAUUAUGUCCCAAAGUAACAAGUCAUGAUUAUAAUAACUAAACUACAGAUUGCAACCAAAAAAAAAAUGUGGGAAAAAAAAGAGGAGAUUAUUCUGGUUUCUCAAUACAAGUCAGUUAAUACCUGCAAAGAAUGAACAUCAACUAUUAAAUCCCUUAUAUAGGGGUUCAAGAAUUGAGGAUCAAGUCAAAACAAAGACUCAUAAGAUCCUACCAUAGCAAAAAGGACUCAUUUAUACAGCACUCUUCUUCCCAGAAUCUGAAUAGUAAUCUAGAUACCACCGAACAAACUUCUUCAACCCCGUCUGCAAAUUCGUGGUGGGCUUAUACCCAAGCUCCCUCUGUGCCAAGCUAACAUUAGCAUGAGUGAACAAGACAUCCCCGUUUGCCGGCAUUGGCAACACAAUCUUUUUAGCCUUCACUUUCAACAACUUCUCCAAUAUACUCACAAGCUUCCCAACAGACUCUGGCGACUUAUUCCCAAGAUUAAACACUCUCAACUGCGCUGCUCCCUUCUUCUUCCCACCACUCCCUGUACUCUUCUUGGCCGUAUCCAAAGCAGCCAAGCAGCCCUUCACAAUAUCAUCAAUGUAGGUAAAAUCUCUCGCCACCGUAGCAUGACUAGGACCCUCAAAUAUCAUCACCGGCUUUCUUUUCAAAAUAUUCUUAGUGAAGAAGAAAUACACCAUAUCAGGUCUACCCCACGGUCCAUAAACCGUGAAAAACCUCAAACCAGUAAUCGACAAUCCAUAUAUAUGAUUAUAAGUAUGAGCAAUCUCUUCACCAGCCUUCUUAGUGGCAGCAUAUAAACUAGAAGGCUGAUCAGUUCUAUCUUUUUCCGAAAAGGGUAUCUUUUUAUUCAGUCCAUAAACUGAACUAGACGAUGCCCAUAUAAUAGCAGGCUGUGGAUUCGCAGUUUUACAAGCUUCUAACAAAUUAACAAAACCGGCAAUGUUACUAUUAACAUAAGACAUUGGAUUCUUCAUUGCAUAACGAACCCCAGCCUGUGCCGCUAAAUGCAUCACGUGACUAAAUUUCACUAAAUUAAAAAGCUUUUCUAAUAAAAGAGAGUCAUUUAUAUCACCUUCGACGACAAACACUCCGGCGCGUACGAGCAACGAAGCGCGGCCGCGUUUCAGUGACGCGUCGUAGUAAUCGUUGAAAUUGUCGAGCCCCACGACGCCAUCUCCGCGCCGUCGCAGGGCGGCCGAGACGUGGGUGCCGACGAAGCCUGCGGCGCCGGUGACGAGGACGAUAUGGCCGCCGGCGCGGGAGCGGGGGCGGGAGGAGCGGAGGACGCGGUACUCCCAGCCGGCGCCGCCCCACAAAACGCGAAGAGAGGAAUCGGAGGGAGAGGACGUGGAGUGGUGGAAGAAGAAGAAGUAGAACAGCGAGAGGGAGAGGAAUGCCCAGAAGGAGAGCUUAGCGGGGGAAAAAUGGUAGCGGAAUCGGUGAAUGUAGAUGGGUUUGUCCAUGGUGGGAAUUUUCUCGGGAAAAUCAGAAGGAAAGUGCAGUGAAAUGUAAUGGAGUGAAUGAGUGAUGUUAGUUGAUCAUCCUUGAUCACCAAUGUGAGUGGUUUUUUUUAACUUCUUUUUCUGUUGUUUAUACUUUAAUGCUAUUGCUUUUGUUUCUUUAUUUGGUUUUUUUUUUUUUUUUUUUUGGGGUUAAUUUGUAGUUUUUUUUUUUUUUUUUUUCUGAUGGGUGAUAUUGUUUAUGAAGUGAGGAGUGAUUAAUUAAUUAGUGAAGAGGGUGUUGAAGAUUUGGAGGUUAACUGGAGAAGUUAUGAGGUUUGUGCUUGUGCUUGUGCUUGUGCGUGUGUGAGAGAGAAAGAGAAAUUAAUGUGGAUUUUUAAUGGCGGAGGAGACCUGGUAAAACCAGAAGUCAAAACACUGUUUUAAAUUCAUCAGUUUUGGUUCCAUGAGACCGCUAUAUGUACAUUUUUAGAUAUUCGUGGGUAUUUUAGAUGUAGACACUUGUAACAUCUUAAGUAUUAAGUUUGAAAAUUUAGUGUAUGUUUGGUAAGUCUUAUCUAAUGUUUAUAAGUAUUUAUUUAAUUUUAUAAAUUUUUAUUUAUAAUUUUUAUUAUUAUUUAAUUAUUUUUUUAGUAGAACUUUUAAAGCUUAAAUAAGUUAUUUUAUUUUUACUAGAAAAAUCUUAAAUUUUGAACUUUUGAAAAUAGAUGUUGAAAAGCUUUUCUUAAAUGUUAAAAUAUUUAAAAUAUUCUCUACUUAUUUGACAAUCUUAUUUUAUUCUUUUAAUAACAUAACUUUAAAAAACUUGUCUAUUAAAGUAAUUUCAUAAAUUUUUAAUAAAAACUCACAUUGACAACUAAACAACUAAAAUUUUUUGAGCAAAAACUCUACUUACAUAAGCUUACUUGAGAAGCUAUAUCAAAUGGAAUCUUAAUCCACUAAUAUAUAGUUAUAGAUUGGUAUGACUUAUCUAACAAUUGUAAUUAUUUAUGUUUUUGUUGAUUUUUAAUUUUUUAAUAGAAUUUUUGAAAAUUAAAUAAGUUAUUUUGUCUUCAUAAGUAAAAGUUCAAAUUUUAAACUUUUAAGAGUAGAGAUUAAAUUUUUUUAAAAAAAUAAAAUAUCAAAUAUAUCGUUUACUUAUUUGACAAUCUUAUUUUAUUCUUUUUAUAACAUAACUUUAAAAAAAUUGUCUAUUAAAGUGAUUUUACAAUUUUAAAUAAAAAAAUUUAUUGACAACCAAACAACUAAUUUUUUAUUUUAUAUUAAAACUCUACUUGUAAAAAUUCUACUAACAAAAAUUUUACUUAAAUAAGUUUUAUUUGAAAAAAUGAUACAAAACAUAACUAUAGAUGAAAUAUACCAUUAUAUAAAGAGAAUGAACCCCAUAGAACUCAAAAUUAUUAUGAUUAUUUUUACAUUAGAAUAUUAUGAUUUUGUCACAUAAGUUUUUUGACAUACCAUUUUACUACAAAAGUUUUCUGACAAAUAUUUUUUCUCACUUAAUGUUUCCAUUUUUUUCAUUUUACCACCGAAUUAUUAAAGUUAAUAGAAUUUUUAACAGAAAUUAGAGUAAAAGUCUAUUUUACCCCAAAAUUGUAUAAGUGUAAUUUAACCCUCUAAUUAAAAAAUAUAAAAUUGAUUAUAUACAAAGAAAUAAUACUUUUAUUAAUUGAUUAUUUCUAUAUCUGAAAUAAUCAAUUGAUGAUAUUGUAAAUAUUAUACCUUAUGAAAAUUUUAAAAUAUUGAAUAUGUUGACAUUCCUAAAAUAUUCUUAUAAUAUCAUCAAUUUAUUAAUGGAGUUAACGGGUUAAGUUGUAAAACAAUGGUUAAAUAUAUAUAAAAGCCUAUGUUUUAGACAGUUUAGUCACUUUAUGUUAUAAGGAUAAAAUAGUCAAAUUAAAAUUAUAUUAAAAUAACUUUAGUGAUCGACAAUGACAAAGAGACUUGUGUAUAAAAAAAUGACCUAAUUGAUCGGUUACCUAAACUUUUUCUUUAUUUUAAUUUUUUUUUUAAAAAAAUUCUGAAUUUUUAUUUUAAUGGGGUGGAUUUUAUACAAGUUAUAGGGUUGACAUAUCCCCACCCCAUGAUAAAAACCUUUGCCUAAGUGUUGAGUGAAAAAAAUUUGUUGCCAACGAUUCUCUUAGUUUUCUGGGAAUAUAUGGAGACAAGAGCAAACUCUGGUUGUGUGACAAGCCAACGCAUCUCUUAUUUCUGUUUCUGUCAUCAACUUACUGUUAGUUUAUUGAAUAUUUCAACGGAGUUAUCGAAAAAUAAAUAAAUGAGAAAUUAUCAGCCGAGUUUACCUGUUAUUAAAAACAAUGUAAAAAAUUUAAAUUUGCUCCAUUUUGUAUGUAAUGUAUAUAAUUGAAUCAAUCGUUCAUCAAAAAGACUAAUGGUGGAUGGUUGAUACAAUUAAUAGACAAUAGUGCAAAAUCAAAUAAAUCAAACAUUUGUAACACUUUUAGUAACAAAUAUAUGUAAGUUCUGCUCCCUCCCCCAUUUUUUUUUUUUAACUUACUUAAAACUUUUAUGCUGUAAUUUAUUAUAUGGGUGAUGAUAUUUGAGCCUCUUAUAGUAUCUCAACGGUACUCACUUUCUGUUUAACCCCACUAAAAUUUUUAAAUUAAUUUUUAUUUCUCAACAUACCCCACCUAAUCUCGAAUUUACACUUAGUAUAAUUUUUAUUUUUUUUCCAAACGUCGACCGUAUAAAACUUAUAAAAUCUAUUUAAAAAGAAAGAAAAAAAUCUCAGAAUUACUAUACUCUCUCUCUCUCUCUCUCUCUCUUUAAAGGUUUUAUCCAUCAUUGCCAUAACCAUUAAAAAAAAAAAUUUGAUACAUUUUCAUCAUCCUCUAUUGAGUACUAUAAAUUAAUUUCUUCUAUAAUUAUAAAAGUAGAGCAUGCAAUAUUUGAGAAGAGAUAAUAAUUUAAAAAGUUAAAAAAAGGUUUAAGAAAUUAAAUUAGUUAAAUUAGAUAUCAAUAGAAAUUAUCAUAUGGGUAUAUUUAAAAAUUAUUUACUUUUUUAAGUUAUUACAUAUAAAGAUAAAAUAAGUAUUAACAUAAAAGUGAUUAGUAGAGGCUGAUAAAAUAUAAUGAACGGUCAAAUAUCACAAUUCUUAUUGCACAAAAUAUUGGGCUCAUUCUGCUGAUUAAAAAGCCCAAAUUCGAAACCCAACCACCCUCCACCAGGCCCCGGCAUACCCAUUAAGAGAGGAAAAUUGGAUGUGCCCCGAAAUUUAAGGAAAAGAAGCCCACAUUGCUCAUCCUUAUUUGAUUUUCAACUUUACCAAAAAAAAAAGAUUAAUCCCGGAAUUACGAGGACAAGUUAAGAUGAUUUGAUUCACGAAAAUAUCAUAAAUAGUCUCAGUGCAUGUAGCAACUAGCAAUUAACGAUCGAAAUAUCCUAGUUUUUGAGUGAGCAGGAAAAAUAUUUUUAUUUCCGUGUAUGGGGUCUGGAUGGUAAAAUACCAUUUCAUUUUCACCUGUAGUUUUUUCUUGCUUUUUUUUUUUUUUUUAUAAUUGACGUGGGAUUCAUGUGAGAUGUGUACAUCUUAUCUCUAUUAUAAGAGUUUAUUGUCUGUUCUCUUCUUUUUUUCUUUUUUAAUUACUAAUAUGUAUUGUAUGGUUAGAGGUCUAUUAAUAUUUACAUCAAAUAUCUAUUGGGACUAGUUAUAUUUACUCUAUGAUAUCAUAGUUUAGAUAUCUACGCAUACUGAAAUGAUAUCUAUUCAAUCUACAAACCAAUGGAGGAAAUAUCUACUUUCAUUCAAAUUUCAUUUUGAGAAAAGAUAUAUGAGUCUCAUAAAAAAUUCAAAUUACAAUCUACUCAACUGAAAGUUGAACGACUUCCAUUAUAAGAGUUAAGUCAACUAAAAUAUUCUUGAAAAUUUAAUUUUUCAAAAAUAUAUGUAUGUUGAUUGGCAAUGACUACCUUGGAGCUGCUUCAAGAUAGAGUACAAAUUACCGCCAUACACGUAAAAUAAUAAAUAAUUAAAAAACGCGUUAUAAUUCUAUCUUUUUAUUAUGAAAACGUGUUUUAGCAGUUUUAAUAUUAGCCGAAUCCAUGUUGAUUUUAUAGGAAAUCGUUUUAAUCAUUAAUGUCUCGAAAACAUCAUUAGGCUGAUUAGAUUUUGUGAUUUAUCCAUAUGUAAUCAAUGAUUUACGGUGGCUUUCGGUUCUUUUUGAUUCAUAAGGACGCUAAUUUUGGUCGCUUGAUUGAUUGAUUCAUUCAUUCACCAGCAUCAUUCUGUGGAUAAGCUUUCUGUUCAAUCAUAGGACCACAAUUUUGAGCUUUUUCUCUACGUGAUUCCCAAAAAAUUAUCACAAUGAUGUUCGGCUUACAAUUGCCAUAGCCAUACACAACAUCGAAAAUAUCAAAGCAUUUUAUUUACCAUCAAAAUAUCUUAGAAGGGUAAAUAUGAUUUGCGUAAAACAUCAUUAUGCGGUUCUGUUGAUUGAGAUUUGAGAGAACAACAAAAUGGGGGGCAUACAUACACUUUUGAUUUGAGAGGGGUUUAAAAAAAAAAAAAACAUGUUACAUUAUCAUAGGCUCCUCUAAUAAAAUUUUGUCGCACAUAAAAACAAAGAGAAUAUCACAAUACUCAUCAAUCUUGUCUAAGUGAUCAGGAUUCUCUUCUGAUUUAAUCAUGUUUUGAGCAAAUAAUUUAAUUGUUGAUUGAUAAUUAAUAAAUAAAAGAAGUUGAAUCUUACCCAUACACUAUCACUAAAAACACAUGGUAGAAGAUCUUAAAAAGAUCAGAAAAGAUCAUAUCAGGAAAUGAUCAUUUUCCCUUGUCUAAGACUCUCUCAUAUCUCUUUACAUUUUUAUUUUUUUUUAAUUACAUAUUAAAUCUUUUUGUUUAAUACGGUUAUAUUUGAUUGUUACUGAUAUUAUAUCAAGUAUUACAAUUAAUAUUUACAAACAGAUUCUACAAUUGGGACCUUCUUCGUGGCAUGUACUCCUCUGAAGUGCUGUCCAGAUUCUUUAAACUCUCUCAAAUAUUCGAGAGUUGUCCACUCCACUUAUAUUUCGUGAGGGAUAGACUGACUCCACUCAAUUAUUUGAUAAUUAAAAAAUGAUUAUAAAUAACCCUCAUAAAUACUUUUAUAGAGACUCAAAAGUUGAACCCUUGCACUUAACAUUGUAAGUGCAAGGGUUGUAAAUUACAUAUUAAAUCUUGAUGCGUAUGGAACUUGAACUCGGAAUUAAUGCAUUUCAGUUUUGUUGGGGGCUUCUUAAAUUACUUGCCGUGGCUCUGUUGCAUCCAAAACUCUGAAAUCUUUUCCUUGGGUAUGGUAACGAAAUGGUUUUCAGUCAAACCAAUCGAUUUUCACAUGAAAAUUAAUUAAUUAUAUACAGAAGCUUCUGUUUUCUGCAUUUGCCUAUACUCACCGCAUUUAAUUGUGCACCUUCGCAAUUCAUUGCCAUAAUAAGAAACUCCAACCACCGUGGCUGCGUCAAUAGUAAUUACAUUUCUCUUUCAACUUCAUGCUCUUGUCUUUUCAUAUUUCAUUUCUCCCUCAAAAGUUUAAGCUUCUAAGAUUACAAUCAAGAAGUAAUUACAAAAUUCAAUAAUUUGGUUUGUAUAGGACAAACGUUUUAAUAAGUAAGACUUAUCGUGUCCCUUAUUAGGUAUAUCUUUAUUUUCUUAUUAAUAAUUCUCUCGUACAAUAGAAAUGCAUUUAAUUUAAACAAAAAAAACCCAACUCGUCCAAAAAAGAAAUUACUAGCCUUGCCACUAGUUUUAUCGUAACAUAAUUCAUAUAUCCAGACUCAGAAGUCCAGAGCGAAGCCAAAUCUACAUCCAGAUAAUUGAAAGAAAAUCUACCACUCCACGCUAAGUACAUGAAAAAAAUUGAAUCUUUAUUCACAGCACACUAUGUAACAAAACUGUCACAACCAUAUCAAUAAGUUGGGAUGAAAUUGAAGUUUUAAUAAAUGCUACUGAGUUGAAUUUCUCAUUUAACCAAAAGGGUCAUCAUCAAAGUCAUUUUCCUAUAAAAGGCUAUAAUGUUUUGCCCAUAAUUUUCAUAUCGGCCUUUAAGAAUAGAUUACUGACAAAAUUUUAUUCAACGACAUGGGUCAUUUAAUACCACUUCUAAGUCUAUUUAUUUUGUUAUCAAUAGGCUUUUGAUUUAAUGGAAAAAGUCUUAUACAUAUAAUAUUGAGUGUAAGAGUUUGAGUCUCCAUAAGAAUUUUAUGGAGGUUAAUUUUAGUACUUCCUCAAUUAUCAACAUAAUUUAGUGGAGACAAUCUAUCCCUUACGAAAUGUGAGUGGAAUAGACACCCCUCAAAUAUUAGAGAUGGUUUAAUACCACUUCUAAGUCUAUUUAUUUUGUUACCAUUUUUGGUCUAAUGGAAGAAGUCUUGCACUUAUAAUAUUAAGUGCAAGGAUUCGAGCUUCUAUAAGAAUUUUAUGAGGGUUAAUUUUAGUACUUCCUCAAUUAUCAACAUAAUUGAGUGGAGACAGUCUCUCCCUUACGAAAUGUGAGUGGAGUAGGCACCCUUCAAGUAUUAUAGAGGGUUAAAAAUAUAACAUCUGUGUAUAAAAGACUUAAAAAAAAAGUCUAUUUAUUUUGUUGGAAAAUACCUUGUUGAAAGGUAUUGUGAGUGUAUUUAUUUUUUUAUAUCAAAUGAUGCUUUGCCCAGCACAAUUGCUCAUAUAUCCUUAUAAUUAUAGUAUAAUUCAUAAUCUACAUUUAAUAUAGACUAGAUAUAACUAUUUGUACUUAUAAAUAUUAAAAAAGAAGAUAAAUUUAAUUUUUUUUUUCUUUUAAAUUGAACUCCUUCGGUCCUUCCUCCGGAAUUCAAAAGGAUUUUUUUUAACCCGGCGGCCAAUGUCAUUGAUGGUUGCCCACUUGCCUACAAUUAUUUAGAAGAGAAUAAAGGGGGGGAUUAUUGAUAAUUGAUAAAAAGUAAAUAGCCCACAAAGACACAGCGGCAUGGACCUCUCGGGACCAAGGUGUCUUUUGAAGAGUACAUUUUACCGAUAUUUGAUAUAUUUUCGUGGACCCCUAGCAGCUACUUUAGACCUUUUUUAACAAAAUGUCAUCAGAAGAGUAGGCCAUAUGGUUGUUCCUCAUAUAAUUAAUUAUGCCAAUGUUUUUCCAAUGUAGAACAAGAAAAAAGCUACCAUUGUUUGACUCAACACAUUCAAGCUCUUGAAACAGAAUCAUAAAAUAAUCACUCCGAACAAAUAUCUACGAGUUGAAGUCAAGGCUACAGCUUCUCAAUUGGACCACUAAUUGGAAGAGAAAUUAAAUAACAUUCUCAAUAUAAAUAUACAUAUAUGUUUUCUCCCACUGACACCGGUGCGAAAUAAAAUAUGGAUUUAAUAUUUUAUGUUAUUGUUAAUUAUUUUAAAAAAUGGAAAAAAAAUUGUUUUGUUAAAUCGGUAAAACGCUGAAUCUACACUUUACUUCAUGCGGAAUGUUCGCAAGAGAGAAUUUGUAUGUAGUCAUAUUUUAAUGAAGAUAUCCUUACUUUAAUAAAUAUAUGCUGCUAAAAUAUAUUUUAAUUUUUUUUUAAUACAUUAGAGACUAUAUUUUUUAUAUCUGUUAAUGUGUUAAAUUUUUUUAUUUUUUUAUUUGUUAGUAGCAUCAACGUUUUGUUAAAAUGACAAUGUCUUCAUUAGAUAAUACAUAUAUAUAUUUAAAGGUACAAUAACGAGCACCAGCUAAGUUACAACAUAUGUAACUUACAUCGACGGUCAACCUAUGAGUAGUUUCCCAUAACACAUUAGUUGUUUGGCUAACUAUAAUUGAGCCAAAUAAAAAAAAACUACUUCUUGGUUAUAACAAAUUAUAUCAUAUGUAACUUAAUAAGACCCAUGAUAAUGAUAUUGACUAAAAGAAAAGAAAAAAAAAUCAAAUUUGUAACUGUUAUAACAUUUAUACAACUAUUAUUUUAAUGUUAAAAUUUUUAUGAUAUAAUUGUAUGGAAUAAAGAUGCGCUACCCUCCAAUAGUUGUAUCUUACAUUCGAUACAAAUUUAUCACAUGGUAAUAAGAUCGUAGUGAAAAGUUGAUGAGGACUAUUACACAUAGGGUUCGGCUACAUUGGAGCACGAAUCUCAGCCACACACGCAAAGUGAUAAAUAAUAAAUAAUAAGUUAUAAUAAAUUUUUUAUUAUUUAUCACUUUACACAUGUAACUGAGAUUCAUACUCCACCGUAGAUGAACUCCAACACAGCAAUAGCCUUAUACAUAACAUACUAACUGUCGUAAGAUUAAUGAAUGGAUGAAAUUUCUUGUAAAGUCGUUCUCGAAACCAUCUAGUUUGUAGGUGACAGGCUACAAAACCCUAAAGAGCAGAUUAAAAUUAUGUACGUAGAUUUUUCUUACCUAACACUCGUAGACUUUUAUCAUUCCCAGCAAGUUGAAGCACUUUCUUUGACACAAAAAAUGGGUAAUUGCACAGUCAACGAAUGGCUUCAAAUAAUUGUGAUGAAUUCGGUGGAGAUAACGAGUUAGAAAUUUAUAAUCAUUGUCAAAGACUCAUCAUACGCGAUCGAAACAAAAUUAGAAAAAGGCAAAAAAAAAAAACUGUUGCAUUGCAAUGAAUUCCGUAUUCACUGUCGCUUUCGUUCGUUCACGGGAUUGUAAUCCAAAAAAAUAGAAAUAAUGGUUUCUUUGGUGACUGAUGCUAUCUAAUACGUAAAAUCACAACCUCAGUUUUAUCUACGAUGACUCAUAAGAAUGUCAGCAUGUUUGAUAAUAGACGAGCAAGAUAAUACAAUCAAAAGUUUGAUGAGGCCUCUCAUAAUAUUUAAGUGAAAGUUUGCUUUCACGAAAUAUACGGGUGUUUUUUAUGUUGAUGUUAGACAGAUAUAACUUUUAAGUUAUUGAUAAAUACUAUCUGUUGUAGUUUAAAAACUAUAUUGAUAUGAUAUUUCAUUUGUAUGAUGAAAAAUUUAUUAGAUCUUUAAUAAUUUUGUUAGUUAUUAUUUAAAAUUUAUAUUUACUACAAAUUAUUAUCUUUUAUUUCAUAAUUACACUUUUUUUCUACAACAAUUAUAUUUUAAAAACUAUAAUACCUCAAUACUAAAUAUGAUCUUAAUAAUAAUAAAAUUCAUAUAAAUAAGUGAUUGAUUAUUAUUGUGUGUGUGUGCGUGUAUAUAUAUAUAUAUAUAUAUUUUCAAUAGUCAUAUGUUAAUGAACCAUUGAAAUAGGAAAGUAAUCAACUUGCAAGUUGCAAGUUGCAGCUAGCGAGCAGCAGGAGUCUGGUGGUGCAGAAGGGUCCCACUAUCACCUAAUCCUUCCAUUAUGAGAUUCUUGAAUUAAACCGGAACGUGAUCUUCACGCGCCGAUGAGGAGAGUAAUCGUUCCACCGAUCUCUGGACUUGUAACCCGAUUGCCCGCCAUGCACCCCAAAGUUUUCGCGACGAUGUCUCACCAAAGCAAUCAAAACGCGUGUGAGGUGAGAGCGUGAGUGGGACACACAUGUCAGUGCGGGCGCACGCGUGUAGGGCAUAUUUCUUUUAUGUUUCUAUCCGAUCGAUUCCUCUGUGUUCACAAAGAAACUAAGAAAGAAAGAAAGAAAGAAAGGCUAAGGUGGUGUGACGUUACGUUCAACGGCGGGCCCGUAUCAGGGUUUGAUAAUCAGAAUAGAAUUUUUUAUUGAUAGGAGUUUUCUGAGUUUUUAAAAGUCUUUUAUCGCGUAUCUUUUAAUCAUGGUAUAUAGAUAAAAUUUAAUUUUUUAUUUAUUAAUAAUCAACCAACAAAUGAGUUAUCUAUAUAUAUAUAAAGUUAGGAUUUGAGGAGGUGACGUGGCAUCACCAUUUUAUUUUUUCACCAUUUUGCUUCUUUGUAUAUUCUCUAUUAUCUAAUAAAUAGAUAUUUUUAUUUUUAGAUUUGGCUUUUCAUCUUCUCAUAAUUAAUUUGAUUGUAUUUAACUCAUUUAAUAAAUAGUAACUUUAUUAAUAUAUAUCAUUCCUCAUCUUUUCAUAUUUUCUAUUAUCUAAAAUAUCUAAAAUAUUGGUGUAUAUUCUCUAUUAUCUAAUAAAUAGAGAAUUUUUCUUUUAGAUUUGGCUUUUUAUCUUCUCAUAAUUAAUUUGAUUGUUAUUAUACAAUAACAAUUAUGUAAAGAUUUUAAUUAAGCAUAUUCUUUGUAAUGAAUAUCAAAAGGGGAGUGUUAUGAAUUUAUUAAAAUAAAUGUAAAUGUUCAUAACAUAUAUCUCUUAGUCUCCCCACUAUCUCCCAUUAACAACCUUUAGCUUUCCUAUAACACCCACUAUCUCACAAGAAAUUAUAAUUCAUAAUUUUUCAUUAAUUUCAUAGAGUGAUUAUGUAACUAUAAAAGGAGAACUCAUCUUUUUGUUUUGUACACACACAAUUGGAAUGAAUAAAAUCACUCUAUAAUAUAUUCUCUCAUUUUAUUCUUUAUCUUGCGUUGCUUCUUUAUUUGUAUUGUUAGCUAAUAGCUUUUUUUUUUUUUUUUAUAAGGCUGCCUCAUCUUAAAAAAAAAAUCAAUUCUUAUUUUUUAUCAGUUUCAUCAAGUGUAAAGUAAGAAAAAAAGAUAAUACUAAAUUCUUUUUUCAAAGCCGCGUGAAACGCGAGUCUAUUUUCUAGUUUAUUUAAAGAGUAAUGAUACAGACAUAAAUUCUUGUAAAACUUAUCUUGUAUAAAUUGAUGUGACAUUAAUUCAUUGGUUGAAUAAAAAUAUAAAAUAAUAAAAAUAAAUCAUAUGGGUUAAGAAAUAUUUAAUUCAAUAAAUAAAUUAACGCCACAUCAAUUUAUAUAAAAUAAAUUUAUACAAGAAUUUAUGAUUAUAUUAUUACCCUUAUUUAAAAUAUAAUCGCAUCGGUAGAAAAUUUUAAGAAGCGUUCAAUCGUUCGGUGUCGAAGUGUGAAACUGUUAUGGCAGGCGAGUGGGACCCAGUUGCGGACGCUGGGUCCCGUAAUGGGUCAUUCUCAAUCUGAGCUGUGCGAUUGCUAUUGGCGUUUGGCGCUAUCUGUUAUGAUUAGGAGCCGCGCAAUUUCCUCCGUGACCCGUAACGCUGCCAUCAUCCCCUGUCUCACUCAAGUGGCUGUGCCUCCCUUCCACUUGAUCGAUUGAUCACAUACUCCCAAGUCCAUCGUCCUCACUGUGCUUUCGGCUUUCUUUUUUUUAAGGAAAAAUAUCCACCGCCCACCCGUUUUUUACACAUUUUUUAAAAAUACACAAUUCCUUCAUUUUUUGAUUGGAAUCCACCUAAAGUUACAUUUUGUUUCACUUUUCCACUUCCGUUUGAAAUCCGUUAAGAAAACUAACGGAAACUUAAGAAAAUGACCAUUUUACCCUCAAAACGAAAAUUACAAUUUCACCUUAAAAAUUACCAAAAAUAAUUAGAUUAAAUUUUAAUUUCUUUUAUGAUUAGAUUAAAAAUUAAAAAUUACAAUUUCACCUUAAAAAUAAUUAGAUUAAAAAUUAAAAAUUACAAUUUCUUUUAUCCUCUCAUUAAUUUUCGUUUUGGGGGUAAAAUGGUCAUUUUUUUAAGUUUCCGUUAGUUUUCUUAACGAAUUCCAAACGGAAGUGGAAAAGUGAAACAAAAUGUAACUUUAGGUGGAUUCCAGCCAAAAAAUGAAGGAAUUGUGUAUUUUUGAAAAAGGUGUAAAAAACGGGUGGACGGUGGAUAUUUUCCCUUUUUUUAAUCUCUCUUUUUUUUCUUUUUUUUUUGUAAUGAAAAAUUUCAACUGGGUACUGUUAAAAACCGCCUAUUAAAUCCCUUAAAUUAAUUAACAACGGCUCUGAGUUUUUUCUUUUUUCUUUAAGAAAUAUCUGUGAUAUAAAAAAAUAGUUGUUAAGUUUUUAACAAAAUUAUUCACCAUGUGAAAGCGAUGCACUUCUUGGUCGUGUUGUUUUGAAUAAGAGAAUAAUUAAAUUAAGAUUGAUAAUUAAUGAAUCUUAUUUUUAAAAUUAUAAUUAACUUUCUUUAAUAUUAUAUUAUAAUUUGGUGGGUAAAAGCCCAUUUAGUCCUUGUAUUUUUAAAAAUAUCUCGAAACAUCCCUGUCGUUAAAGUAUUGAUACCCAUACUAAUCUUCGCGUGAGAGUAACGACUGUUGCGAAAUUAAGAUGAUAUUGUAGUGAAUAAUGAUUAAAAUGAAUUGCUUAAGUUAACUUUAAUCAACUUUUAAGAAAGAAAGGUUAAGGCUAAUUAGCAAAUCCUACAAAUCAUCAUAUCAUAUAAACCUUUAAGAAAUAAGAAUGAGCUUUUGAAUAGAAAUUCAUUAUGUCAAGUCAUGGUAGGGUAAACUUAAACUGGGCGGGCAAUCAAUAAUUGAGCGUAAUAUAAGUAGGGUUCAAGUUCUUGCACGCAUUGUGAGAAGCAAAUCCAAUUCGCUCCAACUCAAACAUCCACAUUAUAUCAGGAAAAAAUUAUCUAAACAUGGUCUCAUAAGAUUUGUAAUCGUAGAUUUCAACCAAAUUAGGGUAAAAGCUCAUUUAGUCCCUGUAUUUUAAGAUUGGUAUCAAUUUAGUUCCUAUAUUUUAAAAAAUGUCUCGAAACAUCCCUGCCGUUAAAGUAUUGAUACUCCUACCAUUACUUUUUAUUUCUUUUGGCUUACUUUUACAAUAUUAUCCUUUUAUAAUAAUUUUUUUGUUUGGACAUUAAUAAAAAGAAAAUAAUUAAAUUACCAAUUUAACCUUAGAAAAAAUUAUAUUAAUUUUUUUGCAAGCAACAUUUGCACAUUUGGUAGUUUGCAUACAAUUUUUGACAAUUAAAAAUUAAUAUAAUUUUUAGGGUUAAAUUAGUAAUUUAAUUAUUUUCUUUUUAUUAAUGUCCAAACAAAAAAAUUAUUAUAAAAGGAUAAUAUUGUAAAAGUAAGCCAAAAGAAAUAAAAAGUAAUGGUAGGAGUAUCAAUACUUUAACGGCAGGGAUGUUUCGAGACAUUUUUUAAAAUAUAGGAACUAAAUUGAUACCAAUCUUAAAAUACAGGGACUAAAUGAGCUUUUACCCUAAUUUGGUUGAAAUCUACGAUUACAAAUCUUAUGAGACCAUGUUUAGAUAAUUUUUUCCUGAUAUAAUGUGGAUGUUUGAGUUGGAGCGAAUUGGAUUUGCUUCUCACAAUGCGUGCAAGAACUUGAACCCUACUUAUAUUACGCUCAAUUAUUGAUUGCCCGCCCAGUUUAAGUUUACCCUACCAUGACUUGACAUAAUGAAUUUCUAUUCAAAAGCUCAUUCUUAUUUCUUAAAGGUUUAUAUGAUAUGAUGAUUUGUAGGAUUUGCUAAUUAGCCUUAACCUUUCUUUCUUAAAAGUUGAUUAAAGUUAACUUAAGCAAUUCAUUUUAAUCAUUAUUCACUACAAUAUCAUCUUAAUUUCGCAACAGUCGUUACUCUCACGCGAAGAUUUGAUAUAGCUAUAAAAAGGCCUCAUCUAGGGACCAAACAUGGACGGUCUAGAUUAUGGCGCAUGUGAUUGCGGUGUAACAGAGGUCACAUAUUACAUCCACUUUUGCAUUUGCGAUUUCCCGCCACCCCACCCCCCCCCGCCGACGCGCGAUGUAGCAAAUGUGAAAAUUCAACAAUGCCCUCCAAUUUCAAGGAUUGUCCUCAUUUGAGAAGACAACAAAAGGGUCCCUUCCUUCGGAAAGAAAAGUAGAAGACAGCCGAAGGGUCCCAUUAUUGUCACCAUCUGCAUUUUUGACUGCGAUGAAAGCCAAAUGAAGGGGUAUUAUUGUAAAUUAGAUGAAAAGGGCUAUCGGCCUUUUAUCCUUUUGUGUGAAUCGAAUGCAGGGCUGGACCCUUUUAUGUGUACUGCGUAUGGUGUCAUUUUGAAGCAUGAGCGGACGGUUAUUCUUUUACUCAUGGCUUUUACAUGUUUGUUAAAUGACAUAAAUGUCAUGUUUUGUUACUGUAGAUAUCCAUCCACUUCGGCUUGGUGAGUUAGGCCGGUCAGCGAAGUUAUCUAUAAAGACUUAAGCAAUUAGGUCAGAUAAUUAAGUUAAUUAUUCAUGAAAACUAAGAGGUUGUUUGUUAAAUGUCUGAAUUAUGAAAUUUUAUUAAUUUCAGACUUUUUCUAAAAUAUAUUUGUUUGUUUUUUAGAACUUAUGUUUGAUUUUCAGACAUUUACAUCUGAAUAGAAAAAGUAAAUUUUUGUGACUUUUAUCUGAAUAGAAUAAUGUCUGAAUGACAAGUAAAUAUUAUAUUUUAAAAAUAUCUCCGUAAAACAACUUACUUCCCAAACUAAAAAAUCUAAUCCUCUUUUUUUGUUUUAAUUUACGAGGACAAAAAUGUCAAAUAACUAAGUUUUAGAUGUUUUUUAUUGUAAAAACAAAAAAGAUGUCACUUAUAUUCACAUAUUUAAAAAAGAAAAACAAACAUGUGAUUCCGAUUUUCGUAUUCAGACCCAUUCAGACUUUAGAAAAAUUUAGACUCAUUUAGAUUUCAGACCAAAAAAAAAAAAAACUCUACCUAAGCUAAUUAGGUCAAUCUGCUGUACGGCCAAGGCGGAUGUACGGUACAGCAGGCCUUUUAUCCUUUUGUGUGAAUCGAAUGCAGGGCUGGACCCUUUUAUGUGUACUGCGUAUGGUGUCAUUUUGAAGCAUGAGCGGACGGUUAUUCUUUUACUCAUGGCUUUUACAUGUUUGUUAAAUGACAUAAAUGUCAUGUUUUGUUACUGUAGAUAUCCAUCCACUUCGGCUUGGUGAGUUAGGCCGGUCAGCGAAGUUAUCUAUAAAGACUUAAGCAAUUAGGUCAGAUAAUUAAGUUAAUUAUUCAUGAAAACUAAGAGGUUGUUUGUUAAAUGUCUGAAUUAUGAAAUUUUAUUAAUUUCAGACUUUUUCUAAAAUAUAUUUGUUUGUUUUUUAGAACUUAUGUUUGAUUUUCAGACAUUUACAUCUGAAUAGAAAAAGUAAAUUUUUGUGACUUUUAUCUGAAUAGAAUAAUGUCUGAAUGACAAGUAAAUAUUAUAUUUUAAAAAUAUCUCCGUAAAACAACUUACUUCCCAAACUAAAAAAUCUAAUCCUCUUUUUUUGUUUUAAUUUACGAGGACAAAAAUGUCAAAUAACUAAGUUUUAGAUGUUUUUUAUUGUAAAAACAAAAAAGAUGUCACUUAUAUUCACAUAUUUAAAAAAGAAAAACAAACAUGUGAUUCCGAUUUUCGUAUUCAGACCCAUUCAGACUUUAGAAAAAUUUAGACUCAUUUAGAUUUCAGACCAAAAAAAAAAAAAACUCUACCUAAGCUAAUUAGGUCAAUUAGCUAAGUUACGUAUAAAAACAUAACUAAUCAGCUAAACGAAGUAUCUACAUUAUUUGAUCAAGAUAGCUUAUAAAUAGAUUUGUAAUGCUUUGUAUACAAUACAAUUUAAAAUCAAUUCUCUCUUUAACUAUUACAUCUGGUUCCCAUCUUUCUAUUAACAUCUAUAACAUGUUUAUUAUUAUUGCUUAACAGUCGCAUUUAUAAUACAUGCCAAUUGGCAAUACCAUGCUUUUAAGAUUGAGAGCAUGGGUGUCCUGUGUCCCAACAAUGGUUGAGUAUUAUUUUUUCCACUCAAUCUAACUAAGUAGGAUAGAUAUCUAUUCUAUUAAUAAUAACUAAGUAGGAUAGGUAUCUAUUCUAUUAAUAUAGUUGGAACAAUAUAUUCCUCUAAUAUUAAAUAAAUUUUUAAAUAUAAUAUAAAUAUUGGUGUUAAAAAAAAACACUGACAUUUAUAACGAAGGUCCAUUUAUGGCCUUGAGAUUAAUUUUUAUUCAUAUUUAUUUCAAUUGGUUAGACCCAUCAUAUAAAUUUAGUAGGUGUAUAGGUGCACUUUAACUGAUCAUAUGAAAAAAUUUAUUAUUAGCAAAUACAAAUGAUAAGGAAUAUAUAAAUAAGAACAACCAAUGACAAAAUUAUAAAUGAGACGGGCAGUCGGUCAAUCAAUCUCCAACAACUUCCUCAUGCAAAAACCUGUUCAUAUUAUUAUUAUUAUCAUGAUAUUGUAGACGAAUUAAGGCCAGCAGAUAUCAUCAACCAAAUUGUGUUGCCACAGUUGUGUUACAGUAUGCAAGAGGAUUGAUACGAUGCGUGCCGCUGUGCAUCUUGUAAUGCGUGACGGGACGCGUAUCAUAAUUUUAUUAUCAGCGUUGUGAGACCUGCCAUACAAUUUUUGCCAAUAGAAUCUUAAUGCCCGUUCUGGUCGUGCACCGUAAGUGCGUGACAGCCCACAUCAGAUCAUGAUUCAUGGAUGCAACAGUACAAAAAAAAUCCCCUAAAGCAAAGCUUGUAAUUACGAAAAAUUACUCCUGACAAACAUUUUCCCGCGCGCCUGUAAGCCCGUAACAAAUGAGAUCAGAGACGACGACCAUCAUCAUCAUCAUCAUCAUCAUCAUGAUGCCCCCUGAUUUCGUCUCUGACUUGUUGGCCCCACCUCCUACUCCCAGUCUCUUUUCACUUUAAGAAUCUAACUGUCCUCCAUUACCCGCAAAUCAAUGCCCCUCAGAAAAACAAAAAAAAAGGAAAUUCGAAAAUAAAAAUAAAAAUAAAAAUCAGAAAACCGAAUGAUUUAAGCCCCAAAAUUUAAAAUUUAAAUAGGUAAUAAUUUAUUCCCUCUAUAUAUUGCCCUGCAGACACGACACCAGGCGUUUCAAAUUUCUUUCAUUCAAAGCUUCGCACUCGCACACAGCGCGCGCACACUCACUCACUCACUCAGAAACUGAAAAAUGCCGCCGGUUACGGUGGUCCUCAGCCUCACGUUACUUACCAUACUCCUCACCCUGUCACCGUCCAUUGCCUGGCGCCCAUGGCCCAACAUGAAACACAACAGCUCUGAAUACAUCUACGGCAACUCCAAAAAAUACGAGGGCUCAUCCGAGUUCGUCCACAUGAAGUACCACAUGGGCCCAGUCCUCACCGCCAACAUCACCGUCCACCCAAUCUGGUACGGCACGUGGCUGAAGAGCCAGAAGAGGAUCAUCCGCGAGUUCAUCAACUCAAUCUCCGCCGUCGAGUCGAAGCACCCCUCGGUCGCCGGCUGGUGGAAGACCGUACAGCUGUACACGGACCAAACUGGCGCGAACAUCUCCCGCACGGUGCGGUUAGGCCAGGAGAAGAACGACCGUUUCUACUCCCACGGGAAGUCCCUCACGCGCCUGUCGGUCCAGUCCGUGAUUAAGAGCCACGUCACAGCGAGGUCAAAGCCGCUGCCGAUUAACCCGAAGGGCGGGCUCUACCUCCUGCUGACGUCGACCGACGUGUACGUGCAGGAUUUCUGCGGGCAGGUGUGUGGGUUCCACUACUUCACCUUCCCCUCGAUCGUCGGGUACACGCUGCCGUACGCGUGGGUGGGGAACUCGGCGAAGCUGUGCCCCGGGGUGUGCGCGUACCCGUUCGCGGUGCCGCAGUACAUGCCGGGGCUGAAGGCCGUGAGGUCGCCAAACGGCGACGUCGGGGUGGAUGGCAUGAUAAGCGUGAUCGCCCACGAGAUUGCUGAGCUGGCGACGAACCCGCUGGUGAACGCUUGGUACGCGGGGCCCGACCCGGUGGCUCCCGUGGAGAUUGCGGAUUUGUGCGAGGGUAUUUACGGAACGGGAGGGGGUGGGUCGUACACGGGGCAGCUGUUGGACGGUGAGGAUGGUGCCACCUAUAAUAUGAAUGGGAUCAGGCGCAGGUUCUUGGUUCAGUGGGUGUGGAAUCAUGUGGUCAAUUACUGUACUGGACCCAAUGCCCUUGAUCAGUAGUAUUUUUGGUUUUAGUAAUUUUAUUUCCCUUACCCUUUUCUUUUUCUUUUGUUAUUUUGUUUUUUAUUAUUAUUAUUAUUUUUUUUUUGGAGGUAUGUACGGGGGGGGGGGUUUGGUUUAUGCGGGGGGGGGGGUUUGGUUUAUGCCAUGGUGAAGGGUAUUGUGGAUGUUGUUUGAAGUGGAGUGGAGUGGAGUGAAGUAAGGUGGUUAAAAGUUUGUUAAAUAUGUUGUAAUAAUUAUUUAGUUAAUUAAUUAUUAUCGGUAUACCGUUUGUAUACAAAAUAGACGGUGUUAUUUCCCGCUUUUUAUUUUUAAGUUACCAAGAUUAGAUUAGCAGAUGGAUGUUUUAUUGAAUAAUAUUUGACCAUCUUUGGUCUUUUAUUUAAAUUGAUUUAUAUUUCAUUAAGUUUGCUGAAACAAAUCAAUCUCAAAUGCCAAAGCAAAUUCAUCUUUUUUUUUUUAUCAGAUGAACUUAGAACUGAAGAGGUGUUCAAUUAACUAAAAAUAUUUAUCAGUUUCGUGUAUCUCGGCGGUGCCCAUGACUUGUUUCGCUUUUACUUAUGAAUCAAUAACUUUAUUGGGAUCUGUGAUGGGAGGCUUAUGAUGUACUCUUUUAACUUUUUUUUUUCUUUUUUUUCUUUUUUUUUCCCCGUAAAAGAUUUUUCUCCCAUUUCGAGAUGUUAACAAAUUUUAUUAUUAAAAAACAAGCAGAUUUUAUUAUGCACUGUUUUUUUUUCUCUUCUCCGGCUAACUCAAAAGUUCUUGAAAUGUUCACAUCGGGAGUAAGAAAUUGCAAAAUCCCAGGAAUAAAUAAUUAUUUGUCUCUCAUUAUUUUUCGUUUCUUUGCCACUUCUUCGCCACAUAACGUGUAUGUAUGUUUGUUUUCGGUCAUUUAUUUAUUUUUGAUUUUUUUAAUUUAUUAUUAGAUAAUUUUAUUUAAAUAGACAAAAUAAAAAAAAUAUACUUUUAUCUAAAGUUUGAAGUUUAAAUAGAAAAUUUUAAUUUUAAAUUUUAAAAAUACCCUUAACAAUUUAUGUAUUUCUAAUAUUAUGUAUAAACUUAAUAUUUUAUAUUAUUCUUAAAGUUAUUUUUUUAAUUACUUUAAAUUUUUAUUCACAUGAUAACAUUAACUAAGUUGAAAUAUUGAACAAAUCAAAUUAUAUCCAUUAUUAUGAAUAAAAAAUAAAACAAUAAUAUUGACUUUAUAAUAAAAAUUAAUGUUAUAAUUACAUCUUUUAUUACAAAAUUAAAUUAAGAUCAACCAUGAUAAUACUUUCUUUUAAUGCUACCAAAUAAAUCAACCUGUGAAAAUUAUAAAUUAUGAAGAAUAAAUAUAUGCACUACUUAAAAGAAUAUUUAUGUCAAACUACUAACUUUAAUUUUUUCUCUUCAAAUGCUGAAAAGAAAAAACAAACAUGUCAUUCAGAUAUUUUCAUACAGAUCUAUUCAGAUUUCAGAUAAAAAAAAAAAAAUGCAACUUUAGUAUCAAGAUUUUAUAAUUUUUUAAAUUAAAAGCUAUGGUUACUAUAAAACAAAUUAUAAUUAUGAAAUAACAUUAAUAAUGUAUAGUCAAUAUUUUUUUAAAAUAAUAAUUUUGAUAAAAAUAAUAAUAAAAUUAUAAAUUAUGCAACAUACCAAUAGUAAAUCAAAUUAACUUAGUUUUUAAAUUAUAAUAAUUAGUAUUUAUCAAAUAUUUUAUUAUUACAGUGUUUAAACUAUAAUUACCUAAUUUCAAUAUGAAAUAGGACCUUAAAACUCUUGCCUUACAAAUAUAUAUACACGUAUCUUGCAAUUAUUUGAUGAAAAUCUAUAAACUAAGUUAAAUAGACCUCUAAAUUAUAAAAUAACUAUAUGAAUUCAUAUAAAUUAGCAAGUUUCUGUAUUUGUAAUAUAAUAAUCAAAAGAUAAAGAAAGGUUUCCACCAGAUUUCAAUCUAAUGAAUAAUGAUGGUUUCUUUUCUUCAAGCCCUAAUAAAUAAAUUUGACAAAGUUAUUUUUUUUAUAAAAAAAAUUGACUAGCUGGCUUCCAAUUUGGGUGGCUUUGAUUAUCGAUGUUUCAAUCAAAGUAAAUGUUUUUUUAAUAAAAAAAAAUUAAAAAUGGAUGUUUAGUGAAAACAAACAUUUAACAAUUGACCCCAUUAGGAAUAUAAAAUCGUUUUGAGAGUUGGUAGAAGUAGAAUCUUCUGAAAAGGACACGAAACAUUGAGAGGAAGGAGCUUAAUGAAUUAAAAAUAUAAAUAAUCUAAUAGUUGAGAGACCAUUUUUAUAAUCUGAUUAGUGACUUGAAGCGGCGGAAAAGCAGAACCGGCCCAUGACAUAAAAUGAGGGCUCUGAUUCUUUUGACCUACAAAGGCUACAAGGUCUUGUGUGGGUAAAUGGUGUGUUUGGUUGUAGUAUUAAGAGGGUAUUAUAAUAUUAUUCACAUUAAAAUAAUAUUAAAUCCAUGUUUGGAACAAAAUUGUAAGGGAUUGGGGUGGGGGGCCUAAUGCGUCAACUGACGCAUUAGCUUUGUUUUUUUUUUUUUUUUUCUUUUGCUUUUAACUUUUGCUUAUUUAAUAUUUUUAUUUUUUUUUACAUUAUAAUUAUUAAUAUAAAUUAAUAAAUAAAUAAUUUAUCAUUCAAUAAUAGUAUUUUUUAAUUUUUACAUUAUAAUUUAUUAAUAAAUUUAUAACUUAUUAUAACUAAUAAAAAUAUUUAAAUAUGAAUAAAUAUGAAUAAUAUUAAUUUAAAAUUAAUAAUAAUAUAAAUAAUAACAUAAAAUAUUAAUGUAAUUUAAAUAUAUUAAUAUAAUAUAAUAUUUAAUUUAAAUUAAUUAAAAAAAUAAUACAGUACAGUGUAGCACCAAGCAUUGUACAACAUUAUUAUAAUACAAUACUAAUACAAUACAGCAUAAUACAAUACACCAGUAUUAAAAUAAUGCAAUACAGCAUAAUACAAUACAGUGUACCAAACGCACCCAAAGAAAAAUAAUCCCAUGGGCUUAUGCUUUUGUCUUUUCCAUUAGCAAUUUAGUGGCCAAGAGUAUAUUCGGAAUUUUGGAAAUAGGGUGUUUCUUUGACUUUAGGGGAAAAAAAUAAAAUAAAUAAAUAAAGGUUUUCUUGUUGUACUUUCAUUUUUAGUGCUGUAAAACAAGAAAGCAGUUUUGGUAUUUAAAAGCGCUUUUGGCAAUACCAAAAAUGCUUUGAGAUGGCGAACUAGCAUUCUUGUGUACUGUGUGAACUAGAUAAAAACGCCCCUAGAGAAUCGAAGAUGUUGCAAUUCACUGUCUUGAUAGAUUCUCUAAGAUGUUUUAGAAAUGGACCUUUUGACUUUCUAUGUUAAUAAAUUUCGUCUAUUUAAAUAGAGAUAUUGUGCUAUUUUAGUCUCCGUCCAAAUCGACAGAAUUCACUAAUGAAAGUAAGUCUCAAAAUCUAUUUCUAAAAUGGUAAGAGUCUAAUUGUUUAUUGAAAUAAAUCACAUGGUCCAAGUAUCUUUUGCCCUUAACACGAAGGUGCUAAAAAAAAAUGUUGUAGGAUACUUUUGCAGAAAAUGCUUUAAUUCAAAACAAUUUCCUACAGAAGCAAGUCAAAUAGCACUGAGAUUUUGCCUUUGGGGAGAAAAGAUAACAAGGGUUGUACAUAAGAGCAUAUAAAAUUUGAGCACAAAAGAGCAUAUAAAACUAGAGUGUUGGUGCAAAUUGAUUAGCAGUGAAAGAGAAAUUGGAAAUAAGAGGAGACAGGAACAAGUCAUUUCAUUUUCAGAGAACUUUGAUACAGUCAGCAAAGCUUACUUCAGAAUAUUAGAUUCAAAUCACGUAGCCAACUUGGAUGUAGCAAGCUGAGCUGGUAAUCUGGUGGUCCAAAAGAAUAAUCUAAAGAUGUAACAACAUUUGGCAAUUCAAGAACUUGAAAAAGUUUAUGAUACUUAACCACAACAAACAAUACAUUUAAAAAAAAAAAACAUAAUAGGUUAUGCUUCAGAUGGAUUCAUCAAAGCCAAAUAAUUGUAGGUGGUUUAACAAAUGAACAAUCUGUCUUUCUUUAUUGUUGUUACCAUUUUUUGGUUUAGUUAUAAAUGCACUUGCUUGACACAACAAAGCUUUUAUCUCUAGAGUAUCGGUGGUAAACUAGAAUAAUAAAUGAACAUGCCUAUCACAUUCUCAAUCUAUACGUUUCAUGUUACUUGAUGAGAACAUUUAUUGACCUCACAUGAGACAUGGGCACUGUUAAGGAAGAAUGCAGAGCAUUAAAAUUAAAGAUCUUAGAGUAGAUUGUAAUUCAGGGCAAGAAGUGAAGGUGAAAUGAGCAAAUCACAAGCAUGCAGAUAACUCCAGUCUAUGGCAGGACACGGUGUGGAACAUUUUUCAGAGAGUUGCUAACAACCAAGUUGACCAUGUCACAAGGAUCAAAGAGAGUGCCAAAAUAGAACAAGAUUUACUUUCAUGUAGAUACAAGCUAAGCAAAUAUACAGGAUCUGAAAAUUCAAAAGUUCCAUUCAGUUGAAUUUUCUUUAGGAUCAGCAUACCACACAAUGAGCCCCCAUCGGUAUAUGUCCUUUGGUUUUUGAUUAUUUCCCAUAGCAUGCUUUAGAAGUAAAUGGAUUGCUGACAGCAUCUUUUUGGUGAUGACAGAUGAGACGAUAUUUAAUAGGGUGUAGCUUUUCAAGAUAAAUUCCAGAAUAAUAACUCAGAAUAUUAUUAACUUACCAGGAUCCCCCAAGCAAUGCACAUUGCAGCAUUCAUGUCUUUAGAUUUGAUAGUUUCCAGAGCUUUACAUAUGUUAAAAAAUGCAAGAAAGAUAGCUUCUUCACUGCCAUAGCACAGAAGAGAAGAAUAAGUAUAUCCUGCCGAGAAGUACAAAAACAACAUGUAAAAUAUUGUGCACUGACUCAUACAUUUGAUUUGAUGUCAUCUUCAUCAUUAUUUGAUCCCAGCUGAAGCAUGAUGCAUGGUGAAAGAUUAUCAAAAACAGAAGUCACGGUGUUCACAUAUUUACACCUUCCAUUUCCAGAGAAAAUCAACAAAAUGAAAAAAUACACAUUCAUUGGUAAUAUAAUGUGUCUUUGAAAAGAGGUUCCAGCCAUCAUAUUAGACCCAGUAAUUACAGCCUAUCACAAAGGGAAAAGAACAUCCAUAAUUCUACUGCAUAGUCCAAGGCACAGUCCUCAAGAACUUGUAGAAGAAUCUGCAAAUACAUCUACCACAGUCAACUUUUUUCAUCAGCCACCAAACAUAAGAAGCAAAAGUCGUUUUCAUCACAAAUUAUAAGUAUAUAGCGCUGACAUCCAGCAGUAGUCACCUCUUACAACCAAAACUAUCAGAUUCAAUACGUGACAUCAUUUUUGUUCUUUGACUUUCUCAUUUUGCAGGUACUUCAACACUCCAUAUGCUACUGUUCCAGCAAAGAACAAGCCAACUGUUGGGGUGAAAGUUGGGUAAAGAUACUUCACGAACAACUUAUCCAACUCUUCUGGCAGGAAGCCUGUAGAAGUGAAAAAAAUUGGAAGCAACAUAAAUUACGACUUUCAAUAUCUCAGUUCAACCAGCCUAAUUUAAUUUUGCUAUAGAACCUCUCCACAUGAUCACAUCUUGAGAGUUUCAGAGAAAAAGAGUUAUUCUCAUUACUUAUUAUUCCAAUGAACUUCAUGAGGAUACAUAUAUAUAUUAAGGUGGCCUCAGAAGUAAAUUCCUUCAAAUUAGGAAUCCUUCCUAAUAUUAGUAGACUAAUAUUAGGAAUCCUACUAAUAUUAGGAGACUAACUAAAAUUAGAAUUAGUCAACAACUAAAUCUCCUUAUUAGGUAAUAAAAUAAUAAAUAAAUAAAAUCUAAAUGCUAAUAUGUACAGUGAUUCUACAGUGUGCUGCUGUACGGCCAAGGCGGAUGUACGGUACAGCAGGGCAGAAGAAAUUUUUUUUAUUUUAAAUNNNNNNNNNNNNNNNNNNNNNNNNNNNNNNNNNNNNNNNNNNNNNNNNNNNNNNNNNNNNNNNNNNNNNNNNNNNNNNNNNNNNNNNNNNNNNNNNNNNNNNNNNNNNNNNNNNNNNNNNNNNNNNNNNNNNNNNNNNNNNNNNNNNNNNNNNNNNNNNNNNNNNNNNNNNNNNNNNNNNNNNNNNNNNNNNNNNNNNNNNNNNNNNNNNNNNNNNNNNNNNNNNNNNNNNNNNNNNNNNNNNNNNNNNNNNNNNNNNNNNNNNNNNNNNNNNNNNNNNNNNNNNNNNNNNNNNNNNNNNNNNNNNNNNNNNNNNNNNNNNNNNNNNNNNNNNNNNNNNNNNNNNNNNNNNNNNNNNNNNNNNNNNNNNNNNNNNNNNNNNNNNNNNNNNNNNNNNNNNNNNNNNNNNNNNNNNNNNNNNNNNNNNNNNNNNNNNNNNNNNNNNNNNNNNNNNNNNNNNNNNNNNNNNNNNNNNNNNNNNNNNNNNNNNNNNNNNNNNNNNNNNNNNNNNNNNNNNNNNNNNNNNNNNNNNNNNNNNNNNNNNNNNNNNNNNNNNNNNNNNNNNNNNNAGUGUAUACAUCAAUCUCCCGUUUGUUGUUUUUCCUGAACAUUAAUCCCUUCCCAGGUGUCAACUUAAGGUACCUUAGGAUCCUAUACACGGCCUCCAUAUGCUCUUCCCUUGGAUUGUUCAUGAAUUGACUCACUAAACUGACAGCAAAUCCAAUGUCUGGGCGUGUAUGAGAGAGAUAGAUUAGCCGUCCAACAAGUCUCUGGUAUCUCCCCCUGUCCACAGGAACACUCUCUGAUUCUGUGCCAAACUUUUUGCUUGAGUCCAUGGGUGUAUCUGCUGGUUUACAGCCGAGCAUCCCUGUUUCCAUCAACAAAUCCAAUACAUAUUUCCGUUGGGUCACUGCAAUGCCUUCUCUUGACCUUGCUAUCUCCAUGCCAAGGAAGUACUUUAAACUACCGAGGUCUUUAAUAUCAAAUUCCUGAGCUAAACGUUGUUUCAAAACCUGUAAUUCUUCCUCAAAAUCACCAGUAAGAAUGAUAUCAUCAACAUAAACGAUCAAAACUGCAAUUUUCUUCUCUGUUGAGAGCUUAACAAACAAUGUAUGAUCUGAUUGGCACUGUUUAUACCCACAUUUGGUCACAAACUUGGCAAACCUACCAAACCAUGCACGAGGGGACUGCUUGAGUCCAUAGAGAGACUUUACCAGUUUACAUACCUUGCCUUUAGUAUGAGAACUUUCUAUUCCAGGUGGCACUUCCAUAUAGACUUCUUCUUCAAGUUCGCCAUUUAGAAAAGCAUUCUUAAUGUCUAGUUGAUGUAAUGACCAAUCAAAAUUAGCAGCAAGUGAAAGGAGUACUCGGAUGGUAUUAAGUUUGGCAACUGGAGCAAAAGUUUCUUGAUAGUCAAUACCAUAGGAUUGUGUAAAUCCCUUAGCAACUAACCGAGCUUUGAGUCUUUCAAUGCUUCCAUCUACUUUGUGUUUGAUGGUAAAUAUCCACCUGCAACCUACUGUUCUUUUUCCAGCUGGUAGAUCUGUGAUUACCCAUGUUCCAUUCUUUUCAAGUGCAGUGACCUCAUCCUGUACAGCUUUCUGCCAUCCUGGAUGCUUAAGAGCCUCAUGAAUAGUUCUUGGAAUUUGUACACUGUCAAGGGAAGUAAUGAAUGCCCUGUAUGCUGGAGAAAGAGAGUUAUAGCUCACAAAAUUUCUAAUCGGAUGACUGGUACAGGAUCUUACACCCUUCCUUAGAGCAAUAGGAACAUCAGCAUCAUCAAUCACCGGCACAAUUAACUCAGGAGAAUGAUCGGCCUCACUUGAGUGAACUUGAGCAGGAUUAGAAUUCGGGUUGGAGUCAUGGCAUUGCAUGAGAGGUGCAAGGUUCUUUCUCUCUUUGUUUUCAUUUUUCCUCCUUGUAUAGACACGAAGCUGGGAAGAUUCAAGUUGUGUAGACCUAUGUUUUGAGGAUGAUGGACUGUUAGACGAUGGAAUUUCAAGGUUGGGGUUUGGUGUGUAGUUUGAAUCCGAGGGAAGAAGGACAAGAGGUGGAGAUGCAUGCUGAAUUUCAGAGGAUUCUUUGAUGAGAAGUUCAUCCCAAAAUUGAGAUUCCCUUACAUUCUCCCCCUGAAUGUCAGAUUUUGGGUAAUAAGGUUCAUGUUCAAAGAAAGUGACAUCCAUUGAAUUGUAGACCCUUUUGGUAAUAGGAGAGUAGCAUCUGUAACCCUUUUGGUUUGAUGAAUAACCUAGGAAGACACAUUUGAUGGAUUUAGGAUCUAAUUUGGAUCUAUCUGGCUUCGCUGUGCCUUCAUACUGGUUGCUUGAAGUUGGCUAGUAGAUUGUGAAAGACUAUGGCAGAUCAUUUUCUGCAGAAUUUCCAUUUGUUCUUUGCUGAAUCCACUUGUUUCACUUGAAGUUUUCUCCUCCGUUGAUGAAGCUGCAUUAGCACGGCUUUCUUUAUCACGGUUAGGCUUGUUUGACUUCCAAUCAGCUGGUUUCCCGUGAAGUUUCCAGCAACUUUCCUUCCAAUGUCCAGCCUUGCGGCAGUGGUCGCACCAGGGCCUUCCUCGUUGUUGACGGUUGUCAUUGGAGCUAGUGUUGGUUCCUCGGACAGCAAGCGCAGAACUGUCAAGCAGUGACGGAUUAGUUGUGACUUCUUGAGAUCCCAUCAUCACCUUGCGCCUGCUUUCUUCACGCCUAACCUCAGAGAAUACGUUUCUAAUGCUGGGCAGUGGUUUAGUCCCCAUAAUUCGUCCCCUUACUUCAUCCAACUCCUUGUUUAAUCCUAAUAGGAAUUUGAAGAUCCUUUUUUGCUCCACGAUUUUUUUGUAAGUGACUGCAUCAUCUGCACACUUCCAUGUAUGAGUAUCAAACAUAUCAAGUUGCUGCCAAUGUCUUGUUAGAGUGUUGAAAUACUGUGUGACAGAGAGAUUCUCUUGACGGAAAUCGUGCAAGAUGGUCUCAAUUUGGAAUAGUUCGGCUGUGUUCUCAGAACUUGAGUAUGUCUCCUUUGCUGCGUCCCAUAUUUCUUUCGCUGUGCCAUAAAGAAGAAAGUUUUCACCUAUAUCAUUGUUCAUGGAAUUUAUCAGCCAUGACAUAAUCAUGUUGUUGUCACUCUUCCACAGCCUGUAUUUUGGAUCUCCUUUCUCAGGAAUUUCAAUCUCAUCGGUGAGAUAUUCAUCUUUACCUUUCCCGGAAAUAAACAUUAGCACAGAUUGGGACCAUUGGAGGUAGUUCUGUCCAUUUAAUUUAUGGCUGGUAAUGAGAAUGGAUCCAGAUUCGGAGUUACCAUGGGUGGCUGUCAUCGGGGUUGAAUCUGAUUUAGACGUGACCUCAGAGGAGGAGGUUUGCAAUGCUGCUCCUAUUUUCGUCAUGUUUGGUUCAGAGGAAUCGAAAAAAAAAAUAUUGUAGAUGAAGGCUUGAAGGAUAGAAAAUCUGUAGGGUAUUGAUUGGAAUGAGAAUAGGGAAUGAAAUUCACAAGAUUAGGUUUUCAGAGGAGGAUCGUAUGAGGCUCUGAUACCAUGUGAGUUUCAGAGAAAAAGAGUUAUUCUCAUUACUUAUUAUUCCAAUGAACUACAUGAGGAUACAUAUAUAUAUUAAGGUGGCCUCAGAAGUAAAUUCCUUCAGAUUAGGAAUCCUUCCUAAUAUUAGUAGACUAAUAUUAGGAAUCCUACUAAUAUUACUGCUGUACCGUACAUCCGCCUUGGCCGUACAGCAGAUAUUUCACAAUGAAAUGAAUUUGGUUUUUUAUUGAUGAAUAGUUUAGGAAAUAUUUUUCCUAGAUACACAAAGUUGGGAUGGCCGAGGCGAAAGUGCCACAGCAUGAUUUUAUCCACAUUAUUGACACUAGAAUUGAAAAUCGAAGAAUGAAGUGAUGACAGACUCUUUGACACACUAGUGGACAUGUUGCAACUUGAGUAACCAGCUUGUCUAUUUGGAGGAUUAUUGGCUCUAAAUAGAUAGAGACCUGACACCAACUCAGCACUGCCAAUCGUCUUCCCCGAUUCCAUUCCCUGAAAUUCACACAAGCGUGGGAAAAAUUUAGCAACACAAUUAAGAUCUUGGCUAAAUUUUCUAACUGAAAGCAAAUUACAGUCCAAAUUUUGAACGUGAAGAACAGGGGUGAGAAUUAUAUCUUCUGUUAGAUGAGCAGAUCCUAUUCCCAAGACCAUGGAGAGAGAACCAUCUGCUAUACGAACAGAAGAAUUACCUGUUUGAGGACAGUAAUUGUGCAGGAGUGUUGCAUCCCCUGUCAUAUGGUCGGAUGCGCCAGAGUCUACAAUCCAUGAUUCACCUUGGUCACUGCUAGUAUUAAGAGCAACAGGAAAACUGCUUCGCUGUGCCUUCAUACUGGUUGCUUGAAGUUGGCUAGUAGAUUGUGAAAGACUAUGGCAGAUCAUUUUCUGCAGAAUUUCCAUUUGUUCUUUGCUGAAUCCACUUGUUUCACUUGAAGUUUUCUCCUCCGUUGAUGAAGCUGCAUUAGCACGGCUUUCUUUAUCACGGUUAGGCUUGUUUGACUUCCAAUCAGCUGGUUUCCCGUGAAGUUUCCAGCAACUUUCCUUCCAAUGUCCAGCCUUGCGGCAGUGGUCGCACCAGGGCCUUCCUCGUUGUUGACGGUUGUCAUUGGAGCUAGUGUUGGUUCCUCGGACAGCAAGCGCAGAACUGUCAAGCAGUGACGGAUUAGUUGUGACUUCUUGAGAUCCCAUCAUCACCUUGCGCCUGCUUUCUUCACGCCUAACCUCAGAGAAUACGUUUCUAAUGCUGGGCAGUGGUUUAGUCCCCAUAAUUCGUCCCCUUACUUCAUCCAACUCCUUGUUUAAUCCUAAUAGGAAUUUGAAGAUCCUUUUUUGCUCCACGAUUUUUUUGUAAGUGACUGCAUCAUCUGCACACUUCCAUGUAUGAGUAUCAAACAUAUCAAGUUGCUGCCAAUGUCUUGUUAGAGUGUUGAAAUACUGUGUGACAGAGAGAUUCUCUUGACGGAAAUCGUGCAAGAUGGUCUCAAUUUGGAAUAGUUCGGCUGUGUUCUCAGAACUUGAGUAUGUCUCCUUUGCUGCGUCCCAUAUUUCUUUCGCUGUGCCAUAAAGAAGAAAGUUUUCACCUAUAUCAUUGUUCAUGGAAUUUAUCAGCCAUGACAUAAUCAUGUUGUUGUCACUCUUCCACAGCCUGUAUUUUGGAUCUCCUUUCUCAGGAAUUUCAAUCUCAUCGGUGAGAUAUUCAUCUUUACCUUUCCCGGAAAUAAACAUUAGCACAGAUUGGGACCAUUGGAGGUAGUUCUGUCCAUUUAAUUUAUGGCUGGUAAUGAGAAUGGAUCCAGAUUCGGAGUUACCAUGGGUGGCUGUCAUCGGGGUUGAAUCUGAUUUAGACGUGACCUCAGAGGAGGAGGUUUGCAAUGCUGCUCCUAUUUUCGUCAUGUUUGGUUCAGAGGAAUCGAAAAAAAAAAUAUUGUAGAUGAAGGCUUGAAGGAUAGAAAAUCUGUAGGGUAUUGAUUGGAAUGAGAAUAGGGAAUGAAAUUCACAAGAUUAGGUUUUCAGAGGAGGAUCGUAUGAGGCUCUGAUACCAUGAGAGUUUCAGAGAAAAAGAGUUAUUCUCAUUACUUAUUAUUCCAAUGAACUUCAUGAGGAUACAUAUAUAUAUUAAGGUGGCCUCAGAAGUAAAUUCCUUCAAAUUAGGAAUCCUUCCUAAUAUUAGUCUACUAAUAUUAGGAAUCCUACUAAUAUUAGGAGACUAACUAAAAUUAGAAUUAGUCAACAACUAAAUCUCCUUAUUAGGUAAUAAAAUAAUAAAUAAAUAAAAUCUAAAUGCUAAUAUGUACAGUGAUUCUACAGUGUGCUGCUGUACGGCCAAGGCGGAUCUGAUACAGUAACAUGCAAUAAGUGGAGAGGUAAACAAUUUAUCCACUCCCUCUACCCCACUAAUAAGUGAAAUCAAUUCACUAGGCAUCUUCAGGGAAAGACAUGUCCUCAAAUACAAAUAGUUGACCUAGGAUGCCACUAAGCAGGCACUGCCAAUGUCUGUUAGAUUGAAGAACUUGCAACUGAAAAGUUUUAUGAAGCAGCCAAACAAGUGACAUUGUUUCAUUGGGGCAUCUGAAAGUAAGAGCUUCAGCUCUAAUGAUUCUACUACAUAUAUAAAAGCUAUAAAUAUUGAGCUUCAUAAAAUCUCUGAAACCUAUAUGGAACAUAUGCACGUCAGUUAAGAACUCAACUUCCAACUUGGUUUGUUUUGCACAGCUAGCCUGACUAUAUUUAUGUGAUCAUGCACCUAAAAGUUAUGCUGACAGACAAGGUUUUAUACGUUUAACCAACUGGUUCAUAAUAAGUGUGUGCACGAUUGCACUUUUGUGUGGACUUCCAGGUUUCUCAGGUUCACUGGAUCAAGAUCCUAAAUAUCUUAGCUAUUAAAUAGAGCUUUUUUCAUUUUUUUUGUGGAAAUCUGAUUGUAGUCAUUUGUCUGGACUUCAGCUCAGAUGUCAGAAGAAACGAAGGGAAAAUAUACUCUAGUAGAACUCUAGCACCAGACACUACCUACAGCAGCUUAAACUUCUACUUCUACAGCAUGCAAAAGCAACUGAUUGGCAAUAAGGUUUACAAUUUUGCAGAGCUGUUAUUUAAAAAGUUAGUCUUCAUUCCAUGAAUUUGAACAAUCAAGUCUGCUCCUAAACUCUGACGGCAUGUUUGGUUUGGAGAAAUGGAAGGAAAGGAGAGUAGAGGAAAGGGGAAAGAAAUAAAGGGAAUAAGAGAUGAUUCCACAUCAAACCAAACAAUGAAAUUGAGAUUGACCCUCAUUUUCUCUCUCUCUCUCUCCCCUUUCCACUCAUCUCCUCUCCUCCCAUUUCUUUCAACCAAACAAGUACUAAAUUUACAGUUUUAAGGAUAAGAAUUGGCACAUUAGUUUCUAACUACUAACUAGUCUCUAUAAUCAAUCUAAUGAACUGUACUAAUUGUUCAAUUCAAGGAAUCUUCCAGCCAAAAGGAAAAAAAAAAUCACAAAAAUUCAACUAAAUUACCAAAUUACUAAUCAGAAAUGCAAAAAGCAUAGCUAUAAAUGCAUCAACAAAAUUUAAUAAAGGCUCCAAUUUUCAUCAAUUUUUAUACCCGAAGCCGCAAGAGCAAUCCCUUGAAAAAGAAUGAUUCCACCAACACCCAACCAAGCAAGAAGAAAAGCACUCUCAUUCUUCAUCAUCUCCUUAGCUUUAGCCUCAUCUUCUUUGCUCAUAACACUCAGUUUCUCAACGGGAUUCCGCCUAACAACCGAUGCCCUCUCUCUUCUACCCUUUGGUUGUUUCUUCUUCUUACUCCCAUCCGCCACACUAGGUUUCCCAGAAGUUGAAGAAGAAGAAGAUGACGUUGAGGAGCCAAAGCCUUGGCCUGGUGAAGUGGGUUUGGGUUUCUUGGCCGGUGCUGCUGCUGAUUCUUCGAUGGGUUCGGUGUUGAUUGGAGUGUUCUGAGAUUUGAUGAGAGUGAGAGUGAGAUUUGAGUUGGGUUUGGGUUUGGAUUGAAGAGGAUGAUAGGGUUUGGUGGUGAAAGAUGACGGAGAGUGGAUUUGUAGCGCCAUUUUCAGUUUAGUUGGUUAUUAUGACCCGUUUGCGUCAGUUCAUUUAUCUUCUUUGGUCUGAACUUGAGGAAAUUACACAUUUUGCCAUUAACUAGUUUUAUAAAAGAAGUGAAAAAGAACAAAACAUGAGUGUGCGUCGUGGUCCAUUUCCCUCCUCAACAAAGUUGCCUAAUUUUCUCCUCCACAAUUUUUUCUCACGCCAUGUUUGUUCUCAGCUUCACUUGACCCAACUCCCCUCUCCUUGAAAAUGCAUAGAUUUUAUUUUAUCAAAAAACCCGCUUCUGUUGAUGGCCCUCAUCUCUUUCCCGCGCUUUCUUUCUCGACCGUUGGAGUCCAAUCAUCGUCGGUCUCUCCGAAGCAGAUACAAAUGCGUUUGUUGUGUUUCUCCAACAGCAGCAGCAACAAGCAAAGGCCGAAGUGGGUCCGCUGUUAUUUGGUUCAAGCAAGAUCUUCGCGUGGACGAUCAUCUUGGACUUGUUGCUGCCUCCAAGUAUCAGGCUGUUGUUCCUCUUUAUGUCUUUGAUCACAGGAUUCUUUCUCGUAAGUGGGUUUAUUUUCUUUUCUUUCUUUUUUUAUUUGUUUUCAUUAUCGGGUUAUUUGGAUUUUGUAAGGACAAAGGGAGAUUCUUGCCCGCAACAGCUUGAGUUUUAUAAAAUGAUGGGCCAUUCAAGAAAUGAUGCUUAAACUUUUGUUUGAUGCUUAAAAUGAUGGAUUAUUCAAGAAAUGCUGCAUAUGUGGAACCGACUAUCGAGCGUGUCUAUAAUCCUAUUAUGAUGAUGAGAAAAUUUUGUUCUUUGUUGUGCUGACGCAUGUGAUAAUUUAUUCAGGUUAUUCCAAUGAAAUGCUAGAAUUGGUUAUUUUUGCUUUGGAAGACUUGAGAAAGUCAUUGAAGGAACAGGGAUCUGAUCUGAUGAUUAGAUUUGGGAGAGUAGAGAAUGUCAUUCGGGAGCUCGUAGAAGAGGUUUUUACAUGCUAUAUUUGCUUAGUAUAAUUAUAUGUUAAUGAGGUCUAGUUGUAGUACUCAUCCACUCACAUUGUUAAUUUUGUCAACAAGGACUGCAACAGGUGAAAGCUACCAGUGUAUUUGCUGAAGAGGAGGUUGAGUACCACCUUCACCAGAUGAUGGCCAUUGUGGAUGAAACCUUGGCAAAGGUCUCUCUUGUAGAUGGGAAACCAAAGAUUUGUUUAUGGCAGACUCCAUUUUAUGAUAUUAAGGUGGCGAUUUUUGCCUUGCGUGAGUUUUUAAUAUGUGAUUACUUGGGUGUGCAAUUUGAUCGUACAUAUUCAUAUGUCACGCAGAAUCUGAAUGACCUGCCUGUGUCUCACAACGAAUUUAGAAAACUUCAAAGGCCUCUUACUUCACCUAUCUUGCCUCCAACAUUAGCUGGUGCAAAAUUAGAAGCCGACUGGGGUAAGGUCUCAGUUUAAUAAAACUGUAUCUUGUACUACUACUUUCCCAAUAUUUUCUUAUCUCAAUUUUAACUUUACUAGGUUUAGUGUCUGAAAGCUUAUGGUAUGCAAUUUUGGUUAACCCUAGGGACAGUGAUGAUUGAACUAUGAAUCAGGUCCUCUGCCGACAUUUGAUGAGUUGAAGGAGUUUGUGAAUGAGAAUCCAUGGAAAUUAGAGGAGAGUUGGACUUUGAUCAACAAUAUGUCAGCUGAAACAAUAUUGACAGACAAGUUAUCAAAGCUGGGGAAAAGAAGUAAAAGAAAUUUGAAUAACCAACAUUCUCCAAGGAAGAGACUAGAUAAAUCUUUUUUUGUCACAGAUAAAGGAAACACUGUAGGAGGUGGGACAAAUGCUGUAUUGAAUGCAUUGCAAGCAUAUUUGAGAUACUUGGAGGGAACAGGUCGAGAUGACUGGCAAGAGUAUGUGGUGACACUAUAUGUCAGUUUAUUUUGACCAUGCAAUAGAUUUUCUAAGAUGUGUUGAAAAUCUCUUAGUAGGACUCUACUAAGCACUAUUCAUACUUUAUUAAAGUAAUAUAUCUUGAUCUCAUAUUGUGAAUUGCUGCUGCCUUAUUUUAUCAUUCUUGUCACUCAUGAAUUGGGUAGUGUAAAGCAGAAUAAUGUUUAACAAUUAAGUUGUAAAUUUUAGUGUUUACAAUUUCGUGUUAAAGCUUAUUAGAUUCUAUUAAAAUGUGAUAUGACAUUACAAGAAAUUUCUUUUUGGCUUGAUUUGGUAUCAGGCUGCAAGAAAAGCUAUGCAAUGCCGAAAGUCGUGAUGGAGCUUCAUUUGCUACACUUUUUGGCCCAGCCCUUUGUCUCGGCAUCAUAUCUAGAAGGAGAGUUCACUAUGAAGCUAUCAAGUAUGAGAAAGAACGGAACACUGGAUUUUUAUCUCCCUUUGGAUAUUCUGCUGCCACUGUUGCUGCAGCAGCUGAUGCUGUUUGCUCAAUGGAGGUACGGUGAUGCACAGUUGAUGCUAUGGUUGUUUCAUGUGAUUCUUUUGGUCACUAACUGUUAGGUGGUGUUUUCCUUUAUUUUUUUUUUAAUUUUUUCUAAUCUAUGAUUUUCAUACAGAGCCUUUUAAGAAUUUCAGCUUUUUUCUGGUGCAGUGGUACUGGCUUAUGUCUCUAAGAAGUCUAAGAAGUAACGAAGGAGUGUAUUCUACACGAAUUUGGAGAUGGAAUGGCUAUCAAAUACAGGUUCACAGUUGAAGACUGAUCAUGCAUUUAAUAAUCACUUUACUUAAAAAUCAUUGGGGUGUAGUUUGUCAUUCUUAUAGGGGGUUUAUUGUCCUUAAUUCUGGAUAAAUACUUAAACAAGAUUAAGUUGAUUUCACUUAUUUUCCCUAGGGAAUUAUUUUGCAGUAUACAGUUGCUGGUAAAGAAGGUCCUGCCAUUUUGCUUGUGCAUGGUUUUGGUGCAUUCUUGGAGCACUACCGGGACAACAUAUAUGACAUUGCUGAUGGUGGAAACCGUGUUUGGGCAAUUACACUUUUAGGGUUUGGCAGAUCAGAAAAGCCAAAUAUUGUCUACACUGAAUUAAUGUGGUCUGAACUGCUGCGAGAUUUUACUGUUGAAGUUGUGGGUGAACCUGUGCAUCUCAUAGGGAAUUCAAUUGGUGGUAUGUUUUUAAGUACCAACCUGACGAGAGGUAAAUUGUAUGCUUUCUUGCUCUCCGUCAAUUACCUAUUGUCACGAUCUAUUAUCUGCAGGCUAUUUUGUUGCCAUUGUUGCUUGUCUUUGGCCUGCGGUGGUCAAGUCUGUUGUCCUUAUCAACAGUGCUGGCAAUGUUAUUCCUGAAUAUUCGUUUCUGCAGUUCUCCAAUGUAUGUCUUGAAUACUUGCUGCACAAAUCCCUAUUCUAUUGACAUGUCGAGCUGAACUACAUUGGCUAGUAAAUUAAUUUCUAAGAUUUCGUGUGUCAGAUUAUUAAUUUCUAUAUCUUUUGCCCCAAAAUUAUGAAUAGUGGGGAUUUUGAUCUGCAUUUCAAUGCUAUUAAUUCUAAAGAUGUCUGGAGUGUCUGGUAAUGGUGAACUGCUUAUAUCUAUGAUCUAUGAAAUUCAUUCAUCUAAGUGAGGUACAAAUGUUCAGGAGAGACAGGCUUCAGGGCCCGUACGGCUAGGUGCUCGGCUCCUCUUGUUCUACUUGAGAUUGAAUAUUAGCAACUUUGUAAAACAAUGCUACCCAACUGUAAGUUUUUCCCUUUUCCUGCUUCCAUCUUUGUUAUGUUGGUCCUGGAUGUUGUAUGGUGAGGAAUUUCGCUCUCUUUCACUUUCCAGAGAAGAGAACGAGCUGAUGAUUGGCUUAUCAGUGAAAUGCUAAGAGCUGUAUCCUCUUCAAUCUUCAUUUAUUAAGUUCAUAUAUUUGUCUAGAAUCAGUUUUAGGGACUGCAGAGUAAUUGGUGUAUCUUAAGGGAAAAAUCACCUUAACACAUAUUGAAGUCCUAUGAUCCCGGUGUGCUAGUGGUGCUGGAAAGUAUUUUUAGCUUCAAGCUCUCACUUCCUCUUAACUAUCUUCUGGAAGGAUUCAAAGAAAAGGUUUUAAUUAUACAGGUAAAUCGUAUAUGGUCUGCAUGCUGAAGAACUAAUACAAUCUGUUUAUCUACCCGAUCUGUUAAGAUGGGGGCUUCAUUGUUCAUUUCAUUUUUCGUUGCUAAUUAUUACCAUUUUAUUUGCUAUUAGGGAAUCAAAGACCCAAUAUCCGACUCAAAGUCCAAAGUGGCUAUGUUUAAAGAACAUUGUGCUGGCAUUGUAAUCAGGGAAUUGGAUGCUGGUAAUUUUACUACUGUAUUCUCAAAAUUUGUUUCCUUCUUUCCUUGCUUUUUCCUCUCUCCUCACAUUUCCCUGUGCAUUACAGGCCACUGCCCCCAUGAUGAAAAGCCAGAAGAGGUGAAUUCUAUCAUCAGUGAAUGGAUAGUAACUAUUGAAAGUAAAGUACCAGCAGAGAGCUUUUUGUAGUAAAUGAGGAAGUGAUUGCUAGAUAGAUUCUAGAGUUAGAAGGGGAGGGCCUAAGUUAACGUAUCUUAGCGCCUGCCGAGUUAGAAGGGGUAUCUUUCUACCUGUUGGUCGCCCUUGUGAGACUAUCAUUUACUGAGAUUGUAUGUUUUAUGUAGAAUUGCGAAUGCAGCCAUCAUUUAUUAUUCUGUAUAUGAUCAUUGAGUUCUUUCAUUUGCUUCCAACACUAAAUUCCAUAAGCUAGCUUUUUGAAGAAAUGAAAAAAGAAAAAAAAAAGUGAAAAACAUAGUGAGUAUUUUCUUCCAUUAUUUGUUUUUCUAGCAAGUCAACAAAGUUUCAACCUCCGCAAAAAUGAACGAAUGAGUUUGCAAAAGGGGGGAAAAAUGGCAUCACGGAUCCAGCCUUCUCUUCUAGGCAAAAGAAUCGCUAUUAAAAUGUACAAAAACUUGGAGCUUCAGUCUCCGCUCACACUGAGUAUGUAAAUUUCCCAGCAAAUGGUUGGGGGCUUGCUUGACUAGAUCUUAAGCCACACUUCAUAUAGCCUUGUCGACUUUCAGCAAUUUCUCUCGUGCAGCUCUAUUUCUUUUCUCUUCUCUCCUUGGCUCUAACUUUAAUUCUAUAAUUUUCUUUCUCCAAUUUAGCUAUAGGAGAAUCUGCUCUUGCUUAUCUUCCAUGAGCUUCACUUCAUCUGAAAAGCUUGUAAUGUCUGGAACUAUCCCUCCAUUACAAUACCUUAGAAUCCCAUCGCCUACUAGAUCAUUCAACAUAUCAGCAGGUUCUUUUGCUCCACCAUGCUGCAAAAUUUUUGUCCUAAGUGUGGUUCCUGUGGUUAAUGACAGUGGAUCCUCCUGGCAUAGCUUUUGCCAAAUUGUUGCAGCAAAACAUUUGGCAUACAAGUAGCUAUAAUAGCCUACAUGAAUAAAGGAACAAUCAUCAUAACUUGCACCAGAUUGUUCUGCAUAAUGUUCAAACAAAUUAAAACAUUUCUAGAUUAUGAGCAAUGCAUGCUAGUGCUUGGACAUGACAUCAAUGUUGCUUAGACAGACACUGCAAACAACCACAGACAAGCAAAAUCGGAUAAUGAUUAAGCACCUAAUGAGACAUGAUGUCAGACAUACCAGCACCGUAAUUAAUGAAGUGACUAAAUCGGAUAUGCCAAUGAGUGCCCUCAACAUGAUUCCAGCUGGUAUGUUGCCUUUUCAUAUCUGCAACAAUAGAACUUGUAUCUCUGGUUUGACCUAGCCGUUCCCCAAAUAGUGUUUGGUCUACCAAAGCAUAAAAUAUCUGAUGAAUGCCAAACAAGCAAACAAACAUCAGUCCGUACUUCUACCUACUCUUGUUAAUUAAACACAGUAAGCAACAAUUAUUGACAAAAUCUUGGCCUUGACAAUGAACCUGACGUUGCAAUUCAGUUGCGGCAAACAUGUCUCUGGCACCUUGCAUUGACUUCACCAACUUCUCGGGUAUUAUUUCACCUGUUAAAUAGUGUUUGGCAAAUCUCCUCAAAACUCGGUAAUCCCAUGCAUAGUACCUGGGGAUAUCACCAAACACGAUGUCAGAAUGACAUUACAGCACAGGAUGUCAGGAUGACAUUGCAGCACAGGAUCCUUUUUCACUUCUUACGCACAAAUGAAUGAGAAAUAUGAUUAACCAUUUUGUCAAACAAAUUGGAAUUUUAAUGUAUUCUAGAUACUGAUAAGUUGCAAAAUAAAAAUAUGCAAAAAUGCCAAGUCAUUUCUACAAGUUUUGUUUGAUUGAAUUGGCCAGAAUCAUGUACAUGACAAAUAAAAAAAGGACGAAGCUAUUGAUAAUGAAGGGAAAUAAGGAAACGAAUGAUAGUUGAAAAGUUGAGACUAGCUUAUAUUUCAGUAGAAAUUUCAAGUAAUUGUGAAAUUAACUCUCCCCUUCAUUCACCAUUUUUGCAGCAACCUGAAUCAGUUCCAUUUGGACAGCUACACCAAUAAAUUGUUAGGUAAGGUCAUCAAGAAUUGGGUCUACAAGUCUGUGAACCAUUGUCUGUUUUAUGGGAGAUGUAUCACAGGGUUGGUAUGGGACAUUCAGGGAUAAGAGAAGAGGGUAGAAAAAUAGAAUGAUCUCAUGUAUGGUUUUCAGUGUACAAAUGUAAACUGUGAUCCAAUGUCAUGGAGAAGACUUUUCAUAGAUCAUCUGACUUCUCAUAAUUUUUUUCCUUCAUUUUCUCCGGCCAAUUGGAAGACACUUAUUAAUGAAAACAGGCCUAUUAAAAAUACCGGACCAUUAUAUAUUAAUCAAGAACUAUUUCACAGCAUUUUAUCCAAAAUAUUUUCUUUUUUAAAGAAAAAUAAUUAAUUAAAAGCAGUUUGAAGAAAGAUGAUACUGUGGAACUUGCAGCAUUCUACUCACUCAAAUAGGUUUGAAGGUGUCUCAGCAAAGUCAAGAGCCACCCGGGUGCCAGAAAAGUGUUGGUAAUCCUACAGAAUAGUUAAAUAUAAAUUGCAACGUACAAAUCAGAUGCACGCAAAUCGCAUUUUUGUUCACUUAGUAGUAAGUUAUUAAUAAAAUACCGUUCUUGAGAGCAAGGAAUGAAGAGCGUGUCCAAACUCAUGAAAUAGAGUUUCUACUUCAUGAUGGUUGAGCCUUACAGAUAAAUUAUGUGAACCUGGAAAGUUGCAUAUCAGGGCGACAACCUGCAGCAUAUCAAACCAAAACUUAAGAAAAAAGGCACUAAUUUUCAGCUCAAAAACAUUCUUCAGGAUUAUCAAUGCAUUAAACUUUAUUCUCAGAGAACAGAAUUUCCAAAAACACGUAUCCUGCCAUGAAUGAAUCUGGUACAAGCAAGGAGACUAAAAUAGGGCUACUUAUUUUAUAAGUUCACCGACCGUCUCAUGCUGAAGCUGGGAUUAUAUCUAGGUAGUCUUCCUCAGACCACAAUUCAGUAGAGUACUACAGGUUAAUGACCUCUUAGAUGCACUUCCCGGAAGAAUGCUAUUGAAUAACAAACUGAUCUUCCAGCUCUCAUGAAUCAUGAAAGACAUGCAGACAUAAAACCAUGUCAAUAUACUCCCACAUACAUGCUGACAUUUAAUGGAUAAACAAAUGAGGAUAAAGUCAUUGAAUAACUACUAAAAUUCUACCCAUUGUGCUAAGAGUCCGCAUGACCUAAAAACCAAAAUCCAGAAAUUAUGUUCUUUAAGGUAAUUCACAGUAUUAUAAUGAAAAUUUUGUAAAACACAUCCAUCAGAUCUAGCAUGGCUGCUCAGGAGCUUAAAUUCUGCAUGGCUUAUCCAGAAAAUGCCUUCAAAGGAAGAUGUUGUGAGAAAUUAGGUUUUCUCAGCUGUUAGGCUUUUUACCAAUGUCAGUAGGCCCAAAAUAUUAAUGGAAAAGCUUGUUGUGCACAAGGUACAAAAUCUGACUAGUGAUCAUUUAAUUACCAGAGAAAGUCAAACUGCGAAAACUACUUUUGAAACCAUCUUGUAUUAUAGCAGGAACAUAUAAAAGGAAACACCAAAUUGUCAAUAUCUGUGGAAUCUACAAAAACAUACAGGAAGCUGGUAUUCUGUCUCAGAUAAUCUUCGUCCACCUUUAAUUGCAAAGUUAGCACAACCAGUAUACUUGCCGGCCCUCGAGUAUAAAUCAAGAUACAAAUACCCCAUCUCACCCUGAAAACAAGGGUGAAAUGAUUCAAAUCAAGAUUGGAACAGCAGAAUGAAGCCUAGAGUAUAAUCAGACAUGCACAGCAGUUAAUAGUAAAAACUGUUUAUAGCAGUCAAAGCCAGAUUCUGAAUGUCUUUGAAUUUAGAAAAAGAGGAAAGCAAUGCACAUUAAGACUUCAAACACAAAUGUGUGUGUAUUUCUACUAUCAAGUGGCUGGAUAGAUUUAAGAUUAUCUCUGAUAAAAAAGCAUACCCAAAAUAUUGAAUUCUACACCAAAACUUAGGAACAUAUACAAUGUAGUUUACGAUCAAAUCCAAUAUGAUUAAGGUUUUAGUCAAAAUGUUUUUUAAAUAUUGAGAAAUUUUCAUGUCUUAUCAUCCAUGGACACACUUCUUCAGGAUGUUGAAGAGACAGUUUCAGCACAUCUGGGUGCCAUGAUUCUCCUGGUGCAAGGGGGACACUAUGAAAUGUCACACCAAAUAAUGACUCUGCCAGCAUUUUCAAACCCUCAAUGCAUUGCCCUAAGGGAAAAUAUGAUGCCACAACCUGCCAAAUAAAUCAUUGUAUUCAGAAGAACAGGAAAAAAAAAAUUUGACUAUCUCAGCAAGGAAGAAACACUAUUCCAGAAGAUAAUGUGGAAAUAAAGAAACAAAAAGAAUAUAGUCACCAUCUGCAGUCGUAAGAGCAAUAUUAUUGUUAAAAAAAAAAAAAAAAGGUUCUGCGCACAUUCAAUGCACAGAAUGAGUAAAAUAAUUUUACUUACACAAGCAUCUAAAUUGUAAGCAGAUGACUUCAUCAUUGCAGUGUAGUAUGCUUCAUCCCAUGGCUCUAAAUGUACGUAUUUCUGACCACAACUUUUCCUCUUAAAAUUCUUAAUUGCCUCAAACUCCUACAGGAAAUGUAUAUCUCACUAAAAUUCAAUAACUGCAACACAAUAUACACUAAAAUGAGAAUGUAGAAACACUUUAAACCUCACAACUGUGUGCAAAGAAUAUUAUACCUCAUCGGCCUUUGGCUUGAUCAUCUUGCUCAUCUCAAGCAGGAAGGACUUCACAACUUCUGGAGAUGAAGCCAUGUUUGGCAUCACGAUAAAUUCAGCAUAGGAUCUGUACCCCAUUAUCUGCAUAUCUCAAUUGGAAGAAUAAUGAUAAAUAAAUAAAAUAAAAUAAAAUAAAAAAUAGCAUAAAUAAAACAUAUGGUUUGAAGUCAGGAAGCAAACGGUCAAAGGAUAGCAUAUGACCCACUGUCUUUUCACUCAAAAUGGUAAAAGCUUGCAGAGAAAUGCUUUUUUUUUUUUUGGGUUACCCAAAUGCUUGUAUCUAUGCAACUGCAAUGUACUUUUUAAGUGAAAUACAAAAAUAGAUGAAAGUCACUUUGAUUAAGUUCCCAUUUUGCGAAUUAUGUAUUUAUCUUAUUCACAAUAUGUUACUGAUGAGUUAUUUUUGUAACUUCCACCAAUAAUUUGGCCAAAAGAAAGAGCAACAAAAAUGUGUAAUAUAACUUGAUAAUCCACCAAUGAAAGUAUAAUUCAUUAGUUAUGAGUGUUUCACCCCUAAAUACAUACAGCAAAUGACUUCCCAAGAAAAUUAGAGAGAUUUCUCCAUUGUCAAAAACUUUAAGAAUAUUCAGUUUUAAAUAUUAUAAGAUAUACAUCCAUUAUGGAAAAUCAUACAGACAUAGGUACAGAGAAUUUAUCAGAUCAAACAAUAUCUCCUAAUAUCCAAAUGUCUCAUGGCACUAUAUGCAUCUUCCGGACCAUAUUAUAGUUACCAACCUGAGCAAGCUCAUUACGAGCAGCUAUAAGCUCAUGAAGAACUUCAUGAUUAGCCUGUGGGACAGAAUGACCUUGAAUAUACACCAUUUUUCUGACCUGCAGAAAGAGAAGAAAAAAGGGGGAAAAGCACAUUAUGAAUUCUAAAUGCAAUAGUAAAUAACUUCACAUGGUUAGCAACUUAAAAUUCUGGCAUCUGUUCCUUUUCAGAACAAAAUCUUACUAAGUAAGCACAUUCAUUUGCAUGAACAAUGGGGAAAAGUAUCCAGCCAGGAGACAAUUUCUAACAGCCACGAUCAACCUAUCCUAUGUUUACAAGAAUGUUGAAAACAAGAAAGCAAGAUAUUUGCAAAAGUUUAAAAGAUACCUCAUCAUCGGAUGUCCAUUGCAGAAUCGACUGCAGAAUGCGUGAGUCAGUUGUUAUGCGAAAUCCUUUUUCUUUCUUGUUAUCCCAUGAUAUUAACGAUUCCCUUGAUGGUCCGGAUGUCAAUCGACAAAUAGGCUUAAGGAGAUGGUGAAUAUGUUUCGGGAUAUGUGAUUCUUGAAAUAUAUCCACAUGACCUGGAUCAUUUAUAAUAUUUUGAUUGAACCUGACCCGUUGACAUUGCAGGCAUAAUAUGAAUAACAAUCAAUUAGUUAACAAUUCAGACAUAGUUUAACAAUUCUAUAUGUAACAGAAUAUAAUAUAUCAGGGGAAGAGACAUAAUACUCACUCUCUGCACAGUUGAAAAAUAUCCAUAUUUAGCUGAUUUACACGAUCUAGUUUAUCUGCAGAGAAAGUAGGCUGUUCACUUUCUGAAAGUUGUUAAUAGUCUGCUGACAGAACCAAAAGAUAGUAGGAAUGAAAUAGAUACCAGCACAGAGAUGAAUUCCACCCUUUUCAAAGUCAAUGCGUAGGUGAUUAGCAGCCCUAUGAGCUUCCUUAGAAAGCAAAUGACCAUCUAGCUCGGCUUUUUUUACCGCAUCAUACAGAGUAUGAUUUGUAUUCAGAUACUGUAAGCCAGAAAACACGCCAAUAAAUUUAAAUCCAACAGUCAAUGAACUCAAAGAGGUUUGUCUGAAAAAGGUAAAGAACAACUUUAAGGACCAUACUUAAAAUCAAAUCCACAGCUGAUUGCAUUAGAGUUGAAAAACUUUCAUGCAGUUCCAAUCACACAGAUUUAACUUACAUGCUAUAAAGUAUUGAAAGAAAUUCAUUUCAGCAAUGCACCAAAAUUUAAUCUGCCUUGCUUUCAGUUUAACAACACUAUAAGAAAUCGGGCUUUGCUUGGCCUUUCUUGAUCAUAAGUUGUCAGCAAAAAAAAGCAAUGUGAUGCAAGAUCUUCCUUCCAAUUCUAGGCACAGACUAUUAAUUUCAUAUUAUUCUACUUCACUGAUAUUUUCUACCAAACCAAGGAACCAUAGUCCAUGAUGCUUUGUCUAACGAUAUUGUGUCACGAUAACCUUCUACUCAUGGAAUAGAAUGCCGGUUAUCAAUCUCCACAGCAGUUAGUUUUGAGUAUUGGUUCACAUUCUAACCCCCCUCGAUGGGCAACAUCUAUCAUUUUAGAUCAUGGGAAUAUAUCCUAACGUACAAUGCAGUAUAAAAAUAAUAAUAACUAUGUUAAAUUAUUCUGUGCAUAAAAGAGACAAAUGUGUGCAUCAACUGAUCAAAAACCAGAAACUAAAUGGAUCACUGGUCACCUCACAUGUAGAUAUUCACUGAUUCUCAUUGAUGCCUUACUAGCCUCCUCAACAAAUUCUCUGAUACACUCGAAAAGAAAUUAUAAUAAAUAACUGUAAAAACAAUGAGCAUUGGCAUCUUAAAAGGGGAAAAAAAUUAUCAUAUGUGUUACUAGGAAGAAAGAACGGCACAGAAUUUUAAAAAGAACCUGUCAGGAUGAGUUUGUCUACAUAGCUCUGCAGAAUCAACAACGGAACAGACCUUAAAAACAAAACUUCGCCAAUUACUCGAGUAUUCUCAACAAAUGAAUUAACAAAUUGAAAAAACAAAAGAGUGAUACGCAGCAAAGAGAAGAUGCAUAUAGAGAGAGGAAACUGACUGCAUCUGAAAUCUCAUCCAUUGCUCGAAUAAUUUCCACAGAUGAAGGCAUUUCGGAUAUAUAAUCAACCAAUUCACUGGACCUGACAACAAUCAAUUUUAAUAACGACUUUAAAUAACAAAAUUUAGAACUAAAACGAAACAGUGUCAUCUGUACGAAUCAAACACUAAUGCAAAUUGCUUAAGUUGAAAAAUUUAACUUCCAACCCGCUUCACUGUAUUUAAAAAAAAUUAAUUCAAACUUAGAUAUAUUAAGUAACAAAAAAAUCAAUCCUUCCGCUUCCUAGGCUGCAAAAUUAACUUAUUCUAAUCCAAUUUUUCCGGAAAUAUUUCAAAUUUUUUAUGCUUUUAGUUUCAGUAGCUUCACCGUUUAAGAAUACUCUAAUUAAGCUCUAAAUAUGUGCACAUAUUUGUUUUGUAUGAUUUAUUAUUAUUUUUUUUUUAACCUCUCGAUGGCGUCAUCGACGAAACGUUGAAAGCCAUUGGGAGACUUCAAGUGGUCAAAACCGUAGAGACCGGUAGGGACUCCGUUGGAGGUCCGUGUGUAGAAAUGGCGGGUCGUGGAAUGAUCCGAAUAACACGAUUUGCAACGGACGAAAGGAGCGGUUCUGCGGAUUAGGGUCCACAUUUGAUUUGGUGCUGCGGCAGUGCGGGGCAGGCGCCGCUGUGCGAACGUCAAAACGUGUGUGAUGAUAAAUUUUGAAACUAUGGACCGGAUUCGGGUUACUAAUACUAGGUCCUGAUACGCGAAAAAAAUGGGCUAGUGCAAAAGCAGGCCUAUUUCGUGGUUUUUGAAUAGAGUAUGGCCUUUGACACACUUGAAGUUUGUCAUAAACCCCCUCUUUACUUGAAAUUACUUAAAUAACCUAACAUAAAUUAAUUCAUUUUUUAUUUUGACUGAAAAUUCAGUUAUACAUUUAUGCAAAUUCUUUUAACAAAUUUUUUAAACCCACCCCAUUUCAUAAUUUAAAUUUAUAUUUUAAAUUUUAAUUGAAAAGAAUUUUAAAAAAUUAUAAAAAAGUUUAGAGUUAUGAAAAUAGAAAUUAUAAAAUAAGAAAAAAUUUAAGAUAAUUUUAAUAUUUUAGGAUUUUUAUGCAAUUUAAAAAUAUUUUUUUUAGUAAAAUUUUAUGGAAAAAUGGUUAAUUUUAAUAUAUGGAUUUAUAUUUUAUCAAUUUAAAUUAGGGGCUAUAAGAAAAGAAAUUCAAAAGGGAUUUUUUAAGAAUUUUAGGGGAGUGUUAAAGGCUCUACUCUUUUGAAUAAUAGAGUUUCUAUCUAGCCACCAAUUUUGAUAUUUUCAAAUUAUUAUUUUCUCAUUUUCUGACUACAAUAUUUAUGAUUGAAACUAGGGUUUAACAUUUUAUAAUACUUGGAGGAAGAUUAUAAGGUGUAAUGGACAUAGAUUAUAUUUAAUUUGUGUAUGUGUACUUGGAAAUAGAAAGUUGAAUAUCAAAGAUUAGACGUAUGAUCCCAUAUAAGUUGGAGCCAUGUGGACUACUUGUUGAUCCAAGAAUUUUUGUGCACCGGUAGGCAGCCAGAUCACCUAGGUGUCCUCGGUAAAAUACUAGAGAUGGAAAAGGUGGGUACUCACUUUGGCUUGUUUUAAUAGUUACAAAAUAUAUCCAAUGAUACAAAUACAACAAGGAAAUAACACAUAAUUGCAACAAUCUAAGCUAGUUUCUCCUUUACAAGUUGACCUUAAUCUCGGCCACCUUAUUACUAAGGUUCUUCAUGGUAGAAAUAGAAAGGAAGAGGUGAGAAUCUUCUUCUAAAAUUCUUUUAAAGUCACUAACUAAUUAUGAUAUGUGACAGUUUGGUGAGAUUGUUCCCUAUUAGUUGAUCUUCCCUAUCUUCUCAAUCAUCUAUUUAGUUACCUUAAUGUGACAUCUUAAUGUAUUAUUUACCUUGCUGUCCUCAGAAUGAGAAGAACAAAAUGGGCUAAGAAUGACAUGGGCUCUAGGUGGCAAGUCCACUUUGACGCUCAAUUCAACAAUGAGAUUCUUUAAGGUUUAUGCUAGAUUUUAGACAAAAAAUAAUGAGUUUAAGCUUAAACAUGCAUAUGGAAAUGAGAUGGGAAUAAGAGAGCAAUAAAUGAAGAUAAGUGUUAGGGAGCUAAGAGGGGAAUUAAGGGGGGCCUAAAGGACUCUUUUACCAUGCACGUAAGUUAUAUAGUCGUAUUUCCUUGGUUCACCCACUUCUCGAAGGUUAAAAGACCCAUUUGGUUUUGUUCAGGUGAUUUGUUAAGAUCAACCUUUUCUCUCUAAGUCAAAAGACCCAUUUAUUUUCUUGUUUGUAGAUAAAGAGGAAUACUCCUAUGGGAUAUUCAUUAUCUUUUAUCCAUAGGUCAUCUUGGACAUGUGUCUAAUUUCAUUAGUUGUUGAUAUUUCUUGAUAUAUUUACUAUAACUUUGGUUGAAAUCAAUAAAGAUAAUCUCACAUAUUUUAUCAAGAUAAAGAUAAACUAAGUACUUUAGAAGUAGUCACCUUUCUUUAAGAUAUUUACAUAUCUAGGAACAUGUUAGUUGAAUUUCUUGAUGUGGCAUAAUGAGGUUGGUUAUAUAAAAUCAUUAUAGGUCAACAUAAUUGAAAAAUAGCUGUUAUAAUUUUUUAGCCAAUUUUUUCAUACCACAUCAGUAUGUACACAUUAGUUUGUACAAAAUUAUUUGUGGCCCUAUCAUAUUAAUUUUUUAUGGUAUAAUACUAGUUACUAUUCUAUCAUGUUAUUUGUAUAAAAAAAUGUUCAUAUCAAAAUUACGAGCAAUUUUAAUAUACAUAUGAGGUAUUGUGUCAACCAUACAACAAAUAAAUAAUAUUAUAAUAUGUGUGUAUUUACCUUGAAGAACAAACAUGCAACUGAUAGUUAUAUAAAAUUCAACUAAUAUUUUAUACAUAUAUUAAUUAAUUGUAUUACUUUUUUAAUUUUAAAAUUCCUUCAAAAUUAAUCCCAAUGCAUUUCAAAGACCAGACCUAAAAACUGGGCCGUGCUGUAUGUGGGCCGGAUUCUGUGUAGUUCUCUAUGGGCCGCGUCAGCCCAAUUUAGGAAGUCACAAGAAAGUGACGGUAUCCUCUUACAUCUUUUAAUCUUCGAUAACCACGGGUGACAUUUUGACAAACAUCCAAUAAUACACAUGCCUCAAGUUCGCGGCAUGCAUGCACGUUCCCAAAACAGAAAGAAUAAGAUGAACACAAAACACGAUCUCCUCUCCGAAACCAAAAUAACAACUUUUAUCAUUUUUUUUCUUCUUCUGUCGUUCUGAUCUUCGUGUCGUGCGAGUCACCCUCAAACCCUCCAUUCCCGCGAAAACCUCAAACACACACACUCUCUCUCUCACCUCUUUCCCCUUUCCUCCCCUCUGGAGACUUCCAUUUUCAAUUCUAUCUUUUAAAACUAAAUAAAUAUAAAAAUAUAGAAAAUUAAAGAGACAAUUUCACUAUGCAACGGAAUUGACGAUCAAUGUCGAGCUCUGCUGAGAACCAAGAUCCGUUAUCACCGACGCCAGCGUCAACGCCUUCUCCGACGACACGUACCAAGCUAAGGAAGAUUCCUCCGAUCCCAAUUCGGCGCGGGAAGCAUGAUCAUUCCGAAGGUGAAAAUCAACGUCGUCAUCAUGACGACAGUAAUGUGGAACAAGCAAGAGGAGACGACGAAUCGUCCAUACUCGUAGCUUCUUCUCUCGGUUUGAACCACAUCCGAACCAAGUCCGUUUCGUCGUCUCCUUCGCCUCUCAGGUUCUUUUCCGCCGCUGGCACUCCCUCGAGUUUCACGAAUGAGGCUAAGAAGAAUAAAACUGAGACUGCUGCCGCUGACGUCAAGCCUAAAUUUGCUGUUCCUCCCAGCAACAAACCGCCGUCGUUGGAAUCAGGUUGUAUUUUUAUUUUUAUUAUUUUAAAUUGUUAUUUGAUUCUAAACGAAUAUGAAUUAAUGCAUUUCUUUUCUGCUGAUUAACACGUGAAAUUAAUUAAAUAAUGACGUAAUUACAAAUAAUCGGGGAAAAAUAAUUUUUGUUAAAAUAAAAUUGGUUGCGUAAUUUGAGAUUGUAUGGUUGUUGUGUAUAGGCAAAAAGGGGCAAUGGACUCAAUCAAAAUCGUUAAGAUUUCCAUCACCUCUGAAUCCGGAGUUGGAGGUAAUAAGAUUUUUUUUUAAUAAUCUUAAUUAAUUGUAAUUGGUUGAAGGAAUGUAGGUGAUGGGGGUUCAUAAUUUAAUGGUGAUUUUUUUAAAUAGGUUAGUCAUGCAGCAUUUGCCAAAGAGAUGCAGUCGCCUCGUUUCCAGGCUAUACUGCGUGUAACAAGUGGGCGGAAGAAGAAAGCGCCAGAAAUUAAGAGCUUCUCGCAUGAGCUCAAUUCCAAAGGUGUACGGCCUUUUCCCGUUUGGAAGUCUCGCGCAUUUGGUCACAUGGAGGUAUGUCUUCCUUCCCUUGAGCUUAUUAAUGCAAUUGAAAUCAAACGUGUAAUUUUACAAUACAUGCUAGGAAAAAGUUCUCACGGUAAGUAUUGGGUUAAAAAUAAUUUAUAUUCAGUUUUAAUUAUGUAAACCGAGUAUUACAUUAUAUUUUUAUAAGGUUCACAAUGUAUAUUUGUUAAUUAUUCCACAGGAGAUUAUGGUGGCAAUCAGGGCAAAGUUUGAUAAGUUGAAGGAGGAAGUUAAUUGUGAUUUAGGAGUACUAGCAGGAGAUUUGGUGGGUAUACUUGAAAAGAGUUCCGAUUCUCAUCCUGAAUGGCAGGAGAGUUUGGAGGAUUUGCUGGUGAUCGCUCGAAAAUGUGCCACGAUGUCACCUAGUGAAUUUUGGGUGAAAUGUGAAGGUAUUGUUUUGAAUCUAGAUGAUAGACGUCAAGAGCUACCAAUGGGAAUUCUCAAACAAGCUUAUACUCGCCUUCUUUUUAUUCUAACGCGAUGCACUAGGCUUGUUCAGUUCCAGAAAGAGACUGGUUAUGAAGAAGAACACAUUCUGGGUCUUCAUCAACUUAGUGAUCUUGGGGUUUACCCGGAACAGAUUUUGCAAAUUAGGCAGCAGGACUUUAGUGGUCCAUUGACUGGGGGGAAGGUAAUGAAUGAGAAGCAGAGGAAGAAGUCACAUGGACAGGAACUAGGAAGUCUUAAUUUGAAAGAAGAUCAAGUUGAUCAACAUGAAACUGAGAAUGUGGAGGUUGGCACGGCCAAAAGUGGUGAUUCAACUACAAGCAGCUAUAGGAUGUCGUCUUGGAAGAGACUUCCUUCUGGGUCUCGGAGAAAAAAAGGUUCUGAAGCUGCUGCUGAUACACCCCCCAAGGAUAAAACAGAGGCAUUUCAAAAUAAAGAUGAACCCAAAAUUGGUAGUGAUGAUGGUAAUGACAAUCUGGAUGGUUUGUACCAUCAUGCAUCCUCGAGAAUAACAAAAUCUUGGGGAUUCUGGGGCGAAAAUUCGAUGAUCUGCCGUAUUUGUGAGGUUGAAAUACCAGUUGUGCAUGUUGAGGAGCACUCUCGGAUAUGUACAAUUGCCGAUAGAUGUGAUCUGAAAAGUCUAACUGUAAAUGAACGUCUUGAAAGAGUAGCAGAAACUCUUGAAAAAAUUCUGGAUUCAUGGUCACCGAAAAGCACACCAAGAAGCGGUGAAUCUCCUAGGGUAAGUGUUGAAGUUGCAGGAAUGUCUACAUUAAGUACACACGACGAUCUAAACCUAAUGUCACCAAAGCAAAAUAGCUUGUCUCGUCAAGGCUCAAAAGAAAUGCUUGAUCAUGUUCCUGAUGAUGAUAAUGCUUUUGUCAUUGAAGAUCUAAAUGUUUUGCCCGAAAUUUCCUGUGACAAAAAUCCUACUGCUGCUGAUAUUGCUGCAAAAACCUCAUCAGCAGGAAGCUUGACACCAAGAUCACCAUUAUUAACACCACGAACAAGCCAAAUUGAAUUGCUGGUGAAUGGACACAGAACAAUAACAGAGCUUCAAAACCCUCAGCAGGUAUGCUAUUGCAUUAACUUGAAGCCAUGUUUGUUUUCCGAUCAUACUGUAUUAACUCUUCAGGAGAACCUCUGUUGGAUAUCCUGAUGGCUGGUUUUGUUGCAAUUUCAAGGGAUUUUUUGCUAAAAUUUUGAUAUUCUACUAUUAUUCUGGAAUGACAGAUAAAAAAGUUACUGGAUGUAAGUCGAUCCAUUGCAAGUGUAAAUGACUGUGACUACAAUUCAUUGGAGCAUAUGCUUGAUCGUUUAGAAGAACUCAAAUACAUCAUCCAGGAUAGGAAGGUGGAUGCUCUUUUUGUGGAAACUUUUGGAAGGCGUAUAGAGAAACUACUUCAGUAAGUCCAUUUUAAUCUUUUUCUAAAAACCUUGCUGUUAACAUGUUUCUUGCUGUUAAACAAAAUGUGAUGUUCGCCAGUCAAAUUUCUUUCUGGUUCAAUGAAUCUCUUCAUAUUUAACAACAAGAUGUACUGUUUUACUUAGUUUCUGUUGUCAGUUUAUUUUUAUUUUUUCCCCCAACGAUUGGGUUAACAUUAAGUAAUAAUAUCUCUAACUUUGUCUAUGUGAUAUUGUGAAAUUUCAGGGAGAAAUAUGUCAAUCUUUGUGGGCAGAUCGACGAUGAAAAGUUAGACUCAUCAAAUGCCAUGACUGAAGAAGAGAGUUCAAUGGAUGAAGAUACGGUUCGUAGUCUGCGUACAAGCCCUAUCAAUCCAUGUUCUAAAGACCGUACAUCUAUAGAAGACUUUGAAAUAAUAAAACCAAUCAGUCAAGGUGCAUUUGGGCGAGUUUUCCUUGCCAGAAAAAGAGCAACCGGGGACUUAUUUGCCAUAAAGGUCAGUAUAUACCUGCAGGAAUAGGAUUGAUGCAUAAAUUGUUAUGCUUUUACAAUUUCUGUGAUUGAGCAUACGUUUAUCCCUUUUUCAUUGUAGUAGUUAUGAUCUUAGAUACACUCUGUACCACAAAUGGUUGUGAAAUGUUGAUUCAGUUUGGGUUAAAUUUUCAUAUUAUCAAAUGGUCUCUUGUUUAUACAAAUGUGGUUUAAAAUAUAACCUUAAGUUGUUUUUUCAUGAUACCAAUUGUUUGUUAAGCUUAUCUGAGGAUACGUGAUUUUGAAAAAGAAAUGUAGCUCAUGACUAGUUGUUGAUUAGAAAUUCAAUAAUAGAUAUUAGUUAUUAUUCCAAUUUGAACUGUUUUUUAAUUAACUUCUUAAUAAAGCUGAAGACAACCAUUAUGUCUUAAAACUGCCAAGAAAAAGAGAAUAUAUAUAGGUUUCCAACAUUCUUCUUUAAGGAGAGAUGUCAACCAAAGGUGUUUAUUCGAUGGCAAGGCAAGUCUAAUGAGUAUUAUCUUGGAAGCCAGAGAGAUGUUACCCCUCAGAGAAAGAGAUGUUGGUGCUGCUGUUUAAACAGAAAGGGAAAAUGUACACAAUGUGCAUUCAAAACUCUUCCCCCGUUUGUUUUAUGAGGAAGCUUAAGUUAAGAUUGGUAUUCAAGAAGGGGGGGACAAAUUAAAAAAAAAUGCAAUAGAUUUCUUAAUUUUAAUGUCCUCAACAACCACAUAUAUUAGCUUUGAGUUAAAGCUAUAUGAAGUUUCUAAUUAAGGUGCAAAGCAUAACUGGUCUUAUUAGUUGUUACUUGCCUAUCUUUUGUUCAAAGGAUAACAUUUAUAUGUCUGAUCAGUUGAAUUGAUUCAUCUAUUGUCUGAUUAUCUUAACAACAGUGUAAUAACACUGGUUGUAAGUGCCCGGUUAUGGAUGAAUGCUUGUCUAACUGAGAUGAUCUUUGCAGUAACUAACUUGAUAAAAACAUUUCUACAGGUUUUAAAGAAGGCUGACAUGAUUCGUAAAAACGCAGUUGAAAGUAUUUUGGCUGAGCGUAAUAUCCUCAUAUCAGUUCGAAAUCCUUUUGUGGUAAGUAGAUCUCAGAAUGUGCAAUCAUUUUAAGAUGCAGAUCUCACAUUUCUGAUGUCUCAACACGACUUCAUGAUGAACAGGUCCGAUUUUUCUACUCGUUCACAUGCAGAGAAAAUCUUUAUCUGGUGAUGGAAUAUCUAAAUGGUGGAGACCUCUAUUCUUUACUGAGAAAUCUAGGUUGCUUAGAUGAAGAUAUGGCCCGUGUCUAUAUUGCAGAACUUGUAAGGACGCAUUCACAUUUAUGAUUCUUCGAGGAUUUAUCUGUUUGUGCUAACUUGAUAAAAAAUUCUCACAAUGGUACAAAUAGUUUGUCUACUAUUUCUCAGGUCCUUGCUUUGGAGUAUUUGCACUCUUUGAAUGUCAUUCAUAGAGAUCUGAAACCAGACAACUUGUUGAUUGGUCAAGAUGGUCACAUCAAGGUCAAUAUUUUGUAAUUUUAUCUCAUUGUUUACUUGUCAAAUGAUAUUUUCAGAAUUGUAAAAGUAGAUUGGCUUCUAUAUGAAGCACUUUCUGUUUGUAUUUGUUAGGUAAUUUUAUGCCAGUAAGCUGAAUCAUGCUAAAAGUAAAGCAAAUAAGAGAAAGUGUCUCUCACUUUCAAUUACCAGUUUAGGGCGAUUAAUUUCUGACAUAAGUAGGGGGAAUUUCUCAUUUUUUAUAGCAUAUUCUUAUUUACUGGUUAAUUUCCUCAUUGACUAUGUUUUGAACUGAAAAUUUUGUUGCCUACUUGGGAAGUAUGUCAAAUCCGUGUAGCUGGAUCAUCAUUUUCAAAGAAAGCUUUAUUGUAUAAACUUACUGCUAAGAUUGGAAUACUGCAUCGAUAUGUUUCUAGCACUAGGCAUUUUUAUAUUCUCGCUUCUAUGCAUCCAACAAUUGCAUCUAUGUUUGGUGACAGUGAACAGUCAAACAUUCAGGUUACUGGAAUGGUCAGCACAAAAACUAUUCAUAAUGUAAUAAAUUCAACUUUUUGUGUCCGGGACCUGAGUCGAUCUUGUCCAAUUAGUAGUAAGAUUAUUUAAUAACUGUUAUUUUUUCUUUUUGUCUUUCCACUAUUUGCGAUCUUGUGGAACUGUUUUAUUCUUCUGUACUGCUGUGAUAACAUUACUGGCCAGCUCUCACUUCCUACUAUUACAGUUGACAGAUUUUGGGCUCUCUAAGGUUGGUCUUAUACACAGCACAGAUGACUUAUCAGCUCCUUCACUUGGCAGUGGUGGGUUUCUUGUACAUGAUGAACUAAAAGAUCAACCUCCAUUGACUAGAGAACAGCGCCAAAAGCAUUCUGUUGCUGGCACUCCAGAUUAUUUGGCACCUGAGAUACUUCUUGGAAUGGGACAUGGUUAGCAAACUAUGUGCUAAUAGGGUAGUAUAUGUAAAUAAGUAAUGAGGAUUUCUUUCUUUAAUAGACUGAUUGAUGUUCCACACUGUUCUUUUUGCAGGAGCAACUGCCGAUUGGUGGUCCGUGGGUAUUAUUCUUUUUGAGCUGCUCAUAGGCAUUCCUCCAUUCAAUGCCAAAACUCCUCAGGUGGGCAAUCAAACUGUCACUGUCCCUAAGCUAAAUGACUUCAGAUUCUAAUUCCUUUCUUUUUGUUGAACAAUCAUUAACAUAUUCUAAGUGAAUAUUCUUACUGAUAUUUCGACUGAUAAUGCUGACUUUUCAAUUUGAUCCUUUUUGAUGUUCAUUGGGUAACAUCCUGCCAUCAUUGACCAAUGUUCUGUUGUCUGCAGCAAAUUUUCGAUAAUAUUAUGAAUAGAGAUAUACCCUGGCCAAACAUACCAGAGGAGAUGAGCGUUGAGGCUUGCGAUUUAAUUGACAAGUAAGAUUUAUAAAAGAGAUUCAUGCAAUAUCUGUCUGUUGAAAUUACAGAGCCAUUUUUAAUCAUGUCACUGCACGCAAAGUUUUAUAUAUCCAUAUUAGAAAGAGAACUAUUUUAUGUUUGAUGGCAACUGAUGUAAGAAUUAUUACUGGCAUAACAUGCUGGUUAUUUUCAUAAUAAAGGCCCCCUAACAAUCAACAACUGAGAGCUGGCUUACCUUCAUAUUCACUAACAAUCAAUAUUUCAUUUUAUCUCAGAUUAUUAACUGAAAAUCCAGUUCAAAGACUGGGAGCCACUGGCGCCAGAGAGGUAAAGUGUUGAGAUUUAGGUACUAGCAAAGACUUAAAAUUGUAUUAUGACUUAAAGGACUAAGCAGAAUUUUCUGGCAGGUGAAGCAACAUCCUUUUUUCAAAAAUAUAAACUGGGACACACUUGCAAGACAAAAGGUCCUCUUAUUACAAGCUUAUUAACUUUGUUUACACUGUAAUUGACCUAAUUGCAAUAUCGAGUAGCUUCUCUUAUUGGCUGCAGGCUAUGUUUAUACCAGCUGCAGAAUCACUGGACACAAGUUACUUUGUGAGCCGUUAUGUAUGGAAUCCAGAAGAUGAAAAUGUUCAGGGAGGUAGUGACUUUGACGACUUGACUGACACAUGCAGCAGCGGUUCGUUUAGUAACACUCUGGACGAAGAGGUGCACACAUGUUUUCAUUUGUUUAUCUAUCAAUCUCUAUGCACAAAAGCCUCUCAGUGGAUCAGAUUAUGAUGGAAAUAUCUUUUGAUGACAGCUUUAAUCUGAUUAAUCUAAUUUAGAGAAUGCCAAUUUGAAUACAUUUGGAAGCACGUGUGAAAGAACUUAAUCAAAGUUUAUGAGCAUGAAUUUGAGGAGGCUUACUGCUAUGGGAUCAAUAUUUCAUUUUCCUGACCAUUUUUUUAUUUUUUUCCUGUGAAGCAGGCUGAUGAGUGUGGUAGCUUGGCAGAAUUUAGUGCCCCUGCUCUUGCUGUGCAGUACUCGUUUAGUAAUUUCUCAUUUAAGGUAAAACCCACUACUCCUAGAUUCUUCCAAUGCCGUUAGAAAACUCUUAAAUAUUAGUUGAAAAUGAAUUAAGUACUUCAAAAUGAAUUAAUUUCUUGCAUUUUACAUAGCUUCAUAAAAACUAGCUUAAUAAAAAUUUAUUUGGAAAUUGUUUCCCAAGUACCUCAUAUUUCUUUUAGAGCUGCUUUGGGUUGCUGCGCAUUACACUCAUCUCGUGACAUGCUGUUAUCUAAUCCUAUUAUCACCUUCAAAAACGUAUACUUGGAAACUCUUUGAAUCCUAAAUUAAAUUCUUCAAGCUUGAAUUGAAUAAAUUUGGCUUUUGCCUAAAUCUCUGAACCAAAUAGAACCAAUUUCAGAAUUUUACCAACAAAAUUAAGUCUAUUUCAAUUUGAAAGACUACUAAAACUAAAAGCAAACUCUUGAGGACCAAAAUUUUAUCCUAAUCAGAAGUUUUUAAAUGAAGAUGUUGAUGAGCAUAAAAUAUUUGCUCAUCAGUUUGUGAACUGCAAUAUAAAUUUUGAAAUUUCUUCUUGUUUUCUCAGAACCUGUCUCAACUGGCUUCUAUCAAUUAUGAUCUGGUGGUGAAGAGUGCCAAGGAAUCGGCAGAGGCCUCCAAAUCAUCUGUUCCAUGACAAAUUUAUAUGGUUACUUUAGCACACAUAUAUAGUUCAACUUAUGACACUUCUAUUCGUAUAGCUUCCUGGUUAAUUCUACCUGCAUCACGAUCAGAUUCCUAUAUAGAUUGAAGAAAUAUAGGUAAAUCUGGUUGCAGGAUCAUCUUCCUGAACCUGCUUAACCAUAGUUGUAGUAGUCUUAUCCGCAUCAUUUGAUCAUCCAUAUAAAAGUGGCAGUUUUUUAUUUUAUUUUUUUUAAUUUUCAUCUUAUUCCUUACAUCUUUUGAGCGCUUUUCUUCCAUGUAUAUGUUUGCAUAUUCUUUCUAAUAGAUGAAAUUUUGAGUCCAUAUCAUUGUAGGCUAUGUUAGUGGUCUUUUACCUUCAUAUGUCUAAAUUUUUUGAUAUUGGCCUUUCCUUUUAAUUUGCCUUUCUUUGAAAUAACCUUUUGCCAGAUUUGAGUUGGCUUAUAAUAUAAUCUGUGCUUAUAAGUAUGCAGUUUUUAAAAGCUCCCUUUGUUCUCUUAACAAACGCGAAUAAUUUCAGAAGGGACUGUUACUGGUGCCAUUGGUUCGUCAAACAUGGUUUUAACCAAUUUCCACGAUUCUUCUUCGACUCCGAUUCGGAGAAAACAGUGCUAAUUUGGUUUCUUGAUUAUUUCCAAAGUUUGUGGGAUAUGUAUAAUAUAGAUGAUAAAUAAAAUGGAAGCCCGCCAAUGCCUGGUCAAUUAGAUGUAUAUACGUAGGCUCUGUUUGAUAGUGUGAUGUUGUAAGCGUUAUAAUCUACAUCAUUAGAGAGAGUUUUUCUACUCUACAUCACUAGCAGGAGAAUUUCUUUACUAGUUUAUAACUUUAGUUCCCUUAAUUCAGUAUACGGGUUUUGGGUUAGAACGUUCAAAAAUGAAAUGGUGAUAAGCUGUGCCCAAAGCGAGCAAUAUCUAAUUGUGAAUUAUUAUAAUUUGUAAGUUUUAUUUUAAAUAAUAGAAACAUAUCUAACCUAUUUUGAGCCAUGAUAUCUAAAUGAUAUCUAAGUUUAAUCUAGGCAUAAUAUAUAUAAAAAAAUGAAAAAAAAUUCCCAGCCACAUUCAAUAGGCCAUUUUCAAAGCCAAUAAUCUAAACAAAUCAUUAUUUCUUGCAAUGCACUUUAACAAAUAUAAUAUGACGAAUGACGAUGGUAGGUAGGUAGAGUACACCACAGAUUAGCCUCCUUUGAACUUAUUGGUGGCCAAUAAAAAUGAACUGCAAAACUUUUAAGAAUCAACUUCUUCUUUGUUGCAAUGAUAAACCAUUACUUUGUUUAAGAAACAACGACCCAAUUGACAUCCCAAUGCGAAUUAUCACAGUGAGUCGGCAUUCCACUUCGCCCACUUUUGUACCCACUUUUGUACACAUUUGAAAAUCAUGGACACUAGCAGCCAAUUUUAUGAUACGUUAUCAGCAUCAAAGUUAGAGAAUAAUGAUAGGGGGCCUGUAAUCUUUUUCAACUGAACCAGCGAAAAUUUCCUGAAGUGUAUGAAUAACCUUAAGGUAAUGAUAAUAAGUUAAAACAACAACAAUAAGUCAUCUAUUUGUUCUAUUUUAUUUAUGACGUAAUGAUCGUUCAUGUAUCAUCAUCAAGAUCAAGUCAUUAGGGUACAAUCUUUUUGUUUAUUUAAUCAACUAAAUAAAAAGGCUUGGCUUUUGAUAGUAUUCAAUUGUAUGAGCUUUAUGAAUACUAAUUACUAAAUUUCAUAAUUAAAAUACUUUUGCUAUUCUAAAGAUAGAUAAAGUGAAAGCCAUAAAUAAAGUGAAUGCCAUUUUUGGGACCUCAACUUUAUAUAUGUUGCCGAAUAUCCAGUGACAACCUAAUAAUUCACAAUCUGUCAAAAAUACACCAAAUUUUUUUUCUAUAGAAGUUUUUCACCUGAAUAAGUUUAUAAAAUAUAUCAUUUUUCUGCUUUUCUAAUAAUACCAUUAGAGGAUUAAAUAGAAUCUUUAAAAAAUGCUAUUUCACUCCCGAAAUAAAAAGAUUAUUUAUUGAUUGUUAUUCUAGAUAUUUUCAGAAUGUGUUGUUGUUUUGGAUUAAUGGUAACAAAUUGUGAACUUUGAGUUCCUAAUAACUGGUUUUAUAUUUUUACCUUUUUUAUGGGAACAAACUAUAACGUUCAACGUUUCCCAAAACUGAUUUUAGGAUUAUUUUGAAAUAUUUUUUAUACCUAUAAUUGUUUCUAUUAGUUAUUUAUUAUUGAUGAAGAUUUGUCAUUGUUGUCCAAAACAUGUUAUUCAAGAUGGAUGAUAUGAGGCUUUUUUUUUUUUUUUUAAUCAUGAGCUAUAAAUUAAGUAGGAUGCUUAUUUUAAUGAUUUUAUAUCUUUACAUUAGUAGAUUUGUUGAGUUUAUAUAGUUAAUUUUGUGGUUAUUAUUGGUCCCAACAACUACAAAAUAAAAUUUAUUUUUUUGUUCAUUUAGCUUGGAUUAAAUAUAUUUUUUAUGAUCAGGGGCAAAAUAGUUAUUAAUCAAUAUUUUGUUAAAUCCUCUAAUGGUGUUAAUGGAAAAGUGAAAAACUGAUGCACUUUGCAAAACUUCAAGUGGAUAGCUGCAAAAGAAAAUAGUUUUGGUACAUUUUUGAUAAAGUGCAAAACAUCAGGUGGUCAAUGAAUAUUUACCUUAUAUACACUAAAACCUCUUAUAAUCAUAAUGCUGAGGCCAAACUAAUUUUAUUACUUUGAGAAUGUUAUAACUUAAUAGAGAUGUAGUUAUAAAAAAUAUUGUUUUGACUUAAUUAUCCUUAGUACAAGUGAUAUAGAGGUAAAAUAUGUGCUACAUUAAUAAUUAAUUAAUCAAGCAUGUCAAAUCUAAUGUACAAACAUUGAUAAUAGAGAUAGAUAUGAUUUAAAAGAAUUAGCAUAUAAUUUUGUAAUAUAUAGAUAAUUAUUACUAUGUGGAGGGAGGUUUGGAGGUUCCUUCAAAGGAAAUUUAAAAAAUUAUAACUUAUUAUAAUAUAAAACUUAUUCUUAUUUGCAACUUGCCCAAAUUAUUGAGACCAUGGUGUUUUAUGACUAAAUAAAAGUUAUUCAUAUAUAGAGUAUUAUUACACAAAAAUUUUACUAUAUUAUCGAAGAAAAAAUAUCAUAGCUUCUCUAAAUGAGACAACUCGAGAUAUUAAUUUGUCUGUUUCAAGCGCAAGAAUCUUUGAAAUAUUUUCCAAGUUAGGUUUACUUCUCAUCAUUGAACUAUCAGUUUGAGUUUCAAUUAUGUUAAUAUUGAUAUAAAUGAUCGAUCGUGAUAAAUAUCCCUUUUGCCAAAUUAAUACAAAAUUCGUCCAUUGUUACAAGGAAAUAAGCUUGAUUAAUUUGUUUGUUAAUUAAAUCCCUUCUUGGUGGACUUAAUCAAAGAUUGAUCUGUAUAUGAUGUGAUUAAUUAAGAUGGCGUCAUGUUGCUUAUUAGCUGUAAAGGCCUUCAAUAAUGUAAUAAUCUCAUUAUCAGCAACUAUAUAUAGAGCCAACAAAUUUGUUUAGUAAAGAGAUUAUUUUUUUUUAUUCCAUGAUAUAAUAUAUCUGGUUGUUGAUUGAUUUUGUGUUUUCUUGAAACUAAGAUUAAAACCCUGAUGGAAUUAUUGUGGGCAUUGCCAUCGCCAAAUACCUUGCACCGCAGCAUCUUCAAAGGUUGAUGUUGACACUGUAAAAGGCUUUCGUGAGUCUUCUUCUUUAUAAUUUUAUAAAGACAGGUAGCUAAUUUGAUAAAUACUAGUUGUUAUAUCACGUCUUUUUUUUUCUUUUAACAAAGAAAUAAGAGGCUUAACCGUCAAUCAUUUGACCUAACUUCUUGAAAAUUGAUCUCUCUAAAAGUAUACAUACGAUAAAGAUUUUUAGGAGAAAAAAAAAAAAUUAGUGGUCGAGCCAAUAACAAGAUUUGAUCAAAUUGCAUGGAUAGCAAUUAUGACCCUUAAAACAAAAUAUUUUAGUCUUCAUGAAGAUAUAACAUUAUUUUUGUAUUUUCUAAAUCGAGAUAUUGAUACCGACAGUGAUAUAUAUGUUAUAUUGAUGUUUAUCAUUAGUUCAUACGUCCAUGUUGCUUCUUUAGGAUGUUGAAGAUUUUUUUUUUUUUUUUGGUUCAGUUUUAAAUAUUGGUAUAUAUACUGACAACAUAAGUUUCUUGAACAUUUUGAUACUGUCACACUUGUUAUUAUCAUUUAUGUGUACAAUUGUUAAGUUUUUGCAUAUUUUAACUUCCAAACUGUCAACUUAAAUCUUCUAAAACGGUUAUAAUUAUUUAUGGUAAAUACAAUAACGGAAUAAACUUCUAUAUGUCUUACGUACAUUUUCCAACCUCUCAGACUAUGAUCACAUCAAAAGUAAUAUCAUGAUACACUAAUGUUUAUUAAAUUUUUAAUUUUUAAAUUGACAUAUUACCGUAUUUUUCGAAACUUGGGAUCAGGCUACGGUGCCACAGUUGCACCUGAGGUUCCCCUGAAACUUAUUAGAUGCAACUGUGGCACGGUGCCACAGUUGCACCUGAGGUUCCCCUGAAACUUGAUACCACUUUCUCAUAUUGAUAUUAUUUUCCUUUUACAAUGUAAAAUGGAAUUUUUUUUUUUUUUUACCUUCUAAAUUACACAUCUUACAAGAAAGUUGGAUAUAUAAAUUUUUGUUCAGUCACCUACGGUUAGGCAUCAUCUAAGUGGUCCUUAAAUUUUUAAAAAUAAAAUGAAACAUCCUUGUCAUUGCCUCGAAAAGCUACUAUAAUAAGUGGUAACCAUCCUAGUACUUCAUUUUUAAAUUAUUAAUAUAUAUAUAUAUAUAUAUUUAGAUUGAUCAAUUAUUGAGCUAAUUUUUGAAUAUAUGAGUUAAGUCAUGAACUUUUAUUGUUCAAAGAAAUAGCUGAAGUUUAAGAUCACUUUGUUUCCAAACAUUCUAGCCACACAUUUAGAUCGCUUUGCCAAUGCAGUACUUUUUGGCCAUUGGUUGAAAGGAAGAAAAUUAAGAUUGUACCACAAUCACAUAUGCUAAUAAUAAUCUGAACAUAUUUCCUCAGUUACUGUCAUUAAUUUCUUCACUUUCCAAAAGGUUUCAAAUAAAUUAGAGGCAAGUUUCAAUCACACAGCUCUCGUAGAUUGGACGACUUUUCUUUCUUUAUUUUCUUUUAAGAUUGUGGUGUAGCCUUUGUUAGCAAUAAAAAAGAUUGAAAUCCCAAGAUUUCUCUCAUUGCGUUUGGCACAAUAUUGACAGUGACAACUUACUAGCCUAUGCUUAUUAGCUUUACGAUGACGUGAGAAUUUCCUUUGCAGAGGGGGAAAAAGAAGUUGAUUUGUGAAAGAAAUCUUUAUUUCCUAAGCAUAUUAUUGACCCUUUUCGUUCUCCUCCUUAAAAGGAUCCAAAAAGAAAGUAAAUAGAAUUGUAAUCAAGACUAGAAAAUAUGUAAAAGCCAAAUUGUGCUUUAUCCUUUGUUUUUUUUUUACACGUGGUUGCAUAAUAUAGUGUUACUCCAUUAAGAGCGUGCACCUUUCUUGUCAUAGCUUGUCUGCCAUGUCCAGCACUGUAUUAAUGUCACCUUCACUAAAACGACCAAACCCUAGUUCCCCAUCAUCACCAAAACCCUGAUGAUAAUCCAUCAACCAUGGUGAUGAUGGAUUUCCCUCUGAUGACGAAGCUGUAGGGAAAUUCCAUGAUGUAAAUGUGUCAGCAAGAUCAAAUGUGUCGGAUGACCACAUGUAGCUCAUCAGAUCAUCAUCACUAGUAGUAGGUCUGUUCUUGGAUUCAUGAUCUGUCGAGUAAUUUUUCUCACUGCAGAUUCUUGGUUUCUCCUGCUGCUCACCAACAUUAGCAAUAUCAAAGUUGCUAGCAGCCUGCUGAUGAUCGUCAUGAGAAUUAAUAGGUGCCUGAUCUUCUGUAAUGUUGGCUUGUUGUUGUAGAGGCUCAUGCGUCACGGGAUCAAUUCCCAUCUUAAUAAGCUUUUUCUUGAUGUGUGUAUUCCAAUGAUUCUUGAUUUCAUUAUCUGUUCUUCCCGGCAAUCUUGCUGCAAUUUUUGACCACCUAAAGAAAGCGAGACCGUUCAACAUUGUGUUGAUAAUAAUAAACAAAAUAAUAAACUUUAGUACAUAUCACUAUAGCUAUAAGGCAUUAUGGUAUAAUUAAUAAUUAAUUUAUAUAGACCUAUUGCCAAGGCGGGCGUGGAGAUCAAUAACAAGUUGCUCUUCAGCUUCAUUAAGGAGACCCCUUUUCAAGUCAGGCCGGAGGUAGUUAGUCCACCGGAGACGGCAGCUCUUGCCGCAUCGACGGAGUCCGGCGAGCUUCGGCACCGCACGCCAGCAACAAUGGCCGUGGGUGAGAAUGAAAGUGACCAAUUUCUUGUCCUCAUCAGCUGUCCAAGGGCCUUUCUUGACACCAAGUUUGUCGCAACAAGGUUGCCUCCCCAUGACUGAUUGUAUGGAUGUAAUAAGCAGAAGUGAAAUUAAUCACUCACCAUUCACCAAUAAUAAAGCCAAGAACAAAACUCCCACUCACCCACCUUUAUAUACUAGUUUGAUUUCCCUUUCUUUGGGGAAAAUCAAAUGUUAAUUUUGGAGAUGUUACUAUAUAUUAUGUCACGCUUGACUUGUGUGCGUGGCUAACACUUGAUCCUCUUUGGCAUGAAACUUUAUUAUACGUGGUAUUUUAUUGCACACUUUAAUUUAAUCAAACAUUAUUAAAGUUUAAGAACCAACCACAAUACAUAUAUAUGUAUACCUUUUUAAAUACAGACGUCUAAUUUUGACUGUAAAAAGUUACUGAAAAAAAAAUAAAUGAGUUUGAAGGCAUUAUUGAUUGAUAAAUAACAAAUUUCGUAUUUGUUAUUGAAGGCAUACGAAGAGUUAGAUGUCUGCAUUUAAAAAACGUUCGAAGAUCAUAAUUGAAAAUUUUCAUAAAAAUUACUUGUUAUUGUGUGAAUCAUUUAUACUCCAAGUAAAAUGUUAUAUUGAUUAACAUUACUAUUUUAUGAUCUCUUAUGAAAAUAUGAUGAGGUCGAAAUAGAAAUUUAUGUUUAAAAAAGAAAAUAAAUUUACAUUUGUUAUGUGAAAGUCAUGUAAAUUUAAUUUGAAGAGCGAAAAUAAAUAAGAUUAAAUAAUAAUGUGGAAAUUUGAAGUGAUUUUCACCAAACACAUUAAGAGUAUAUGAAGUAAUUGCAUGAAACAUGUUACCAAGCCAUCCGUUUAAAUGGCUAAUUUUCAGAGCUCACGCAAAUUGGAAGGUGAUCAUGACAAGAAUAUGUAGCUGGUAAAAAAAACAAAUGAAAAGAGUAAAUUCAAUAUUGCGCGUGUGAUUCAAACGCUCCAUUGGUGUGGCAAUCAUACGAAAGAGAAACGCAGGACCCACCACCAGUUUACGAUAGCAGCCGGGGACCAAAGUUGAUGAUGUUCCAAGGUGCUAGGCUCUACUGAAGUGGGGUCCAUGAUUGUGAUAGUGCAAGCAUGAGCUGGCCAAUCACGUACUUCCAGCGAGACACAUUUCAAUUUGCACAUUUCCUUGUUAGUAUUUAUAUAUUUAUUUCACACUUACUUAAGCAUUGCAUCAGCUGUUUCAUCAGCACCACUACUUACUGUGUGCACAGUGCGUUUAGCAAUAAAUAAAAAUAUGAUCAAUGGUCUCAUCCAUUAAAGAGGAUCUAGGAAAAAAAAUUGUGUGAGCGGACACAUUAUCUUAGCAUGUUAAAAUAUUUAACAAUAUAAAAUUUGACCUGUCAUUAGAUAAAUUAGUCUCCUGAUAGGGGUUACAUAUUUUUUAUUUUAAAUGAUCAUAUAAUUUAUUUUGUAAAUCUUACGACGGAACUCACCAAACCGAAUAAAAUUAUUGGUCCACUGAGAUGACAAAACUUAUCAAACAUACUGAAUUAUUAGUCCACGACAGUGGACGGUACUAUCUAAACAUGAUAUGGUCCAUCCGCCUUGAACAAGUCCUCCUCUAUCCGAUCUUCUCACGUUAAUUAAUAACAUAUUAGCUCGCAAUUUUAAGGUGGUUUAUGUAUUUUUAAUUAUUCUUAGAAUAUCAUCAUUAUUUUUUUCUUAAAAUAAAAAUAGAACAAAAUUUCUUUCAUCCACCAACUAAGGGUGCGUUUGGGAUUGAGGUGCUGUACCUUUUAAGCUACAGCUGCUGUGAAAAAAAAGCUGUAAUUAUGAAAUAAAAGUUAAUAAUAUAUAGUAAAUAUAAAUUUUAAAUAAUAAUUUUAUCAAAAUUAUUAAAGAUAUAAUAAAAUUUAUAUUAUACAAGUGAAAAUUUAUAUCAACAUAACUUAAAAGCUACAGCAGCUAGUGUUUACCAAACACUUUAGUGCUGUAGCUUUUAAGCUACAGCUGCCCAACCUCAAUCUCAAACGCACCCUAAGAUAGAGCAUCAAUAAGAGUGAUUUGCAUAGACACCACACCAUAGACAAAAAUAAUAUGAUAUGUUAAACUAAUACCACGCACUAACGAAUUGAGAGUAUUGAAUAAGGAAUUGUUAUGGUACAUUAUCAUGUACUAUUUCAAACCCACAUAAAUUUUUUUUUUUUUUUGAUAGACCCACACAAUUACUAUCGGUGCACAAAAAUAUAACCAACAAAAAUUACACGUGUAUUAUUAGUAGUAACUAUAUAAUUGAUGUAUAGUACACGAUGAUAUACCGUAUCAAGAUCCUAAUGAAUAGGACCUGAUAUUUUAUACGGACAUUUCUAUUAACAAAUAACAUACACAAUAAAAUAGAGAUACCCGAGCGUUUCGGUCACCCUUUAUCAACAGUUUGGUUUUUUUGACUAGUAAGUAGUAACCAGUAAUGCCGUAACAGUCAAUCUCCUCCUGCCGCUUGAAAAAUCAUCCGGCUAUUCGACAUUAAUAGUGUCAAACAUUCAAUUAGUGAUGUAAUAUUGGAGUAAUGCAAUUGUCAUUAAAGUCUCACAUGGAAAAGUGACUAUUCAUUAAAAAAAAAUUUAAAAAAAAAGUACUAACAUCUCCUUAGGACACAUCAAGUAUAAAAGAACAUAAAAAGCGUGCAUGAUGGCUUUUGUUGAAUUUAAAAGCAGGUUUAAAAUGACUUAAGGGAUGGUUUGAUGUGUGAGUCUAGGAAUUAGCAACCUCCUUUGCCAUCUAAUCCAAAGUUUCUUCAUUGCUUCGCUGAAAAAAAGGGGGUCUAAUAAAAAACAAGCCUCUCAUGUAACAAUGUUUUUUUAUGGCAAAAAAAAAGAAAAUCUUGGCUUUGAUUGAUGGAAUGAUGGACUAAUUGUAAAUUGAUUGUUUUUGACUUUUGUAUUUCUUGGCAUGAUUCAUAUAUGCCAAAAUGUGGCCUCUUGAGAUGUCUACUUAUGACGAUGAUGAUGAUGAGACGGUCGGCUGUGUUGUGCGGAGUGCAUAUAUAUGUCAUUUUUUGGGACGAUUUUCAUUAUUAUAUUAUUACAUAACAAAGUUGAAAAUCAUCACCGUACAUAUACACAAGUUUUAAAAUUAAAUUUAAAAAACAUAAACAUUUAACAAUAAAUUGUAUUUUAAAAUGUGCUGAUAUUGGCAUUGUAUAAAGACUAUACAAAAGUAUGGUCUCUAUUUUACUAACGUCCGACACUUCAUUUUGCUAAUUAACCUUUCUUUUUAAUACUAGUUCAAAUAUGGUUUUGGCACGGUUUAAAUUUAGGCAUGAUUUGCAGAUAGAACCAUACAAUGGAAUUUAUUUAGUGAUGUAAUAUUAUGUAUUCUUAGAUUUUUAAAAAUAAUUUAAUGUUUUCAAGCAAUCAAAAUCUAAGAACAAAGAUGCUUAAAGACACGUUCAAAAGUUUAGAAGGAAAAGGGGGAAAAAAAAACAAAGCAUGGAAAUUUAGUGAUAUAAAUAGGUAAUUUAUAAGGUCAUAAAAACAUUAAAGAAACAAUUAAAAUUUAAAAGAUAUAUAAUUUUAUAAUUUAUAAAAGAAUCAUAAUCUUUUAACUUUUCUUUAUUUUUAUUUUUUAGAGAAAGAGAGAUAAUAAGUACACUCAUUUGGAAAAGUAAUGCUAUAUAUCCUAAAAUUCAUAUGACGGUGGCCAUUCAUUAUGGGCAUUAAAAAUAAAUACACUAAAUUACUUUAGAGUAAAUAUAUAUUAUAAUUAAGCUUCACAAUCUCAUAUUGAGUAGUGCUUUUCACACCUCUUUAAUAUCAUUAUAAAAUCUUAUUUUUGUAAAAAUAGAUGUAUAGAUAGAAUACAAAUCAUGAAUCCCAACUAUCUUUAAGUCCUAAUAUGUGAUAUUAUUAAUUUUUUAAUACAUACAUAUUAGUUAGUUAGUUAGUUAGUUAAUUUAUUGUAGAUGAUAGUAAAAUUAAUAAAAACUCUAUUGGAAGAGUUUUUAAAAGAAAAGUUAAAAAUAUGAAAAAGUCGGGUUUUGCAAGAGUUUUAAAGGGGUGUUGGACGCUCAACUCUUUCAGAUUUUCAGCCCAAAUUAAUAUAAUACCGGCCCAAUGAAGUAAAGGGCCACGAACUAACCUAGCAUACUUAAGUGACACGAAAUGGAAACUACUGGUUUGUUUGAAUUUUGAGUAAACAAGAGGGACUUCAAUGUUAAUAACCCCAUAAUUUAAUUCUAUUCCGUGUAGCCUAGUUGAGCGUGCCUCGCAAUCAUGGCAUGGCAUGAUUAGCUCAUUGGCCAUGUGUGGGGUGGAACGUUACGUGUUCGAUGAAAUGCGUAAAAAAAAAAAAUUAUAGACCAGAAAAUAACGUGAAAUAACCGAGUCAGAGUCAAAGAGACCGAGCUGGAGAGAACCCAUUACGAUGUGGAGGCGCGCGGCUUCGCUUUCUCCUUUCAUCUCUUCCUCAGGAUCAUUGAUUCGCAAUCAUCAGGUACAGUUACGAAAACCAGCCUUGUAUAAUUCAUUCUUUAUUCAUAUUUAUUUGUUGAAGCUUUUAUACAUACACAUGGAAAAUUGAAACAUGCUCGGUCAACAAAGAUAUAUUAUUUUGGCCGCUGCUUCUUAUUCAAUUGUCUGUUAUUCUUAUUUUGGAGCUGCAGAUUUUUAUUUUCCUUUUAAUUCUUGCAUUGCUAUGACUUUUUGCAUUAAUAUUGAUAACUAAAAGUCUUAACUUGCUUUUUGAACUUGGUUAUUUGUUACUCAAUGCAGACAGCUUACAACUUCAAGAUUUGGGAAUCAUUUACCACGGAAAUACCCACCCAGGUAUUUGGUAUGCUAGUGUAGUGUUUUUGGGAACAAUUUAGUCAUCAAGAUGUCUGGUUAUGGUGUAGCUAAUACCAAAAUUUGUAUAAGUAUCUGAAUAAAAACAAAUUGUGCGCUUUAUUUUGCUAAUAUUUUUUGUUCUAGUAAUUUCAUAGAAUUUAUAUUGGUACAGAGAUAGCUAUGUCUCAAGCCUAUAGUAAUUGUGAUUUUCUAAAUGGCUCAGCGUCUUUCCUUGGUCUGAGGAACAAGCAUAGGGAUGAAACAAAAAUCUGGCAUCAGAAUCCAUAUGCUGGCUAUUUUUAACAUUGCUUUUUGGGUUUCAGCUAUCAUAGUCCAGAGUACUUUUGCACGCUAUAUUAAGUCAAUAACAGUGGAAAGUUUUCCAAUCAGCAUAAAGGUUGGAAACUUAGGUUGAACUCUUAGGAAUAUUAGUUUCUAUGAUUUAUUUGCAUAUCUUAACAUUUUUGUUUUACAAUCGUGGUUGUGGUCAGUUCUGAUAAUCUUAUGCUCUAGUGUGCUAUGGUGCAUGCAUAAAGUAAGUGAGUAACCUUAGUUUUGAACUUGAUUGUGUUGAUCUUUUGUGCUACUUUGAUGCAGGUAAAAGGAGGCAAGGGUCCAUUUAUAUGUUUCGUCUUAGGUAAUAACCGUGUUCUACUUACUGGCACGAUAAAGGAUCUGGAUAAAUGCUUGUAGGCUGGUAUCAUGCAAAAUUACUUUGAUGUCCUUACAAUUCUAUAAAUUCAAACCUACUUAAGAAAUUAUCAUUCCUAUAAGGAACUCAAGUAGAGCUCAAAGGAAUUAUUUUCAAGGGUGUAUUGAUGUAGAUAACAUGUUCUUUGGUUUUUUGUUCCUGAGCUUGUUUGCAUCUUCCAUAGAUGAUAAUCAGUUUUCAAGACUAAAUAGCUUUGAAGAAUAUUAAAUACGUGUAGUAACCUUAAAAAGGUUAGAACUAUGCAUGUUCCUGGCAAUCUUCCUUUGAUAUUGCUUGCGAAGGUGUCUUGUGAUGCAUAUAUGUGUUAGCUUUGUAUUGCUAAUGUAUGACAGAAUUUGCUUCCCAUACUCUCAGGUGGCCCUGGUAGUGGAAAAGGUACGCAAUGUGCAAAAAUUGUGAAGAAUUACGGAUUGACACAUCUAAGUGCAGGAGAGUUAUUAAGGAGAGAAAUAGCUUCUAACAGUGAAUAUGGGUAAUAAUGUCUCAUGCUCAUCAUUAAAAAUUGUUUGGUUCCACUUAACUUCAAAACUGUUGCAUCCCUUGACGAUUGGAACUGGAUUUCAGCACGACAAUUCUCAACACAAUCAAAGAAGGAAAAAUUGUCCCUUCAGAAGUAACAGUCAGCCUGAUCCAAAAGGAGAUGGAAUCAAGUGAUAGCAAAAAAUUUCUAAUUGAUGGUUUUCCCCGAAGUGAGGAGAAUCGUGCAGCAUUUGAACGGAUUGUGAGUAUUCCUCCUUCUCGCCUCAUUUGUGAUAUUGGUUAAAGAAACCUACGCAGAUUUAUUUAAAUGAUUCGCCAACAUAUCUAACACCUAUCUUGGCUGUGAAUUUAAGGUUAUUAAAUUUUGCUUAGACCUUUCAAGAUCAAUGAAUCUGUUAGCAAAGCCGUGAGAUUUGUUUGUCAUGAAAGGUAAGCAAAAGAGUGGUUUUUCGUUGAGGAGAAACAACAGAGAGAAAACUGUAAAGAUUGUGCUGAUAUAGAGAUUUGAAGCAGUACUAAAUCUUGUCCAAAAAACCAAAAUAGAACAGUUAGAAAUCCAUUAUUGGAUUUGGACCAUUUGAUUUUUAUUCCUUUUCUAUGAUUUUUUUCUUGAAAAUAAAUAUUCUUGAUUCUGACAUAGAUGGGAGCAGAACCAGAUAUUGUUCUUUUCUUCGAUUGCCCUGAAGAAGAGAUGGUGAAUCGAGUGCUGAACCGCAAUGAGGUGCUUGUGGUUAAUUAUUUUACUUUUCAAUAUAGUAAAAUCAUGUUUGAACCUUUAUUAAAAUGAGACGAUGCCCAAUUCCAGGGUCGAGUUGAUGAUAACAUUGACACAGUCCGGAAACGUCUCCAAGUGUUUAAAGCAUUGAAUCUUCCUGUUAUCAAUUACUAUGCAAGGAGGGGAAAGCUUUAUACGGUGAUUUUUUUCUUUUAAACUAACCUUACACCCUAGGGGUUGUUAUUUUUUUACCUUAAUAUUAAAAUUGUAGUUGAAUGUCACAGCUUCUGAAUUUUCUUUGUUAAGGAAUUUAAUAGAAUAUGAAAAUAGAUAACUCCAUUCGAGGAUUUGUGUUCACUUAUUUUUUUAGUAGAUUGAUUGAGAAAUACUCAGUUGUUGUAACUGAAGGUUUUGCAUACAGAUCAAUGCAGUGGGAACAGUAGAUGAAAUUUUUGAACAAGUUCGUGCAGUUUUUGCUGCACUCAAGGUAAUUUUAUUUCUGUUAAUUUUUACAUUUCUGUGCUCUCUGUCAUUUGGCUUCAAUUUUAAACUUUCUUCUUGUAACUGAAAUGGAAUACUAUGUUAUUUGACUAUAUUAAUAGUUAAUUGAUGAUAUCACAAUUUUUUUAAGCAACACCUACCAAGUCAUCUCGUUCUUUAUGUUUCCCACAUUAUUUUCUUUCAUUCUUUUGACUUAUAAUGAUACGUGCACAUGUUUAGUAAACAUUUUUAAAGGUCAUUGAUUAGAGUUGGUUUGGUGCUGCAGCUGGUGACAGAAUGAUCCUUGAUUAUACGAACAAAGAGUUGCACAAAACAUGGAAUAUUCUUGGCAUCGAGUAGAGUUGGUCUUGUUCUGCAGCUAGUAUUUCAUGGGCAGAUGGAAGUUGCCGUGUCUUUCUGAUACGAUCACAUGAUUAAUUGGAUAAUGACAGCCUUCACUAGGAUUGGAUAUUCCUGGCAUGGAAUCUGAGAUGCUGUGGAGGCCGGCAUUUACCUCACAAGGGGAUGACAAUUUCUUUGUCUCUGUUCAAGCACUUUGUUUCUGAAAGUAAACUAGUGCACUGUUGUAUUUCAACAACCGUUCUUUCAAGGUGAAGAAAAAGGAAAAACUCUGGGGUUUGAGCUGUAUCAUUCAGUCAAUGACUCUGAAUAUUCAAUUAUAUUCUCUGCAAUUUCGUUUUCGGUCAUUUACAUUAUAAUCUGUGACUGUAAAUUUGUGACAAUGGUUUUGGCAGCUAGUGUCAUCAGAACAAACAUCAGCCGACCCAGUAUUGAAUCACCGUCAUAUUCAACUUCCCUUUGACUUGAUGGAUCUUUAGCUCGAAAUGCUUUAUGAAUGUUACGAAAUGAUAUUGUCCAUAGAUUUUGCAACAGAUGUUGUUAAGUGGAUGUGAAGAUCUUGAAUGUGACUAAAUAUGUGGCCUAACUUCAGUAAAUAUUCAGUAAUGAAGAUGUAUAUUCUCUUAUGUACUGCACGCAACAUAUAAAUAAAUUAUUUAUUUUAUGCAACCGAAUUUGACAAAUAAAUAAUAACAUAUUUGAUGCGCGUUCUCAUAAUGCCAAUUCCCUCUCAUUUGGCACUCACCAAUCUCAAGUCUAGAAAUGGUGACAAUUCUUUAUCCACCAAGCAGCUUCCACACUUCUCUGGUCAUCAUCCACUGCGGUUCCAAAAACAAGAGAAGUAGGAAACAGAGGCGACAAAAACAACAACAAAUUUCUCGGAACAGAAUCACCACUUUCUCCUCUUAUCCAAAAUCAUCCCCAACCCCACUUCUAACUAAUCAAAAAGCUUUCCCCAAAACUAAACUCCAAGCCUUAGACUCCAUCAUUCAAGACCUCGAAUCCUCUGUUCAAAACGGCAUCACUGUGCAAACUGAAACCUUCGCUUCUCUUCUUGAGACGUGUUACCAAUUAAAAGCCGUAGAACAUGGAAUUAAGCUUCAUCGUUUGAUACCCACAAAUCUUUUACGCAAAAAUAAGGGCAUUUCGUCAAAAUUGCUGAGGUUGUACGCAACGUUUGGCCUUAUCGAUGAAGCGCACCAAGUUUUUGAUCAAAUGUCUAAUAGAACAGCGUUUGCGUUUCCUUGGAAUUCGCUUAUAUCAGGAUAUGCUGAAUUGGGUGAGUAUGAAGACGCCAUAGCGCUUUACUUCCAAAUGGAGGAAGAAGGCGUUGAACCGGACCAGUUCACAUUCCCUCGAGUGUUGAAAGCUUGUGCUGGACUUGGGUUAAUUCGGGUUGGUGAGAAGGUUCACCUUGAUGCGGUGCGUUUUGGGUUUGGUUUCGAUGGUUUUGUGCUUAAUGCUCUUGUUGAUAUGUACGCAAAAUGCGGUGACAUUGUUAAGGCUAGAACGGUUUUCGAUAGGAUUGGUAAUAAGGACUUAAUUUCUUAUAAUUCAAUGUUGACAGGUUACAUUCAUCACGGGCUUUUAGUGGAAGCGUUUGAUAUUUUUCGUGGGAUGAUUCUAAAUGGAUUUGAUCCCGAUCCUGUGGCUAUAUCAUCAAUUCUUGCUAAUGCAUCCUUGUUAAGAAUUGGUGCUCAAGUUCAUGGGUGGGUUCUUAGGCGUGGAGUUGAGUGGGACUUGUGCAUUGCUAAUUCUUUGAUUGUAGUUUACUCCAAGGACGGGAAGUUGGACCAAGCAUGUUGGUUGUUCGAUCACAUGCCUCAAAAAGACGUUGUGUCGUGGAAUUCUAUAAUUCAUGCUCAUUCAAAGGACCAUGAAGCGUUAAUUUAUUUUGAACAGAUGGAAAGGGAUGGGGUUUUACCUGAUCAUUUAACGUUUGUGUCGUUGCUAUCGGCUUGUGCUCAUUUAGGAUCGGUGAAAGUUGGGGAGAGGUUAUUUUCUGUUAUGGUAGAGAAGUAUGGAAUUAGCCCUCGAGUCGAACACUAUGCUUGCAUGGUGAAUCUUUAUGGAAGAGCAGGGUUGAUUGAUGAGGCUUAUUCGAUGAUAGUAGAAAAGAUGGAGUUUGAGGCUAGUCCAGUGGUGUGGGGUGCACUAUUAUAUGCUUGCUACCUUCAUGGAAAUGUAUGUAUGGGGGAGACCGCUGCACAAAAGCUUUUUGAGUUGGAGCCUGAUAAUGAGCAUAAUUUCGAACUUUUGAUCAAGAUCUAUGGUAAUGCAGGGAGGUUGGAUGACGUAGAGAGAGUUGAAAGAAUGUUGGUGGACAGAGGAUUGGAGUUUUAACGUAGUAAUGCAUAUUUAGUUAUGGGUGCUUUAGGUCUUUUUAUCAGAGAUGAUUCGAGGAGCGCCAAGAUACAACUACUUUUUGAGCAUGAAGAAAGUGGUAAAAGUUGAACUUUUUGAAAGACUCCCCUAAUGGAUCGAGGAGAAAUUUUUGUAGAUAUUUAAUGUAAACAUUACAUCUUUCUACCAAAAUUGAAUAUGAUCAUGUCAUUCAUUCAAUUCCAAAAUUGAUUAUAUGCUCUCUUUUAUAAAUUAUUGUUUGUGUUUAAAACUAAAAAUAUGUAAAUCUAGCAAGCAACAAAUACUAUUUUCCUCCAAUUUCUAGCAUCCACCUUUGAAAAAAAAUUAAAUCCAUCCGAUUUAUCUCCAAUUUUCAUUUAUUUUGGGUUAAAUUAUAAUUUGGAGGGGUAAAAAGGUCAUUUCGUUAACAUUCCGUUAAAUCUACUAACGGAAAUUAGACGGAAGUGGACGAAUGUAACAAAAAGUAAACUUCAGGUGGCACGCUGAAAAAAAAAGUGUGUGCAUUUUUGAAAAAGGUAAAAUAAACAGGUGGACCAUUGUAAAUUUUCCUAAUUAAAAUUACUAAAAGGAGUAGGUUAAAUUAAACGAUUUGAGUAAAAUGAUAAUGAUGAUGAAUGGGUUCAGCUUUUUAUUUUUUAUCCAAUAAAUUAAUGGGUGAAUUCGAAUUUAUAUAAUUUAAUACGACUAAAUUAAAGCAAACAUGGAUUUACUUAAACACGACGCAUUAUCAGAACUAUCACUAGGUGAGCUCCCGUAAUAAUAAUAUAUAUAAUAAUUACGGAUGUAUAUUGGGAUCUAGGGCAGAACAACAAUUUUUUAUUUUAUUUGAACUUGCAGGUCCCAAGUGAAGAUAUUAGGUAGUUUCUUGCUGUAUAUAUAGAACUAUGUAUAGGAGUAUCCUAUUACGAAUUUGUUCAUCUUUUUAACCCCUAAAACAACGAAGAAGAAAAAUAAAAAAGGAAGAAAGAAAUCGCCGCCACCGUAUUAACUAAUCUCAUUCUCUUUUCAUGGCAGCCUAUUCAACAGUGCUGGUUAAACCAAAUCCGUUGCUGUUACGGAAUCGAAGAACAAUCUCUGAUGGCAACUCUUGUAGCAUCAGAUCCUGCGCUGUCCUUUGUGCCAGUUCCAAGUUAUUCGCAACUCUUAAAUUCGAAAGCUUUGCGAUGAACUCAGCGGCCUCAUCAAGGAGUAUUUUUUACUUCAAUGACUAGCAAUAAAGUUACUGCAGUUCCGUUUAAUCACAUUACCACAAGCUCUUGCUAUUUAAAAGAAAAUCGUUCUAAGAAAGAUGGUAGUUUAAACAAUGUAUUGAAAUUUAUAAAAGAGUGGUUGAGGAUUCCUGUAGUCUUACUGAUGCUGUUUAUGACGACGCAUGGUCGUCCAUCAUCGGCCUUGGCCUUUUCGGGUGGUGCAAUGGGUGGAUACUCGUUUUCAUCGUCUAAUUCAUCAUCUAACUGGGGUUCAUCGACAUCGUACACUACUUCACGAAAAGAAGUAGACCUUUGUCAGGAUAAAGAUUCGGAUACAGCAGCAGCAGUAGUUUUUCUUAUAGCGCUCUGUGUCGUGAUUUACUGGAUCAUGGACAAAUUACGGUAUAAAACAAGAGUUUUCAAGGUUCAGGUAUAAAACAUAUUGCAUAUAUCGGGAAAUUAUCUAAUCAAGGAUACUUGCCCUUGUUAAAGUUAUCAUAAUUCUCAAGGACAGAGGUCGGCAUGAAUUUUCGUGCAGACUUAGGGUUUUACAAUGGUGUCAAAAACUUUCACAUCAUUGUAAAUUUCACAAUGUUGUAAAAGUCUUUCACACUAUUCGUAUGGAUAUCUAGGGGGAAGAAGGCCUCCAUAAAUACCACUUUUAAUUUCGUGCUGAGCAUACUCCCCAAUGAGUUAUUACAAUAGUUGCUUAUCUUUUUUUUUUUUUUUUUUUUUUUUGCUUACAGAGUGAUAGUUUGAGAUAUAGCUGAAUGCUUUUUCUUCAUACGAUAGUUUUUUUUACUUCUGAUGUUUAUCCAAGAGUAUGAUGCAAGCGGGUUCCUUCAAAGGUGCUUCGAUGCGCCUAUCAGUUUUUGUGUUACGAUCAUUUUUCAACAAAUUCCAAAUUGCUUGUUUUUUAUUUUCUCUUUAUUAAUUGAGAAAAUGGCUCAAAAGUCCUUAAUCUCUUUAGGCCUAAUUUAUAGACUGAAAAAGAAGAUCUAACAGAAGAUUUUAAUUUUAAACCUCAAUCUCCACUAUCUAAGUUUCAUGGUCUAUUUUCCGUCGUUUGAUUCGUAUUCCUUUUUUUUUUUUUUUUUUUUUUUUUUUUUUUUUAACUUGUGUAUGUAUGUGUGUGUGUAUAUAUAAUUAUAUAUAUAACAAAAAAAUUAUUUAGGUGGGUUUGCUUGUCGAUGGACAAAGUCUUCAAAAGGAUCUUAAUAGAAUUGCAAAAACUACAGAUUCAUCCUCGGAAGCUGGCUGGGAACAUAUGCUGGAGGGUAAAGCUAUUUUCAGUUGUAAUUAUUUUUUGAUUUCAUAUAAUUGCAUAUGUAUGGCCUCCAGUACAACAUUAUUUGCUUUUGCUCGGAUAAGUUUAGUUGUGAAUUAAUUUAUGUUAAGAGUUCCUUGAAAUUACGUAGGUUUUAGUCAUAAUAAUUGAAAAUUUGAUGCAUAAUUCCUCAAAGGUUCAUGCAUUUUAAUGGGUUAAGGAUUCAAUAUAUUUGCUAAGAUUUAACUAGUUACAAUGUGCCUUCAUUGGUGUUUACCUAAUUAACAUUUUUGAUAGAUUCAACUUUGAAAUUUAAUUAAGUAAAACUAUUUUCAAAAUAUUCAAAAUAAUAAUGAAUUUAAGUUUUGAACUUAAAAAAUUUCAAUGAUGACAGAACCUACUAAAUUUUAGUAUUUGUCAUUGUAUAUACAAGAGGUAAAAACUUUCAAACUGAUUUUUUGCGGUGUUUUUUUUUUUUUUUUUUUAACCUUGGAAUCAAUUUUCAAUUAUAUAGAUAUAUAUAGGCUAUACUUUUCUCUCUCAUAAAGGUUUAGAAGAAUAUAUAAGAUGCACCUUCUUCUUCUUCUUCUUCUUAUUAUUAUUAUUAUUAUUAUUAUUAUUAUUAUUUAUUUGUUAGUUUGUGCAUCUGUAUUAUCUGCCGAUCGGUUUGCUAAAUCUGUGCGAUUCAACUUAUUCUGUUUGAUUUUGGUUGUAGGGACAAUAAGUUCUCUUCUACAGCAUGACAAGUACUGGAUCUCUGGUUCUUCAUAUGUAAGUUGAUGAUUAAUGUUUACUUUUGACAUUUUGUCGUUACCUGAAUUAACACACACACGCUCUUUUAUAUAAUUAUUUCCUUUUGUGCUCACUUUUCUUUUUCGUACUUUUACGGUUAGAUAAAAUACUGAGUUAUGCUACUGGCACUCCUCUACAUCUCUUACAGAACCCCAUUUAUUUUAUAUUUACAAAUUUAUCUUUUAUAUUUUAAAUUAUGUUAAAAAUAAAAUUUAUUUAAUUAAACCCACCUACACUUUUUUUGUCUUUUUCUCUAUUAUAAACUCAUUAAAUCUAUAAAAUUUAAAAAAAAUAAUGAAUUGUUAUAGAAUAAGAAUUGAAUCUAAAUAUAAAUUAACCAUUCGUAGGAAAGAUAAUUAUGUGAAGUUUGUUUACUUGGGUUAAGGUUUUUUUUUUUUAAAAAAAAAGAUAUGCAUUACUUGUGUUUAUGUGUAUAUUCAAGUUAUUAGCUAUUAACAAAAAUAAAAAGAGAUGGAGAUAAAAUUAGAGUUUCUCAAAUGCUAUAACAAAAAGGAAAUUGAAAGUUUUUUGAAAUGGGAGAGAUUUUUUUUUCAUAGUAUUGACAUAGAGUUUAUUAAGAAAAUGCAUCAAAUGAAGGUUAUUUUAGGAAUUAAAAAAAUGUCUACAGAAAUGACGUUUGAAGAGAAUGUUAAAGGUGUUCUAAUAGUCUAACUCUAAAAUAUAUAUUUUAAGGUGUUCAAACGUUUUAUUAUGUACAGCGCCCCGAUAAUGACUAUUGUUUUGGUUACUAGGGUUUCUUUGGAAUCCCAUAAUUAUUGGAUUUCUGGGUUAAUUACUUCCUCUAGCAUUAAUUCGAAAUGUAGGUGACAAGGGAGUACAAAAACGAGAAAAAUGCGGAGGAGCACUUCAAAAAACUUUCACGCAAAGAACGGAAGAAAUUUAGUGAAGAGACACUUGUUAAUUUAGAUGGCAUGGAGAAAGAACACAUCAUUAGCAAACAAGCUAAUAAGCAAUUCAGCAAUACGUACAUGGUGGUAAGCUUUAGUCUAAUUUUAAGUGUAAUAUUUUCUUGGUGCCUUAAUUAUAUAUUCAUCACAUAAAGAUUGUCUACAAAUGCUUGGCUUUUUCACCGAAAUAAUUUGAUUAUUCCCAGGUGACAAUUGUGAUGGCAGCCAAUAAACUGUCAAAUCUUGAAUCACAUAUACCUACCAUUUUUUACCAUGAAGAUGUCAAAAAGGCCUUAGACGAGCUACUACGUAUUAAUGACACCAGCAUAAUAGAGGUGUGGACACACACACACACACACACACACACAAACACAACAAGCUCUUCUUUCUCAAUCGGGUCUUGGAAUUAAAUUCUGUUGAGUAAUUUGAUUCUAUAUGUGCCUUAUAUAUAUAUAUAUGUGGUCAAUUUGUGUUCUUACACGGAUUACAUAUAUUGUGGACACCGCAGAAAAAAAAAUGAAGUAUUAUCGCUCAAGGAAUUUCGAGAAAAUUAUCCAAGUUCAAAGGUAUUAUUCCAAUCAGUGCCUGCUCAAGUGCUUGGCAAUGACAAUUGAGCCGAUAUCUCUCGGCCCUCCGACAGUAGUAUAUAAUUAAUACGCUAAUUAGUUUUUGUUAUUUUAGUCAAUUGAUCUCUAUAUUAAAAACUUUUUCUCAUUUUUAUUUGAAUGAUAUUAUAAAUUAUAGUUCCUCCAUAGUUUAAGUUCUUCCUGUUUCCAAUUAAAUAAGAUUCUAGAGCUAAAUAAUUAAUUCAUUAACACUAUGUUAUUUAAAAACCUCGAACUGGUCUGCCAUGGCGAUGGUGAUUUCUUGAUUGAUUUCCGAAGCGAUUUUUUUUUCUUUUUUUGGGGGAUAAAUUAAGAAAAUUUAAUAAAAAAGUAUCAGAAUAUUACUAAAAAAUAAAAUUAUUUCUAUUCGGUCCAUAUUACUGUGCUCAAAUUCAUUUGCAAAUCAUAAAUCAUAAUUGAUUAACUAGGACUUGUUAUUGAAAUCUCGUGUUCAAUAUUUCCUCUCUUUUAUUUUAUUUCUUUAAAUUCAAGAAUUUUUUUUUUAAUAGUGCUACUCAAGAUUUAGUGUUUGUUUUCUCCUCACUUUUACAAUCAGUCCAAAAUAAGAAAAACUUCAAUUGAUUAAUGAAAAUGAAUCAAAUUGUUUGCAGGAAACAAAUCAGAUUCAAAGAUAAUUUAUAUAAUACCCAAAAUUCGUAAAAAAAUUGAGAGAGGAAAAAAAUCUCCAAGUUCAAAACAAAAUCUUUAUUAUAUUGCAUAUAAAAGUAACCAACAGGUCAAACCAAAGCCCAUGAGGACAGCCGGCACGGCAUGGCCCACCAAAUUGGUGGGUGUGUUGUGUUGUGCCAUGCCUAAUUUUUUUUUUUUGUUAAGCCCAACACAAGCGCAAGCAUGCCAUGCUCGGGCCGUGCCGUGGGCCUUGCUGAAAAAAGGUUCACCAAAUUUUUUUUCUUUUAAGCCCACAUAUUUGGCGUGCUUUAUUUAAGCUCACGUGCCUGAACAAUAUAUAUUUGAACUGCAGUGAAGCAAAUUACACCUAAUUUUAUUUGAACUAUUAAUAUUAUAAUUGGACUUGAACUCCAUUUAAUGAAAAUGCAACUUUUAAUUUAUCAUAAAAAAUAAAAAAUCGUUUAUAAUUUUAUUUUUUUGUGUAUAAAUAUGAACAAUAUUUUAUUUUCAAAUCACAAAUGAAACAUAUCUCCGUUAACUAAGUUACGAUUUAAUAAAUGAAAUAUCAAUUGUCUUAAAAUUUUGAUAUACCAUUUAUAAAAUUGUGAUAUUUAUAAUUUUUUUAUUAAAAUUAUGAUGUUUAUUUAUUCAUUUAAUAAAUGAUGAACAUAAAACAAUUAGAAUUUUUUUAAAACUAAGACUUAAAUUAAUUUAAUAAAAUAUAUUAAAAUUUUAAUUUUGAAAUAUUUGUAAAAUCAUAACAUUUUAUUUUUACUUUUUAUUAAAAAAAUUACUUUGAUAUACUUUGGACCACGUACUAUUGAUCGCCCACGAGCCGCGUGCUAACCCACCAAUGAAUCGUGUUUAUUACGUGCCUUUUCCCGAACCGUGCUCUGGCCCACCUCUAAUCGUGCUGUGCUUUUAAGGCAUACGUGCCUAAAAAUCUGAGUCCGACCCGGCCCAGCCCACGUGCAUGUCGUGCUGUGCCGCGUGCCUUGCCCAAACGUGUUGGUGCUGUGCCGUAUUGUGCUGUACAGAUACGUGCCUCCGGGCUCGUUGGCCACUUUUAAUUACAUACCACAAUGAAGGAAGAAAAUUAAAUUAUCAUCAUCAUCAAUUUAGCCCCUUGCAAUCAUGUUGAUAAGGUACGAUAAUGCCUGAUUAGCAAAUUAGUGGUGAUGUAAUGUUUGACUCCCUCCAUUGCUCAUAUAGUCACACAUAUAAAUUUUAAAAUGGAUUUUCUCGCUUGAUUUACCCUAUAUAACUUUCAAUUUACCCUUAAGGCCACGUUUGGUUGCUGGAAAAUACGGCUGGAGAGGAGAGAUUUUCCAUUUCCUCCGUAAUUUCCUUUGUUUAUUUGGCAAAAGUGCAGUGGGAAUUAAAUUCCGUCAUACUCCCAAUUUCUGGUAUUUGAGGAAUUUGAUUUCUAUAUUGAAGAGUGAGGAAUUUUGGAUUCCACACCAUGAAAAGGCCUUGUUUUCCUAUUUUUCUCUCAUUUAAUUUUAAUUUUUCAAUUUUAUUCCUAAACAAAUCUAAAAUGAAAAAAGCCCUAAUUCUCUCGUAAGCCUCUCACUCAAAAUCGGAGGAUCUCUCUCUCUCAACUUCCCGCGUUUGUCACCAGCGAUAAAGAGCUCCAGUGACAGUUUUUUAGCAUAACCAAGUUUCAGCAGCCUCUCACAUCUUCCUUAUAGCUUCAAUAUCUCUUCAUUCUCGGCUUCGAUUUCAAAUUCGAUUUAAUCUGAGCUUUUUCUCGCACUUUCCUGCAUUUUCUCAACAACCAUAUAAGCCUUGAACCGAACAAAUCCAAUGAAUUCGAACAGAACAAAACUAAUGAAUUCCAAGAACCCGAGUCGACAGUGAUGAUCUUUGAGUUGUCAAAGAAGAAGGCGAGUUGACUCAGACUGAUCGGACUGAGUCAAGAAGCCCGAGUCGGGGCGAGCUGGGAAAAUGGAAAAGGUUAGAAGAGAGGAAUGAGGUUUUGAUUAGGUUUGUGAAAAGGAAGCGCAUAAAAAAAGAUGGGGGAAGGAAAGAAAGUGCCAUCGAGUUUGCGCCUGUGUAAUGCAUUUUCCUUUGUUUUUUAUUUUUAUUUUUAUUUAUUUAUUUUUUGUUUUUCUUGUUUCUGUUUCUAGGUUGUAGUUGGUAGGAGUGUUCAGAAUUUGAUCCGAUCCGUUCAAUCCGUCUGAUCCGUAAAAAUCCGAUCCGUGGAUUGGUGGAUUGGAUUGGAUUAAAAUUUUAAAAAUCCACAGUCGGUGGAUUGGAUAUGGAUUUACUUUUGUAAAUCCGCAAAAAAAAAAAUUAUUUAUUUAUUUUAAAAAAUUAUAAAUUUAAUUAAAAAAUAUUAUAAAUAUGACAUUACAUAGUUACAUAAGCACCAUAAUAUAACUUAGGCAUUAUCUAAUAAAAAUAUAAAAUAAAAAAUGAUUAAAUCAGUGGUAAAAAAAAUUGAAGUAAAGUAAAGUCAUCCAAAACCAAAAGUAAAGUAACAUAACAGCCACUAUUUAAUAAAAAUAUAAAAUAAAGAAUGAUUAAAUCAGCGGUCAGAAAAAAUUGAAGUACAGUCAUCUAAAAACAAAAGUAAAGUAACAUAACGCUUUUGUCAAAAAAAAGAAGGUAACAAUAACAUAACGCCAAAAGUAAACUAGAUAACGCCAAAAGCCCAAAAGUACGUUAGCACUAGCAUAACGCAAAUCAGUGGUCACCAACAAUCUGCAAAAAAAAAAAAAAACCCUAAGUUUUCUGCUUCCCUGCCGUCACAGUCACACGCACUAGCAACACCCCGCACGAUUCCGGCGAGUACUCGUAAACCUUACCACAGUGUUUCUAUCUCCUUCUCCAGGUACAAUACUCGUAAACCUUCUCCUGAUUUAUUAUUUUGAUUUUAUCUUCGAUAACAUUUGUUCUGAUUUUUUUUAAUUAUUAUUAUGUAUCUUCUUUUUUGUCAAUGGUGACUUGGGAUAAUGAUUUUGAUAUCCUUUUAUUAAUAAUAAGGUUGUUGGGGAUCGAGGGAGAGAAUUAUUUGUUGAUUGCAUGUCUUAAUCCGGUUGCUUUUGCUUUUUGUUCUGUAGUAAAACUGAGAGAAAUUGCACAAUACCUAGCCGUUGUGAAAUAUUAAAGACAUUUUGAUUAGUCUAAAUUAUUGCUCAGUGUAGCCAAAUAUAUAGAUAUAUUGGAACACUCAAAAUACUGAUUAUGCAACCACAAGGAGCAAAUUAAUUCAGAUUGUAGCUGGUUGAGUGUACAUAAAGAGUUGUUAUGGGGGGUGGUUGAAUCAUGUUGCUUCUGUGGAUCUAACAAUCAUGUUGCCUUUUCUGGAUGUAACACACGAAUUUCAUGAUUUUUCUUUUUGAAUUGGUUUCUUUUACUUUUCCUAACUGAACUCUUUUAAGCUUAAUUUGUUCCUGUCAUUUUUCGUAAUUAAUUUUAAUGAUUUUUCAUAUUGGUGGUGUAGAUGACUUCUCAACUUGAUAAAGGAAAACGCAUAGUUGUAGAUUCAGCUCCCCUAAGUUCUAAAUCAUCCAGUAAUGCUGAAGGUACGCCCAAUAAAUCCACUACUUCAGAAGCUUGGGAGCACUUUAUCCAAUUAAGUUAUGAUCCACUACAUCCUAGAUCCAAAUGUCGAUAUUGUGGAAAAGAAUAUAAAUGUGGUUUUAAUAAAGGAACGUCUAAUCUAUUGGGUCAUAUAAGAGAGAGAUGUCUAAAAUAUCCUGAUCGAGCUCGAGUGGACCAAAAAAAAAAAAUUUGUCUUACCAACCAGUGAAAAUUGGAGAGCCAUGUAGCCUUGUAUCAGCGACCUAUAGUGUUGAGGCUUGUAGGGAAGCAAUUGCUAAGUUUAUUAUAAAAGAUGAGAUGUCAUUUAGAGUUGUAGAGGGUGAAGGGUUUAGGGAAAUGUUGGGAGUUUUUGAAAAUAGAUUUAAAGUACCAUCUCUCACUACUAUUGCUCGUGAUAUUUUGUAACUUUACAAAAAAAUAAAGAAAGAUUUGACUGAUUUUUUUGUUAGUAGUCAUCAAAGAAUUUGCCUCACUAUAGACACAUGGACUUCAGCUCAAAAUCUUUGUUAUAUGUGUCUUACAGCUCACUUUAUUGAUGAUAAUUGGACAUUGCACAAAAAAAUAUUGAAUUUUUGUCAAGUUACUGACCAUAAAGGUGAAACAAUUGGUAGGCAAAUUGAAACAUGCCUAUUAGAUUGGGNNNNNNNNNNNNNNNNNNNNNNNNNNNNNNNNNNNNNNNNNNNNNNNNNNNNNNNNNNNNNNNNNNNNNNNNNNNNNNNNNNNNNNNNNNNNNNNNNNNNNNNNNNNNNNNNNNNNNNNNNNNNNNNNNNNNNNNNNNNNNNNNNNNNNNNNNNNNNNNNNNNNNNNNNNNNNNNNNNNNNNNNNNNNNNNNNNNNNNNNNNNNNNNNNNNNNNNNNNNNNNNNNNNNNNNNNNNNNNNNNNNNNNNNNNNNNNNNNNNNNNNNNNNNNNNNNNNNNNNNNNNNNNNNNNNNNNNNNNNNNNNNNNNNNNNNNNNNNNNNNNNNNNNNNNNNNNNNNNNUAGAUCUUCACCUUCUAGGACACAAAAGUUUAAGGCAUAUGCAGAGCAAGAGAAAAUUUCUUCAAAUAAGUUGUUGUGUCUAGAUGUCGUAACUAGAUGGAAUUCCACUUUUUUCAUGUUAGAGGCUGCUGAAAAGUAUGAAAAAGUAUUUGAUCGGUUAGAGCUUCAUGAUGCACAAUACAUUCGUGAGUUUUGUUUGAGUGAGCCAAAAACGUGUCCUUCUUCAAUUGAUUGAGAAUAUGCUUGUUAUUUCAUUAAAUUCUUGAAGGUUUUUCAUGAUGCCACUUUGACAUUUUCGGGUUCUUUAUAUGUGACAUCUUUUGCGCCAAUUAUGUUUCAUUCAUACACAAUUGCAAGCUUGGAGGGAUAAUAAGGAUUUAUUUUUGAAGACAAUGGCUGAAAAUAUGAAAAAGAAGUAUGAUAAGUAUUGAGGAAAUUAUGAAACAGUCAACCCUUAUUUGUUUGUUUCUAUUUUGGUUGAGCCUCGACAUAAAGAACGAUUUUUGAGAUAUUGUUUUGUAGUGUUGUUUGGUGAAUUGAAAGCUAAUGAGUUGGUUGUUAAAGUGCGAAAUAAUUUACAUAGUUUAUAUGAGGAAUACAAAUUGCUUUAUGGUGAUGAUGUGGAAGUAAUGAAUAUUGUCAAUGAUGAAAAAGAGUUAGAGGUUGAUACUGAGAUUGAUGCUAGGCAAGUGUUUGAUUCGGGUUAUAUGAGGAUUUUAAAAGACAAUACUUUUGUAGAGUGCAAAACAGAAGUGGAUCUUUACUUGUUAGAAUCAUGUGAGAACCCAGAAAAUGAGAGUUUUGAUGUUUUGGAUUGGUGGAAGAUUAAUUCUUCCAAAUAUCCAAUUUUGUCUUAUGUUGUUCGAGAUAUUUUGGCCAUGCAUGUUUCCACUGUGGCAUCUGAGUCAACAUUUAGCACUGGUGGGCGUGUUCUUGAUCCACAUCGGUGCUCACUAUCUACAAGGACGGUGGAGGCAUUAAUUUGCACACAAAAUUGGCUACGUUCGACUCCGAUAAAUCUUGAUGAAGCAAUAGAUGAGAUUGAACAUAUUGAGACAGGUAAAAUGUAGCAAUUUAACUUUAAUUUUAUUUUUUGAUUAUUAUUUGACUUUAUAUUGUUAUUCUAUUUUAAAAAUUGACAUUUUUCUUAUCUUAUACGUAUAGAGAUUUUGGGAGCUGACAAGAACAUAUUUGAUGAAGCUUGAUGGCAUUUGAUGGGAUAUAAGGGUAAAUAUUUAUUAAUUUGUUUAUUAAAUAUUUUUUUUUAUUUAAUAAUUUUUUUUAUUUGUUAAUUAUAUCAAUUAUGUUUAUUUUGUUUAGGUUAAAGUACGAAACACAAAUUGGAGAUGGACGUUUUUUCUUUUGGUGUGUUUUAUUUUGAGACUUUCAAUGUAUUAUUGUGGCUUUAUUUGAACAAUUAAUUUUGAUAUUAUAUUAAUGUAUUAUUGUAACUUUAUUUGAACAAUUAAUUUUGGUGUGUUAUAUUUUAAAACUUUGAACGUAUUAUUGUAGUUUUAUUUGAACAAUUAAUCUCGAUGUGUUAUAUUUUGAAAUUUUGAAUGUAUUAUUAAAGCAAACAAUUAUUUUGUUUAAAUUUUAUUCAAUUUUAAAUUUAAUUGGUAGUAAAAUUAUUUUAUAUUAGAUUUUUUUAAUUUCAUUAGUUUAUGGAUUGGAGAGAACUAAAAUUUUUAAUUCGCAAAUCAAUUCGUAAAAUGAUGGGUUUGGAUAUGGAUUGAGUUAAAUUCGCAUCCGAUCUGCAGAUGUAUGGAUUGGAUUUGGAUUGAAUUUAAUCAAUCCGUGGAUUGGAUUGGAUUGAAAAAUUAUAAUCCGCAAAAUCAUGGAUCAGAUAUAGAUUGACGUCCAAUCCGUAAAAUUUGAUCUGCGAACACCCCUAGUAGUUGGAUUUGAAAAUGCGACGGAAGGUUUCAUCAAGUUGGCUUUUUGCCUUUUUAUGGGCUCUACAAUUAUGGGGUAUUUUUGAAAUAAUAUUAAUAUUUCUUGUUUAAAAAGAAAUACAUUUGAUAAAAGCACUUGGAUAAUAACUGAUUUUAUAAAGUAAAUAUAGUUAGGACAUUGAGAAUGAAACAUUAAAAUUGAGGUUAAUUUUAAAACAAUUAAAUAUAUUUGUAGUUUUUAAAUUAAUUUAAUAAUAAAUAUUAAAAUCCAAUACAAGGGUAUAUUUGUCUAGAUGAAAAAUUCUAAAAUUCCUUUCUUUUACUAAUUUUAUCUUAAAACGAACAAAGGAAAUUAAACUCCCUAUCCUUUUCUUCUUCUUUCCUUUCUCCACCUCUCUUUUCCUCUCCUCUCAUCUCCUCUCUUUCCCUACAAUCGAACAUGGCCUUAGGGAUUGUUUGGUAUGUUGGAUUGGAUUACAUUGGAUUGGAUCGGAUUGAAUAAGAUAAGAUUGGAUUGGAUAAUAUUGGGUUAUAUAUAAUAUUAUAUUGUGUUUGGUGCAAUAUUGGAUUGGAUUAUAAAUAAUCAUGUCUUAUAUUAUAAUAUUACACUUUACAAGUUAUUAUUAUUAUUAUUAUAAACUAAAAUUUUGUAUUAUUAAGGAAUUUUAAUUUAAUCUGAAAUUAAUAAUGAUUUUUAGUUUAAUUUGUAUUUACAUUAUUAAAAUCAAAAUUUUAUUACAUUUAUCACAUAUUACUAUAAUUUUAAUAUUUAUAAAUUAUUAUGUUUAAUUGAGUUAUCAAUAUAAUUCAGUACUAACUAAUCCCAUGAGCCCCCGGGAUAAUUUCUUUUACAAAAUUAACAUUAACUUGUGAGCUCGGAAUAACUAAAUCCCAAUACUCUUGACAGAACUAAGCAUGAGACUAGGAUAAAAUUUUAAAAAAAAAAAUUUCUCAUACACCAUCGAGUUAUGCUAAAAAAACAUUUUGUUUAUUUCGAUGAGAUGGGUGGACGAACCAUCCCAAUUCGAAAGGUCUUCCUGCUAUUUAGUAUUACAUCGAUGGCUUCCCUUGCAUCACCCGGCAUCAAUGGUUUUGAUAUGGAAUUAAUAGUAUUUUUGGAAUAAUUACUAGUCAAUAAGAAUUUUUAAUACCUUUCCCCUCAGAUUUGUUAAAUUAAGAAUCAAGGGCAAUUGUUUUUGGAAGUGCAUUAAUUGUGAUCUAUCCCACCACCACCGAUUAUGAUUCAAUUUUGAAAGGUAAACGUAAAUGUGAAAAUAUACUUUUAUUAAAAUGUAACAACAAAUUUAUAUACAAUGAUGAAUUAACUAAUGUACCAAUCUUUUAACAUUCUUAUGUCAAGCGUGCGUUUAUAUUCAUAAUAUUGUGUGCGGUUGAGAACUAACUAUCUUAUUAUUAUUAUUAUUAUUAUUAUUAUUAUUAUUAUCUUAAUCACGAGGUAUCCAGGACUCUUUUUUUAUUAUUAUUUAAUAACUUGCAAUCACACAUCCUUAUAAAAAGUCAACAUGAAAAUUUAACACUAACUACAAGUGAUGUGAUACAAAAAGAGGAAACUGAAGCCGUCCAAAUCUUUAUAUCAUAAAGAGAGAAUAUAUACGAUUAAUUGUAGAGCUUGAUUUGGAAGGAAGAUAUUCAUAUGCAGGAGAAUCUUCAAUUUGAAAGAGGAUCGUCGUAAGUUUUGAAAGGGAUCACAUCUAAAUUUGUCCUGAAUAGCUGGAAAUCCAUACUAAAAUCUUUAUAUUCAAUUAAUCCUCUCAAUUUCCUUUAGUAUGAUCCGUAAUUAUCUUCAUAUUUAUACGUUAUGCAAUUAGUACAAUGAAAUAGACAAUUUAACUGGAAUACUGGGUGGAGGUGUGAACAAACAUUGUGAAAUUGAUAUUACACACACAUAUAUAUAUAAAGUAUGUAAAAGAAAAUUUCUAUAAUUUUAUUUGGAAUUUUCCUUGAACCGUUUAGCGCUAUACUUGGUUUUCUUGUCUAAGUUAGAUCUGCCUCUUUUAUACUUAUUAAUUUUCUAAUUAAUUAGUUAUAGUUACCGGGAUAAAUGUUCUUUUUAGUCUUUAAAAUUUUAAAAAUUACUACAAAAUGUCAAUAUCGUUACGUUUUCUUUAAAAUCAAGUUAAUUAUUUUGAAGUUUUUACAUGAUGCAUUUCAUAUUUGUUUGAAUUUUAAGUUAUAUUAGAUAAAAAGAAAAUUAAUUUUUUUUAAAAGAAAAUUAAUUAAUUUUUUUUUUUUUAAAAUUAAGUCCAAAAGUAAUGACAAAGACGUUCUAAAUAAUAAAAAAGAAGAGGACUAACAGGAUAAUUGGCCCAACCCCUGCCAGGACCAAAGGGGAAUUUUACCUUUUGCAGGAAAGAAAAUCCCAAGAAGGAAAGCAACUCCUCUAUAAAUAUGUCAAUCUGAUUACUCGGUAGCCACAAUCCCCAUUCAGUUCUCAGUUCAAGAAAGAACAAACAGUUGCUAUCUAAAUCAUAAUAAAAUCAUGGCAAGAAUUGCCAAUCUCUUGUUGGCACUCCCUGUUUUAUGCAUUAUGGGCAUGGCCAAAGCAGGCACAAUCACUGAGCUACCUAGUCAUAAUGGUGACUCAAUCUUCAUUGAAACAUCAUGCAAAUCCACCAGAUAUCGCACAGUCUGCGUGCAAUCUCUCUUGCCUUACGCCUACAAAAUCCAACGAAGCCCGCUGCAGAUGGCGCUGGAAGCCUUGUCCGUGAGCCUCUCCAGGACUAAGUCCGCAGACUCAUUUGUGUCAAAUCUUGUAAAACACAAGGACUUGAAGCCAAGGGAGCAACAACCAAUUGACGACUGCCUGAAGUUGAUGGGUGAUUCGAUUGACCGGCUUAGCAAGUCGGUUCAAGAACUGAGAGGAAUCAGUGGAGCAAAUGAUCGUGACUUUUUGUGGCACAUUAGCAAUGUUCAAACAUGGGUUAGUGCUGCUUUGACUGAUGAUGAUACUUGUCUUGAUGGGCUGGCCGCCUUGGAUGGUGAGGUGAAGGAUUCCAUUAGGACUAGGGUUUCAAAUGUUGCUGAAGUCACCAGCAAUGCACUUGCCUUGGUUGACCAGCUUGCCAAAACACAUUUAGAAUAACGGUGAAUGUUUGUUGAUAUUUGAUAAUAAAGCAUUAUUGCAUUUGAAUUUGGGUACUUUAAUUUAUGACCUCAGUUCAUUUGCGAUUUUGAGCAAUAUCGUAAUAUGUGUUAUGAUUUUUUAUUAUUGCUUUUUUAUUAAUAUUAUAUAACUUUCCAUAUUUUUUUGUGUGUAGAAUUUUAGUUUUCCACCUAGUCUAAAAACAGAUGUUCUUCUAACAAUGGGUCUCCCAUUAUUUAAGAAAUUAAUUACCAAUCAUAUAUACACACACACACUUGAUAAAAACUUGAACUAUGAUCCUUGGCCUUGACAUCUCUUCAAUGCUCCUCUUGCGCCCAAACGGUGUACUCAAUCUAAGUCGCAUUAAUGAAAAUAAAUCUCAAUACUCAAUGUUUGCCAAUCAAUUCAUAGAUAUUUGGUUGAUUAAUUUUGGUCCAUAAUCAAAUUCUUCAAUUUAUAAUUGUAUUAUUUUGUAUACGUUUUGUGUUGUCAGUUCACAAAGGGGAGUGAAUCAAAGAUACGAAAGAACUAACAAGCAUCAUGGACUGGCCCACGUAUGAUCGAUCAUAGCCAUUGGCGAAGAAUUUGCUUUCGCUGGCAGAGAUCAGAGGAAACGAUAAUCUCGCCGAUGGAUUAUUAAAUAAACUAAACAUUACAAUCAUAAUCAUUGUAUACCUAAAGAUUAUUUCUCAGAUUAAAAAAAGAACCAUACGCGUCCAUUCCUCAUUAGCUUGUUAUUGUUAUGAAAAUAUUUUUUUAUAUAAGGCGUAUCAUGGUACCCUUUUUUUUAUGUAUAUAUCAUAAUCCGUAAUUAUGUUCACGUUUAGAAAUUCAAUAAUGAUAAAGGAAUUAUAGUUUAUGCAUGAAUUAUUAUUUUAUGUAGAACAAUUCUAUACGCAACAACUGUAUCGGAUACCUAAUUUCUUUUCCACCCCCGGAAGAAAAGACAGUGAGCUGGGUUGGCGAAAUAAAAGGUUGGAAUGAUUUAAUUUGGUAGCAAAGCCAGAAAAUUGACCUAAAUCAAUUGCUAACAUGCUACUGAAGCAGAUGGAUACCUAGCUUGUCCAAUGUUUUAUUAGUGCAUUACUUUUUAUUUAAUUAACCAUGCGCUAACUACGCUCUAUACUUUUUUAUCUAUAAAGUAUUAAUGUUUGAAAUAAAGAAAAAAAAUGUGGAGAUGCAGUUUGUUUAAUUAAAUAGGUUAGAGAAACUAUUUUAUCCAAAAUUUUAUUUUAGAUAGGUAAGAGUUAAACAAUAUAUUAAAAAUUUUCUCAAGGGAGUGGAAUGACUAUGAUUUGAGACAGAUAUUCAUAAAUAGGCUAAAAUACAAGAGUUAAAAGUGAGCUAGAAAAUUGAAGAAAUUGGUGUAAGAAUUGCACAAAAGGAUUUUAAACUUGAGAUCUUGACUCUAAUACUAUGUUAGAGAAAUCACUUAAUUCAAGAGCUUAAUCUAAUAGGAAAAUGUCCAACAAUAGUUAUGGCCCAUUUGAGAUUAUUUUUGAGAGAAUCUAAUAGGAAAAUGUCCAACAAUAGUUAUGGCCCAUUUGAGAUUAUUUUUGAGAGACUCAAAAAUAAUUUUGAAAAACUAAAAAUUUAAUUUUGGCGUUUGGUAAUAUUGUUUAGAAAUCGCUUUGUACAAAAUCAUUCCAUCCUACAACAUAUUUUGAAAAGAAAUGAAGGUGUAGCCAUCAAAAUAUGAUUUUCAAAAUAAAUUUUGUAUUUAGUCCAAUUCCAUAUAUACCCUCACAUAUAUUAUAAAAUUUCAAGAUUAUCCUUAUUUGAUUAGGAAAUAAAAUUAUUAAUUUUAGAGAACUAAUCAUUAUUUCCAAAUACCAAUUAUUUUUUGAUAAAAAAGUAUUUUAAUUAUCAUUAUUAAUGUAAACCAUAAAAAAAAAUGAAUGUUUAUGUAUGUGUAAAUAAAUUUCAUUUAACAUUAUGUUCAUUUCAGUCAUUUGCAUUCGUAGAGCAGUUCCAUUUGAAGAUUUACCAGACACAUACAAUCACUAUUAGAACUCACAAAACUUUUAAAAUAAAAUUUGUCAAAUAUUUAAUUGAUUCUUUUCACAACUCAUUAUUUCUCUGCACAACUAACAACAAUUAUUUUGUAAGUUACAAUAUUAUCAAACCAACUCUUAAUAAGACAAGUAUUAAUAAAUUUAUUAAUCACUCAAUUUCGACUUUUAGAGAAAUAUGAGGUUAAAAUUUAUAAUUGGCUCUAUCUGAAAUAAUAAAGCUUUAAAGGACAAUUUUGUAAGCCUCAGAUUAAUGAGGUUCAUAUCAUAUAAACUUUACAUAUAUACAAACUAAAGAAUACAUAUCAUAAACGUUAGCUAAAAGAUAAUUACAAAACUAAUUACAAGACAAACUACACUGACAAUAAUAUGAAAGUACCAUAUCAGACCCCAUCGCUAUCGUGCUCUCCUGGACCUCUUUGUUGGUUUUUGGGUGGGGGGGUGUUGGGGAAGAGCAGGCAACAGUCCCGAGAAAAGCUUUGAACUAAAAAGCCCCGCUUUAAAUACCGGACCAUGUUAGUCACAUUUCUCAUAAUUGUAUCAAAUUUAUAAAAGCAUGGCAAGAACAUCCAGUUCGGUGUUGCUACUCUUAGUUUUGUACAUUACUUGCACGGCAAUAUUGGCUAGUAGGCACAGCACCGUGAAGACGUCUUGCAAUAAUGACACAAGCUUCGUUGAAACAUCGUGCAAAUCCACCACCUAUCCUACAGUAUGCGUGCAGUAUCUCUUGCCUUACGCCAUCAAAAUCCAACGAAGCCCCAAAAAGGUGGCGCUAGUGGCCUUGUCCAGGAGCGUAGCAAAUGUUCACUCCUGUCAAAACAGAAAAAACUCAAGAACUUGAAGCCAAUAGAGUAUGAAGCAAUUGCAGAUUGCUUAGUCGUUUUGAGUGAUUCUGAGGAAUUAAGAAUUCGAUUCAGGAGCUGGAGCACUUGGGUCAAUGUUGUAACAUGGGUCAGUGCUGCCUUUACCAAUGAAGACAUCGGUCUUGAUGGUUCUCAAACAAGGAUAUGGAUGGUAAAGUGAAGGAUUCCAUUAGAGCUAAGGUUGUUACGGUUGAUAAGAUCACCAGCAAUGCACUGGCAUUGGUUGAAAAGUUUGCUAAAACACAUUGAGAAAUUGCACAAGUUUCUGAAAGUGUCAUCCAUUUGAUUAAUAUAUAAGUAUAUUGUACGUGACUAACAAUAAACUCCUCCACAUUUUUUUUCCCUUAACCAUCGCGUUUUAGUUAUUGAACCUCUGAUUUUAUGAUUCCCUCGAAUCAGUGGCUAAGGAGUCUUUAAACGAGAUGCUUGCUCCCUAUUUUCAGGGAGAAAAUCUACCUACAACAUGAAUGUUUAAAUGAAUUUAUAAACAACUUAACAACCCCUUAAUUUGAUUAAACAAGCACAGCCUGGAGAUAAAGAAUCUUACAUUAAAGGACUAACCUCAAGUUGAUUAAUCUUGAAUUAGUAGUUGGUUAGUUUUGUAAUUUACAAGUCCUUGCCUGUUUAAUUCUCGUUGUGCAGUGAAAACAGAGAUAAUAUAACUCCUUGCACAUAUUUCGAAAUUCCAACAUAAUUAUUCAAUCAUAAUAUGGAUCAUGGCAAGAAUAGGAGCUGUUUGAUACAAGUAUCGAACUGUUCGAUGAAUUGUCUCAAUGAAGAAAUACUCGGUGGGAUAAGUUGGUAUUUGAAUUCUGGAACACAAGAGACACCAGCAACUAGCAAGGCCUGAGAAUGAAGGUUCAUGAAGUUUCUAGAAUCAGAGAGAAGAUCAAUGGACCGGACUGAGAAACAAGCGCUGAGGCUUUAUUCUUUCUCUGCAUUAUAUUCUUGCUUCUUGGUUCGGCUUUUAGUUCUCAGCAGAUGUACACUUGCCUUGAAUCUUGAUGGGUUCUCUCUCUCAUAAUUGGGCGCGACUAUUGUUGGGUCAUUAUGGGCCUGUUGAUUUUGAUUGGGCUUGUUUAUAGUGUUUGUUGACUUUAUUAAUUUUUUUUUUUUCAAUUUUACGCCAUAAUUAUGAGAGCCUCAAACUUUCGUAUGAAUAAAGAAAAAUGUCAAUCAAAUUAACUAUGGUUGUUACUUCUCGGUAGAACUUGAAGUGUAACUUUAUGAUAAUAUCCAAAAAGUAAUCAAAUAGAGACACCUUUUGUAAGAUCUAGAGAGUAUUAUCAAAGCAAGAAACAAAAGAGAAUAUAUAUAUUGUAAAUUGUAAAAUUUCUACAGGAAGCAAACAUUCUAUUGACCAGUAGUACACAGUUGUACCUAUUUUGUUUUCCGGCCAAAAUCAGAGGGCCUAGGGGCUGUCAAAAAUGGUUGGAACGUGCCUUUAUUAAAUACAAUGAGUAAUAAUAAUAACAAACACACGUCAUGUGCUUUACGUUUUAUUUAAUCAACCUAUAACUCCAAUACACGUUACACUUUGUGCCACUUGAGAAUUUCUAAAUAAUGAUUGUUUGAAAAAAAAAAAAAAGUGUGGAGAUGCAGUAAUUGGAAAGAAAUUCCAUUGUAUUUGCAUUGACAAUCUUUCGUAAUGGUAGCCUGCCUGAAUGGGCGGGUCAAUUACCUAAACUUUUCCAGAAUCCCAAAAAUCAUGUGCUAUUUAAAUUAUAAAAUAUGAAUGAGCUCACAAAACCCUCUAUAAAAUCAAAGCCUGCUUAGUCAAUCCAACUCAGUUUUUCGGUUAAUAGCAAAUACUUGGUUACUUUCAAGCUCUCUGCUAUCUAAAUUCUGAAAGCAUGGCAAAAAUAGCCAGUUUCUUUUUGCUACUCUGUGUUUUGUACAUCACUACUAGCACGGCCACAGCAGCAAGUGUUGACACAAGCUACGUGACGACCUCUUGCAAAUCCACCACUUAUCCUGCUCUCUGCAUGCGGUCUCUCUCCGGUUACGCAAGAGUAAUCCGCCGUAGCCCGCGGCAGAUGUCACUUGUGGCCUUGUCCGUGAGCCUGUCCAGGACGAAGUCCGCAUAUUCAUUUUUGACCAAACUGAAGAGAUUCAAGAACUUGAAGCCUAGGGAGUCUAGAGCAAUCGCGGACUGCUUGGAAUUAAUGGAUGACUCUGUGGACCGGCUCAGCAAAUCGUUUCAGGAGAUGAAGAACUUGGGCGGAGUCAAGAGUCGGGACUUUUUGUUUCACAUGAGCAACGUUCAAACCUGGGCUAGUGCUGCUUUGACCAAUGGUAACACUUGUCUUGAUGGGUUUGCGGACAAGUCCAUGAAUGGUAAGGUGAAGGAUUCGGUUACGGCUCAGGUUGCGAAUGUUGUUCAGGUCACCAGCAAUGCAUUGGGACUCGUUAACCAGUUUGCUAAUAAUAAUAGACAAUGAGACAUGCCUUUGCGUUUUAUAUGGAGUAUCAAUCAAAGUGUGCGUGAGGUUUUUUCUUUUCUGUAUUUUUUUUCAAUUUGUAUCCUCGUCAUUUUCUCGUGAACAUUAUUGCAAUGUGAUACUUUGGUUUAGGCACUCACCACACAUGGUCCUAUUUUGGGCAUGUAAGUUAUAGUAUGUAAGUUGCAAUGCCCCAUACGUAAAAGAAAUCAAUAUAUACAACCACAUAAUUAUAUUUACCCCACUUUGUUAAUAUUUAUACUUUGUUUAGGCUUUAUUUGGGACGGGCACUUGAUCGAGUUGAUGGCAUGUCACGAAAUGUUCUCAUAUUGCUUUGAAUUUGGUAGAUUUUGAAACUAUGUUAAUGAUCCAACUAUAUGCCUGUUUUCUUUUUUAGCAUUGGGAACCAUUAACGAUUGUCAAAGGGAUUGAUUUUUUAGGGGACUAUAUGUACAAGUUUCAAGAUUAAAAAAUGUACUGAUUGCCAGAACAACUUCUACAGCCUCGGUUGCCAUUUAUGAUUUGUGGGCAAAUUUUGACAAAAAUAUAAUUGUUAUGGCCAAAUUUUGACAAAAACGUCGUUGGAAGUACUAUAGCCAAUCCGUGGAAAUAGUUGUUCAAUGUGAAGAUAAUUAUUCAUUUGUUUGACAUUUUUUAAUUUUCAACAUGAGUUACCUCAUAAUAGCGAGCAACGAUGCUUUUCUUCAAAGAGACAACUUAAUUCAAGCCAAUGCCGAUCUUCGCUCUCUCGCCUCUAGCUUAUCGCCAAAUCAACCACGUUGAAAGCUGCAGUGUUGGCCAUGACUUUAAUGCUACUUAAGAAGAGGAGAAAACUGUUGUUGCCUUAUUGACUGGGGGACAAAGGUCAAAAAAAAAAAAAAAAACACCGUGAACUCGUAUCAAGGGUUACUAAAGUAGAUCUUAAAAAAGCACUAAUAAAUGUACUACCGCGGCUUCUCUUCUAAUAGUCGGAUGGCAUCGCUUGUUGAGAUGCUCUACUUUUUUAGGAUAAAUAUUCCUGUUAGUUCCUAUAAUUUAAAAAAUAACUACAUAACGUUAAUAUUGUAUAUGUUUUUGAUGUGCUCAUAAUUUAUCUAUUAUUUUAAUACUUAUUUAACUUAAUUUUAUGUUAAAUUAUAUUUUAUUAUAUUAAUUUUUAUGUUAAUUUUUAUAUUUUUUAUUUUAUGAAUAAUUUGUGAUUAAAGAUAAAUUAAAUUGAAACAUUAAGAAAGAAAUCUACUUGAAGGAAUAAAAAAGGGAAAGCAAUAAAAAGAUUUAAUUGAAACAAAUCAGAGAAGAUUGAAUUUAAUUAUCAUGCAUGCAAUCACGUGGGGGAAGCUUUGAAUAUUUGGUUGACAAAUAUGGCAUGCACGUGGAGAGCAUAUAUUGUGAUCAAUUGAGAAAGCAAAUGCCAAAUAUUUUGGCAUGGCUAUAAAUGGCAAGCAUGUGCACGACUUGUAAUACAACCUUCCACAUUCAGUCGGAACAACCGGAUUGCUUACAAGAAGGGCAGCCCACCAACGAGUCCAAUUAUGAACAGCCCAUGAAGGAAGCCACAUCACAGGUUGAGGAAGAAUCAGCUCAUAAGGAACGGUACGCAAGCACACGAGUUAGAAGAGCCCCUUGGUGGUUUAAGGAUUAUGUCGUGUAGUGAAAUUGCUAGUACCUUAUGAUUGUUGGUUUGUUUUUGCUGUCAUAUUUUUUGUUAGAAGUUGCUGAGUUGUAAUAUUUUGCUAACAUCUUGGACAGAGGAAUAUAUGUAGAGCAGAACAAAUUCGUGUGGGGGUAUCAGGAAAUAAAAUAUCUCUUUCUAUUUCUCUUGGCUCUUCUCUCUGUCUCAACCUUCUUUCCAUUCUUAAUAUUCAUCUCUGAUCUUUCUAUUUUUGGAGUCAACACUCACUCGAAGAGUGCAAAUUUAAUCAGAUACAUCCUUGGUUGCGUAGAGGUGUAUCAACUUGUGGAAGAGAAUAUUACUUAAUUAAAUAAUUCAAACUUGGAAUUAAAAAGAGGAGAUUUGGCUUUGUUUUUAAUUCUUUCCAUAUAAGGAGUUAAAGGCCACAAUUGAAGCAUUAUAAAAGGGCACGGCUAGAAGCCGCAAGAGAAGAAGGGGACGGCCAAGCGGAAGCAACACAGGACCGAAUUAAAAGAAGCAGCAGUCGCAAGAGAUCCAGUGCAGGAGCUGAGAUUAAUUCAUGAGUUUUUUUGUCUCUCUUCUCUAUUUUCUUACUUAAAUAUUUCUUACAAUUUAAUGAAUCGAGUGACUGGAAUCUCAGAGCCACUGCUGAUAAGUUUUUAUAUUACGGGAUUGAAACCUGAUAUUCGUCGUGAGCUACUUUUUGCUCGGCCCUCGUCUCUGAUGGAAGCAUUUGCAUUAGCUCGAGCCUAUGAAGCACGUGCUGAAGAGGCCAAACAAGGGCACCGUUUUUUGACAAAAUGGAACAACACAACACCCGCACCUACCACAAACUCCCCGUCACACAAAUUUCAGCCUCAACCAUAUCCUCUGGUUUCAACACAACCACACCAUUCAGCUGGUAUGGUCCACGUACCAUCCCAUUCACAAAAUACUUCUCCACCCCCUAAACUAAACACAUUACCACCACUUCUUCCCACACCCAACUUACCGAUUCGUCGCCUCACUCCAGCGGAGCUCCGUGACAAGCGUGAAAAAGGCUUGUGUUAUAACUGUGAUCAGAAAUAUAGCGCUAAUCAUCGUUGUCGCAGUAAGUUUUUGCUCCUUAUGGGAACAGAUGAUAAUGAACCUGCUUCGUUUGAGCAAGAGUUGCCACCAGAGUCGGUUGAAGAGGUCAUCACAGGAGAUAUUUCCAGUUUGAAUGCUUUGGCAGGUCAGAUCAAUCCCCGCUCACUCUGUUUGAUUGGUGAAGUUGGUUCUCACAGUUUUCAAGUGUUGAUCGAUAGUGGGAGUACCCACAACUUUAUCAAACCAACAGUGGCAGAGCGUAUGGGUUUACCGAUACAACCAACAGCACCCUUCCGUGUGUAUAUUGGCAAUGGGGAUUUUCUAUUGUGCAAAUACUUUUGCCCUCAAGUUGCUCUCACGUUGCAGGGGACGGUUUUCACCUUAGAUAUCUUUGUUUUGCCGAUUAAAGGGCCUGAUGUGGUGUUGGGAAUCCAAUGGCUGCAACUCUUGGGCCGCGUCUCGCAUGAUUACUCUGCCCUAUCUAUGGAAUUUUGUUGGAAUGGGACACCAUUGACUCUUCGAGGCGAUUUAGCCACUACUCCCUCCCUAAUCACCUUUAAUCAGUUGCAAUCUCUAGUCCACCAUGCUGAUAUUUAUAGCGUGUUUGCUCUGCAACAGGUACCUGCAUUUCGGGAGGAAUCGGCAAGUAAUCCAGAUAAUUCUUCCUUUGAAUUACCUGCAAAUUUAAACCAGCCCUUCAUCGACCUCCUACACAGCUACCGCAACUUAUUUCUUCAACCUACUACACUGCUGCCGCAUCGCACAAUUGAUCAUAAAAUUCAUCUCCUCCCAAAUACCACUCCAAUAAAUGUCCGCCCUUAUCGCUACCCUCAUUUCCAAAAAAACGAGAUGGAAAAGCUUAUCCGUGAAAUGUUAGAACAAGGCAUCAUUCAACCGAGUCAAAGUCCAUUUUCGUCACCGGUCUUGUUGGUUAAAAAAAAAGAUGGAACUUAUCGUUUUUGUGUUGAUUACAGGGCUUUGAAUGCCGUGACAGUCAAAGAUAAAUUUCCAAUUCCGACUAUCGACGAAUUAUUUGAUGAGUUAGGCGGAGCAGCAGUUUUCAGCAAGUUGGAUUUGCGGGCUGGUUACCAUCAAAUUCACGUGCACCACCGCGACAUUUAUAAAACGGCUUUUCGCACUCAUGAGGGCCACUACGAGUUCCUUGUCAUGCCAUUUGGUUUAACAAACGCACCUUCUACCUUCCAAGCUACUAUUAACCAUAUUUUCGCUUCUUUUUUGCGUAAAUUCGUGACUGUUUUUUUUAUGACAUUUUGGUUUACAGUGCUACAGCAGAGGAACAUUUGCGGCAUCUUCAGCAAGUAUUGGAGUGCCUUCAUUUUUACCAGUUCUUUGUCAAGCUCUCCAAAUGCUUGUUUUGCCAAGAAAAUAUUGAUUACUUGGGCCACAUUGUUUCGGCCUCCGGUGUGCGGGCAGACCCUCAGAAAAUUGACGCUAUGAUUCAUUGGCCGACUCUUCAGACUACAAAACAACUUCGAGGUUUUUUGGGUUUAACGGGUUAUUACCGGCGGUUUAUUCGUGGAUAUGCGUCGUUAGCAGCCCCACUUACUGAUUUACUUUGUAAAGAUGCCUUCAAGUGGACACCAACAACAACUGCAACGUUUGACGCUCUUAAGAAGGCAAUGGUGGAAGCCCCUGUGCUGCGGCUACCAGACUUUGAAGCGGACUUUAUCCUUGAAACUGACGCAUCUAAUGUGGGUAUAGGAGCUGUGCUUAUGCAAUCCGGGCAUCCCAUAUCUUACUUCAGUAAGAAAUUAGGCCCUCGACUUCGUGCUUCUUCUACCUACAUCAAGGAAUUAACUGCUAUUGUUGAGGCAGUGCACAAGUGGCGACAAUACUUGUUGGGCAGAUUUUUUAUCAUCUGAACUGACCAUAAUAACUUCUACAGUAGGUAGUUCAAACUCCGGAUCAACAAAUCUAUAUCAGAAAAUUAUUAGGCUAUCACUUCCGCAUUGAAUAUAAACCUUCUACAGCAGGUAGUUCAAACUCCGGAACAGCAAAUCUACAUUAGAAAAUUAUUAGGCUAUCACUUCCGCAUUGAAUAUAAACCGGGCUGUACCAAUCUUGCAGCCGAUGCUUUAUCGCGAGUUCAUGAGGAGGCUGGUGUGGACACAUCAACCGUGACUACUUCUUGUUUGCCUCUUCUUAGUCGCCCUUCAUUUGAGUUGUUAGCAACUCUAAACGUAGAAAAUUCCACUCUCUCGGAUAUAAUUGCCCUUCAUCACCAAUUUGCUGCGGGAACUCUUUCAAGGGAUUAUUCGCUACAUAAUGGAUUUUUUUUUUACCACAAUCGCUAUUAUAUCAGCCCAUCAUCAUCUUUGAAAGAAGUUCUAUUGGCUGAAUUCCACUCUACUCCACUUGCGGGGCAUGUAGGCAUCAAACGCACGCUGGUCCGCUUGGCAUCUACUUUUUUCUGGCCUAAAAUGCGUAUGGAUGUUGAGCGGUUUGUGGCCGAAUGUCUUGUGUGUCAACAGACCAAAUACUCUACUCAAGCACCCGCUGGUCCACUGCAACUUCUUCAUAUCCCUACUUUAGUUUAGGACGAACUCACUAUGGACUUCAUUAUUGGCCUUCCCGUUUCGCGGGGUUUUUCGGUGAUAUUGGUAGUUGUUGAUCGCCUUACUAAAUCGGCACACUUCGGAUCCCUUCCCACUCAAUUUACUGCUGUGAAGACAGUCGACUUAUUCGUGGAUAUGGUUAUAAAAAUUCAUGGGUUUCCUACCUCUAUUAUUUCUGAUCGCUCCCCUGUGUACUUAAGCAAUUUUUGGAAGAAGUUAUUUGAGUUAAGUGGCACUACCCUUCGUCACAGUACAGCCUAUCACCCAUAAACAGAUGGGCAAUCAGAGGUAGUUAAUCGUGGCUUGGAGCAGUAUCUUCGCGCUUUCACUCAAGAAAAACCAAGCUCAUAGGUAUCUCUACUUGGGUGGGCUGAAUUUUCUUACAAUUCUUCCUAUCACAGCAGCAUCAAGAUGUCUCCUUUUCAGGCUCUUUUCGGGCGACCACCUCCUUUCAUCCCUCCUUACUUAAAGGGCUCUACUUCAAUCCAAGCUCUUGAUGAAGCAUUAAGUGAACGAGAUGCAUUACUCCAUUCUUUGAAAGAGAAUUUACGCCGAGCUCAACAUCGCAUGAUUCAAAAAGCUAAUGCUCAUAGACGUGAAGCUCAGUUUGCUGUUGGGGACCAAGUUCUAGUGAAGCUUCAGCCAUACCGCCAAACUACAGUAGCAACUCGUUCUUGUCAAAAGCUAGCUAAACGGUAUUAUGGCCCUUUCCAUGUGAUAGCUCGAGUCGGUCCAGUAGCUUAUAAACUUGACUUGCCCAACGGUUCGAAGAUCCAUCCAGUGUUUCAUAUUUCACUUCUCAAACCCUUCAUUGGUUCUCAAAACCCUGCUCCACAUUCCUUGCCAUCAACAAGUAUGCACAAUCAGCCAUUAUAUUUACUUGCUACAGUUUGCGCUAUUCGAACCGUGCAUAAACAAGGAAAGCAAUGCCGUCAAGUUCUGGUGCAGUGGCAAGACAAUUCCCCUGAGAAUUCUACUUGGGAAGAGUUUGAAACAUUCUGUAAACUUUAUCCUGAUUUUCACCUUGAGGACAAGGUGAGUUUUGAAGAUUGAGGGAAUGAUACAACCUUCCACAUUCAGUCGGAACAACCGGAUUGCUUACAAGAAGGGCAGCCCACCAACGAGUCCAAUUAUGAACAGCCCAUGAAGGAAGCCACAUCACAGGUUGAGGAAGAAUCAGCUAAUGAGGAACGGUAUGCAAGCACACGAGUUAAAAGAGCCCCUGGGUGGUUUAAGGAUUAUGUCGUGUAGUGAAAUUGCUAGUACCUUAUGAUUGUUGGUUUGUUUUUGCUGUCAUAUUUUCUGUUAGAAGUUGUUGAGCUGUAAUAUUUUUGCUAACGUCUUGGACAGAGGAAUAUAUGUAGAGCAGAACAAAUUCAUGUGGGGGUAUCAGGAAAUAAAAUAUCUCUUUCUAUUUCUCUUGGCUCUUCUCUCUGUCUCAACCUCUCUUUCCAUUCUUAAUAUUCAUCUCUGAUCUUUCUAUUUUUGGAGUCAACACUCACUCGAAGAGUGCAAAUUUAAUCAGAUACAUCCUUGGUUGCGUAGAGGUGUAUCAACUUGUGGAAGAGAAUAUUACUUAAUUAAAUAAUUCAAACUUGGAAUUAAAAAGAGGAGAUUUGGCUUUGUUUUUAAUUCUUUCCAUAUAAGGAGUUAAAGGCCACAAUUGAAGCAUUAUAAAAGGGCACGGCUAGAAGCCGCAAGAGAAGAAGGGGACGGCCAAGCGGAAGCAACACAGGACCGAAUUAAAAGAAGCAGCAGUCGCAAGAGAUCCAGUGCAGGAGCUGAGAUUAAUUCAUGAGUUUUUUUGUCUCUCUUCUCUAUUUUCUUACUUAAAUAUUUCUUACAAUGUUUAUGGAUUCUCUUUAUAUUCCUAAGAACUAAUUUAUUUUACUAGGGUUACGAUGUAGCCUAAUUAUAAAAUUUUAAUUUCAUAAAUCUGUAUUAUUUUUAAUUUAUUAUUCUAUGGUUGAGUGUUCAUUAUUGUGCUUAAUGCUUUUAAAUAUCUUACCAAUAUUUGAAUUAUUUGAGAAUACAUAAUGUGACCGAGAAGAGAUUUAUGUAUUUUUGCUUUGUGUAAUGGAUGCUAUGAAUUGAACGAAAGAUAGAGAUGUGCCAACGUGAUUCGUACAGUUUUUUUAAAAAUUUUCGUGGAGCUUAAUAAAUCUUUGCAUAUUUAAAUUCACAUAAAGAUAUAUAUUGUGUUGAUAUGUGAAGAUAUUUUUGAUAUUACUCGAGAGAGAAAUUGAAACGAUUAGGGAAAUUCACUGUCAACGUGGGUAAUAAACUUUAAUAGCAUAGAUUAAGGAUUAAAUUAGAUUGGUUAUGGUGAAAUCGAAUGUCCUAGUAUCUUAAUCUCUUGGUGAUUUCUAUUAUUGCGUGCAUCUUUAUUUAAUUUUUAGUUAUUUUUUUAAAAAAUUUUUUAAUCUAAAUCUGCUUAUUCGAUUGUUCAUUUUCAUUAAAAUCAACAUUAUUUAUAACUGAAUGAUAGUGAACGAUGUUUAAAUGUAAGGUUUUGAUUUGGAGUCAUGGUAGCUUUGUAAUGUAAUUCAUGUCCAAUUCACAUCUAGCUUGUGAUUUGAUAAUACUAAUCAAUUUAUAUUAUUAUCACUCUGUUUUAUCCACAGCAGUUUUAAUGUUGAUUUUAGUCAUUUCUUAUUAUUUGUUAGUUUUCAUGUGAUAUACGUUUCAACUUUUUAAGGAAUUUUGCAAAUAUCUCUAAAAGUGGACAUUGUUUCUUAUGGAGAAAGUGGACAUUGUUUCUUAUGGAGGCAUACAUUUACAUUUCAAUAUAAGAUAAUAUAUGUAAAUUGUGCUCUUUUCACCAUAAAUAUUGAUAAGGUAUGACAACAUGACUGAUGCGGCUCGAGUUGAGGAAAUUUUAAUAGCUAUUUAAUUUGAUAGAAAUUUUAAGGAAAAUACACAAAGAGGGAAGAAUUUGAAAUAAAAUUUCAAAAGUUCUUCUCUCUCGAGUUGAGCAACGAGAGUAUGAUUUCAACUCUCUCUCCCGUCGUGCGACCGCCUGUGCCUCUCAUGCUCUGCUGCUGUAGGCUGUUGGCUGAUUCAAUUGGCUCUGCCUCGCACUCUCUCAAAAAUAAUGCCAGGCUUGGCAUGCUCGUAUGCGCAAAACAGAGCAAGACAGGACAAGCCGCCUCUGUAAAAAAUCGGCAUCUGGCAGCGCAGAAUAAGCAGAUACAACUCGUUAUUGCUUGCCUCUCAUUCGUCAUUGUUACAAAAUUCGUUCCCAUAACACGCAUGCUAGUCUCUUUUCUAUUGGCUACUCCGAGGCUAAUUCCAAAACUAAAAGUUCUCCACCAAGAAAAAAAGAGGAUCGCUGAAUUGAUCCAAUUUGGCAUUACCGUGUUUAGUUUUCUGGAGAAAAUGACGAACAAGAAAGCGACAGGGAAAAAGGAGAAGGUGAAGAGCGAGAGUGACAUUCAAAACUAAUAAAUUGGAGAAUGUAUAUGAUAUUGAGUAACAAACAAAUUGUAGUGAAAGUUUACAGUGAAAGGUCACCGUCAAAGGUUGGAGACGAUGAUUUCAUUGAAAUGAAAUAAAAUAAAACAAUAUUAUCAUAUUUUCAAAUGAAUUUCUACUUUUUGCGAUUUUGUUAAGUUUCUUCUCUCUCCAUCCGUAACUAAUUUUUAAAUAAAAAAAUUAAUGAUUGUUUUUCAUUUAAUUAAUUGAUUAAUAUCCAAAUCACCAUUGGAUUAAAUAGAGUGAAUCCAACGGCUGUGAUUCGUUUCAUUAUUAAAUAAUUUUUUUUUGAGAGAAUUGGAAACCUGUGAAAUUGAUCAUGCUUUUGGUUUAGGUUAAAAAUAUAUAAAUGAAGGGUUCCUCUAUGAUGUUGUAAUUUUUUUACAGCAUCAAUAAUGUUUUAAUUGUGUACCAUUGGAUUUAAUCAAUGGUACACAAAAUUUGUAGUAAAAAAAAUUAAAAAAAAUGAUAAACAGUUUGUUAACCGUGUAAGAGGUGGAGAAUUUUGUAAAAUAAUUAUGACUACCAUUAGAGUUUGAAAUAAUUUUACUUAAAUAGUAUAUUUUAUUUAAAAUUAUUUUUCAAUCCUCCUUUAAAUUUGAAAUGUGAUAAAUUUUUUUUAAAAUAAAUCUAGCUUGUGAUUUGAUACUACUAAUGAAUUUAUAUUAUUAUCACUCUCUGUUUUAUCCGCAGCAGUUUUAAUAUUGAUUUUAGUCAUUUCUUAUUAUUUGUAAGUUUUCAUGUGAUUUACGUUUCAGCUUUUUAAGGAAUAUUGCAAAUAUCUCUAAAAGUGGACAUUGUUUCUUAUGGAGAAAGUGGACAUUGUUUCUUAUGGAGGCAUACAUUUACAUUUCAAUAUAAGAUAAUAUAUGUAAAUUGUGCUCUUUUCACCAUAAAUAUUGAUAAGGUAUGACAACAUGACUGAUGCGGCUCGAGUUGAGGAAAUUUUAAUAGCUAUUUAAUUUGAUAGAAAUUUUAAGGAAAAUACACAAAGAGGGAAGAAUUUGAAAUAAAAUUUCAAAAGUUCUUCUCUCUCGAGUUGAGCAACGAGAGUAUGAUUUCAACUCUCUCUCCCGUCGUGCGACCGCCUGUGCCUCUCAUGCUCUGCUGCUGUAGGCUGUUGGCUGAUUCAAUUGGCUCUGCCUCGCACUCUCUCAAAAAUAAUGCCAGGCUUGGCAUGCUCGUAUGCGCAAAACAGAGCAAGACAGGACAAGCCGCCUCUGUAAAAAAUCGGCAUCUGGCAGCGCAGAAUAAGCAGAUACAACUCGUUAUUGCUUGCCUCUCAUUCGUCAUUGUUACAAAAUUCGUUCCCAUAACACGCAUGCUAGUCUCUUUUCUAUUGGCUACUCCGAGGCUAAUUCCAAAACUAAAAGUUCUCCACCAAGAAAAAAAGAGGAUCGCUGAAUUGAUCCAAUUUGGCAUUACCGUGUUUAGUUUUCUGGAGAAAAUGACGAACAAGAAAGCGACAGGGAAAAAGGAGAAGGUGAAGAGCGAGAGUGACAUUCAAAACUAAUAAAUUGGAGAAUGUAUAUGAUAUUGAGUAACAAACAAAUUGUAGUGAAAGUUUACAGUGAAAGGUCACCGUCAAAGGUUGGAGACGAUGAUUUCAUUGAAAUGAAAUAAAAUAAAACAAUAUUAUCAUAUUUUCAAAUGAAUUUCUACUUUUUGCGAUUUUGUUAAGUUUCUUCUCUCUCCAUCCGUAACUAAUUUUUAAAUAAAAAAAUUAAUGAUUGUUUUUCAUUUAAUUAAUUGAUUAAUAUCCAAAUCACCAUUGGAUUAAAUAGAGUGAAUCCAACGGCUGUGAUUCGUUUCAUUAUUAAAUAAUUUUUUUUUGAGAGAAUUGGAAACCUGUGAAAUUGAUCAUGCUUUUGGUUUAGGUUAAAAAUAUAUAAAUGAAGGGUUCCUCUAUGAUGUUGUAAUUUUUUUACAGCAUCAAUAAUGUUUUAAUUGUGUACCAUUGGAUUUAAUCAAUGGUACACAAAAUUUGUAGUAAAAAAAAUUAAAAAAAAUGAUAAACAGUUUGUUAACCGUGUAAGAGGUGGAGAAUUUUGUAAAAUAAUUAUGACUACCAUUAGAGUUUGAAAUAAUUUUACUUAAAUAGUAUAUUUUAUUUAAAAUUAUUUUUCAAUCCUCCUUUAAAUUUGAAAUGUGAUAAAUUUUUUUUAAAAUAAAUCUAGCUUGUGAUUUGAUACUACUAAUGAAUUUAUAUUAUUAUCACUCUCUGUUUUAUCCGCAGCAGUUUUAAUAUUGAUUUUAGUCAUUUCUUAUUAUUUGUAAGUUUUCAUGUGAUUUACGUUUCAGCUUUUUAAGGAAUAUUGCAAAUAUCUCUAAAAGUGGACAUUGUUUCUUAUGGAGGUAUACAUUUACAUUUCAAUAUAAGAUAAUAUAUGUAAAAUGUGCUAUUUUCACCAUAAAUAUUGGUAAGGUAUGACAACAUGACUGAUGCGGCUCCCUCACGUCAAGUGUGAGAAUAGCUAUUUAAUUUGAUAGAAAUUUUAAGAAAAAUAUAUAAAGAGGGAAGAAUUUGAAAUAAAAAUUCAAAAGUUCUUAUCUCUCGAGUUGAGCAAUGAGAGUAUGAUUUCAAAUCUCUCUCGUUGUGCGACCGCCUGCGCCUUUCAUGCUCCGCUGCUAUAGGUUGUUGGCUGAUUCAAUUGGCUCUGCCUCGCACUCUCUCAAAAACAACGACGGGCUUGCUAUGCUAGUAUGCGCGAAACAGAGCAAGACAGAACAAGCCGUCUUUGUCGAAAAUCGGCGUCUGGCGGCACAUAAUAAGCAGAUACAACUCAUCAUUGAUUGCCUCUCAUUUGCCGUUGUUACAAAAUUCGUUCCAAUAGCACGUGUGCUAGUCUCGUUUUUGUUGGCUACUUCGAGGCUAAUUCCAAAAAGUUCUCCACCGAGAAAAAAAAGUGGAUCGCUGAAUUGAUCCAAUUUGGCAUUACCGUGUUUGAGUUUCUAGAGAAAAUGACGAACAAGAAAGCGACAGGGAAAAAGGAGAAGGUGAAGAGCGAGAGUGACACUCAAAACUAAGAAAUUGGAGAAUGUAUAUGAUAUUGAGUAACAAACAGAUUGUAGUGAAUGUUUACAGUGAAAGGUCACCAUCAAAGGUUGGAGACGAUUAUUUCAUUGAAAUGAAAAAAAAUAAAACAAUAUUCUCAUAUUUUCAAAUGAAUUUCUACUUUUUAUGAUUUUGUUAAGUUUCUUCUCUCUCCAUCUGUAACUAAUUUUUAAAUAAAAAAAUUAAUGGUUGUUUUUCAUUUAAUUAAUUGAUUAAUAUCCAAAUCACCAUUGGACUAAAUAGAGUAAAUCCAACGACUGCGAUUCAUUUCAUUAUUAAAUAAAAACAAUUUUGAAGGAAUUGGAAACCUGUGAAACCGGUAAUGCUUUUCGUUUAGAUUAAAAAUAUAUAAAUGAAGGUUCCUCUAUGAUGCUAUAAUUUUUUUACAGUAUCAAUAAUGUUUUAAUUGUGUACCAUUGGAUUUAAUCAAUGGUACACAAUAUUUGUAAUUAAAAACAAUGAUAAACAGUUUGUUAACCGUGUAAGGGGUGGAGAAUUUUGUAAAAUAAUUAUGACCACCAGUAGAGUUUGAAAUAAUUUCACUUAAAUAGUAUAUUUUAUUUAAAAUUAUUUUUCAAUCCUCCUUUAAAUUUAAAAUGUGAUAACUUUUUUUAAAAUAAAUCUUCCAAAAUCAUUUACCAUUAAGUAUAAGAUAUAAUAGUAGGUUAUUUAACACAAAUCAAAUAAAUAAGUUGUAAUUGAAAAUUUUAUAUAUGAUAUAAAACUAAUAAAUAACACAACUAAGUACAUGUACUUAAGUAAAUGUCAUAGUUACAUCAAUGAACUCAUUGGUGAGAUUGCUUGUAACAUAAAAAAUACUUGAUCACACAUGUUUUAGUAAAAUUUAAUAUCGUAUAUUAAAAUACUCUUUAUUUUAUAUAAAUUAAGGGUCAUUGUAUAAUUUAUCAUGAAUUAUAUAUUAUUUUUAACACCCAUGUAAUAUACUUAUUCUCUGAAGUUUAUGUUUAUCUUUCAAUUAAUAUUCUUACAUGGUAGGAAUUUUAAGUUUUACAAGCCUAUAUAUUUUCAUUUUAUUUUCAAAUAUCACUUUGUUAAUAUCAUAAAAGUUAAAUUUAAUAUAUAUUCGUAAUGUGUUUUAGUUUAUGAAUCAUGAAAGAUUAUUUUAUUGAUAUCCUUCGAUUGUAAUUAUAAAAUUUUAUGUUACUAAGAGUCAUUACUUUGUUAUGAUAGUUAAUAGUGACAAUAAAUAAAAUAUUGCCUUCAACAAUAUUUACGUGAGAAAUAAUGUAAAAGAAAGUCUUUUAUAUUUUUUUAUUUUAUUGACAUGGUAAGAAAUUAUCUGAACCUUAUAAAAUUUAACUUUCACAAGCUUGUUUUCAUUUUAUUUUCAAAUGUCCUUUGUUAAUUUCAUAAAAGUUAAAUCUAACACAUUUUCCUAAUUAACUUUAGUUUAUGAAUCAUGAAAGAUUAGUUUAUUGUUAUCUUUGAUAGUAAUUAUAAAUUUUUUAUGUUACGAAGAGUCAUUACUUUUAUUAUGAUAAUUAAUAGUCACAAUAAAUAAAAUAUCACAUCAAAUAAUAUUUAAUGGACAAAAUGUGGAAAAAAAUCAUUGAAUGUUUUUAUAUUUCCAUUAUAAAGACAUGUUUUGGGAUACUUUAACUUAAAAUUUUGACACAAUAUUUAAGCCACUAAAAUCUCAUAGUCUAAUGGUUGAUAUUGAAAGUCAAAGAAACAUUUCAUAAUGUUAUACCCUCCACCAUUGAAUUGCAUGAAAUAAAUAGUUUAUUUUUUUGUUAAAAAUUUAAAUCAAAAUAUUUCUCACUCUAUAGUUAUAUAGUAUCUUUUUACUUUCUAUCUCUCCCUCUGUUUCCAUAUUUCUUCAUAUUAUUAGUUCUAGAGUUUUUCUUCUUUUAAUAUUUUUAAUUUUUUAUUUAUGAAAUACUUGCUGGAUUGUAGUUUCUACUGAAUUUUUUUUUUUUUUUGGGUCGCUUCUUUUUUGCGUAAAUUCGUGAUUGUUUUUGUUAUGACAUUUUGGUUUACAGUGCUACAGCAGAGGAACAUUUGCGGCAUCUUCAGCAAGUAUUGGAGUGCCUUCAUUUUUACCAGUUCUUUGUCAAGCUCUCCAAAUGCUUGUUUUGCCAAGAAAAUAUUGAUUACUUGGGCCACAUUGUUUCGGCCUUCGGUGUGCGGACAGACCCUCAGAAAAUUGACGCUAUGAUUCAUUGGCCGACUCCUCAGACUACAAAACAACUUCGAGGUUUUUUGGGUUUAACGGGUUAUUACCGGCGGUUUAUUCGUGGAUAUGCGUCGUUAGCAGCCCCACUUACUGAUUUACUUUGUAAAGAUGCCUUCAAGUGGACACCAACAACAACUGCAACGUUUGACGCUCUUAAGAAGGCAAUGGUGGAAGCCCCUGUGCUGCGGCUACCAGACUUUGAAGCGGACUUUAUCCUUGAAACUGACGCAUCUAAUGUGGGUAUAGGAGCUGUGCUUAUGCAAUCCGGGCAUCCCAUAUCUUACUUCAGUAAGAAAUUAGGCCCUCGGCUUCGUGCUUCUUCUACCUACAUCAAGGAAUUAACUGCUAUUGUUGAGGUGGUGCACAAGUGGCGACAAUACUUGUUGGGCAGAUUUUUUGUCAUACGAACUGACCAUAAGAGCAUUAAAGAACUUCUACAGCAGGUAGUUCAAACUCCGGAACAGCAAAUCUACAUUAGAAAAUUAUUAGGCUAUCACUUCCGCAUUGAAUAUAAACCGGGCUGUACCAAUCUUGCAGCCGAUGCUUUAUCGCGAGUUCAUGAGGAGGCUGGUGCGGACACAUCAACCGUGACUGCUUCUUGUUUGCCUCUUCUUAGUCGCCCUUCAUUUGAGUUAUUAGCAACUCUAAACGUAGAAAAUUCCACUCUCUCGGAUAUGAUUGCCCUUCAUCACCAAUUUGCUGUGGGAACUCUUUCAAGGGAUUAUUCGCUACAUAAUGGAUUUCUUUUUUACCGCAAUCGCUAUUAUAUCAGCCCAUCAUCAUCUUUGAAAGAAGUUCUAUUGGCUGAAUUCCACUCUACUCCACUUGCGGGGCAUGUAGGCAUCAAACGCACGCUGGUCCGCUUGGCAUCUACUUUUUUCUGGCCUAAAAUGCGUAUGGAUGUUGAGCGGUUUGUGGCCGAAUGUCUUGUGUGUCAACAGACCAAAUACUCUACUCAAGCACCCGCUGGUCCACUGCAACUUCUUCAUAUCCCUACUUUAGUUUAGGACGAACUCACUAUGGACUUCAUUAUUGGCCUUCCCGUUUCGCGGGGUUUUUCGGUGAUAUUGGUAGUUGUUGAUCGCCUUACUAAAUCGGCACACUUCGGAUCCCUUCCCACUCAAUUUACUGCUGUGAAGACAGUCGACUUAUUCGUGGAUAUGGUUAUAAAAAUUCAUGGGUUUCCUACCUCUAUUAUUUCUGAUCGCUCCCCUGUGUACUUAAGCAAUUUUUGGAAGAAGUUAUUUGAGUUAAGUGGCACUACCCUUCGUCACAGUACAGCCUAUCACCCAUAAACAGAUGGGCAAUCAGAGGUAGUUAAUCGUGGCUUGGAGCAGUAUCUUCGCGCUUUCACUCAAGAAAAACCAAGCUCAUGGGUAUCUCUACUUGGGUGGGCUGAAUUUUCUUACAAUUCUUCCUAUCACAGCAGCAUCAAGAUGUCUCCUUUUCAGGCUCUUUUCGGGCGACCACCUCCUUUCAUCCCUCCUUACUUAAAGGGCUCUACUUCAAUCCAAGCUCUUGAUGAAGCAUUAAGUGAACGAGAUGCAUUACUCCAUUCUUUGAAAGAGAAUUUACGCCGAGCUCAACAUCGCAUGAUUCAAAAAGCUAAUGCUCAUAGACGUGAAGCUCAGUUUGCUGUUGGGGACCAAGUUCUAGUGAAGCUUCAGCCAUACCGCCAAACUACAGUAGCAACUCGUUCUUGUCAAAAGCUAGCUAAACGGUAUUAUGGCCCUUUCCAUGUGAUAGCUCGAGUCGGUCCAGUAGCUUAUAAACUUGACUUGCCCAACGGUUCGAAGAUCCAUCCAGUGUUUCAUAUUUCACUUCUCAAACCCUUCAUUGGUUCUCAAAACCCUGCUCCACAUUCCUUGCCAUCAACAAGUAUGCACAAUCAGCCAUUAUAUUUACUUGCUACAGUUUGCGCUAUUCGAACCGUGCAUAAACAAGGAAAGCAAUGCCGUCAAGUUCUGGUGCAGUGGCAAGACAAUUCCCCUGAGAAUUCUACUUGGGAAGAGUUUGAAACAUUCUGUAAACUUUAUCCCGAUUUUCACCUUGAGGAUAAGGUGAGUUUUGAAGAUGGAGGGAAUGAUACAACCUUCCACAUUCAGUCGGAACAACCGGAUUGCUUACAAGAAGGGCAGCCCUCCAACGAGUCCAAUUAUGAACAGCCCAUGAAGGAAGCCACAUCACAGGUUGAGGAAGAAUCAGCUCAUGAGGAACGGUACGCAAGCACACGAGUUAGAAGAGCCCCUGGGUGGUUUAAGGAUUAUGUCGUGUAGUGAAAUUGCUAGUACCUUAUGAUUGUUGGUUUGUUUUUGCUGUCAUAUUUUCUGUUAGAAGUUGCUGAGCUGUAAUAUUUUUGCUAACGUCUUUUCUAUUUCUCUUGGCUCUUCUCUCUGUCUCAACCUCUCUUUCCAUUCUUAAUAUUCAUCUCUGAUCUUUCUAUUUUUGGAGUCAACACUCACUCGAAGAGUGCAAAUUUAAUCAGAUACAUCCUUGGUUGCGUAGAGGUGUAUCAACUUGUGGAAGAGAAUAUUACUUAAUUAAAUAAUUCAAACUUGGAAUUAAAAAGAGGAGAUUUGGCUUUGUUUUUAAUUCUUUCCAUAUAAGGAGUUAAAGGCCACAAUUGAAGCAUUAUAAAAGGGCACGGCUAGAAGCCGCAAGAGAAGAAGGGGACGGCCAAGCGGAAGCAACACAGGACCGAAUUAAAAGAAGCAGCAGUCGCAAGAGAUCCAGUGCAGGAGCUGAGAUUAAUUCAUGAGUUUUUUUGUCUCUCUUCUCUAUUUUCUUACUUAAAUAUUUCUUACAAUGUUUAUGGAUUCUCUUUAUAUUCCUAAGAACUAAUUUAUUUUACUAGGGUUACGAUGUAGCCUAAUUAUAAAAUUUUAAUUUCAUAAAUCUGUAUUAUUUUUAAUUUAUUAUUCUAUGGUUGAGUGUUCAUUAUUGUGCUUAAUGCUUUUAAAUAUCUUACCAAUAUUUGAAUUAUUUGAGAAUACAUAAUGUGACCGAGAAGAGAUUUAUGUAUUUUUGCUUUGUGUAAUGGAUGCUAUGAAUUGAACGAAAGAUAGAGAUGUGCCAACGUGAUUCGUACAGUUUUUUUAAAAAUUUUCGUGGAGCUUAAUAAAUCUUUGCAUAUUUAAAUUCACAUAAAGAUAUAUAUUGUGUUGAUAUGUGAAGAUAUUUUUGAUAUUACUCGAGAGAGAAAUUGAAACGAUUAGGGAAAUUCACUGUCAACGUGGGUAAUAAACUUUAAUAGCAUAGAUUAAGGAUUAAAUUAGAUUGGUUAUGGUGAAAUCGAAUGUCCUAGCCGUACAGCAGUUGUUUAUAGUGUUUGUUGACUUUAUUAAUUUUUUUUUUUUCAAUUUUACGCCAUAAUUAUGAGAGCCUCAAACUUUCGUAUGAAUAAAGAAAAAUGUCAAUCAAAUUAACUAUGGUUGUUACUUCUCGGUAGAACUUGAAGUGUAACUUUAUGAUAAUAUCCAAAAAGUAAUCAAAUAGAGACACCUUUUGUAAGAUCUAGAGAGUAUUAUCAAAGCAAGAAACAAAAGAGAAUAUAUAUAUUGUAAAUUGUAAAAUUUCUACAGGAAGCAAACAUUCUAUUGACCAGUAGUACACAGUUGUACCUAUUUUGUUUUCCGGCCAAAAUCAGAGGGCCUAGGGGCUGUCAAAAAUGGUUGGAACGUGCCUUUAUUAAAUACAAUGAGUAAUAAUAAUAACAAACACACGUCAUGUGCUUUACGUUUUAUUUAAUCAACCUAUAACUCCAAUACACGUUACACUUUGUGCCACUUGAGAAUUUCUAAAUAAUGAUUGUUUGAAAAAAAAAAAAAAGUGUGGAGAUGCAGUAAUUGGAAAGAAAUUCCAUUGUAUUUGCAUUGACAAUCUUUCGUAAUGGUAGCCUGCCUGAAUGGGCGGGUCAAUUACCUAAACUUUUCCAGAAUCCCAAAAAUCAUGUGCUAUUUAAAUUAUAAAAUAUGAAUGAGCUCACAAAACCCUCUAUAAAAUCAAAGCCUGCUUAGUCAAUCCAACUCAGUUUUUCGGUUAAUAGCAAAUACUUGGUUACUUUCAAGCUCUCUGCUAUCUAAAUUCUGAAAGCAUGGCAAAAAUAGCUAGUUACUUAUUGCUACUCUGUGUUUUGUGCAUUACUAGCACAGCCCCGGCAGCAAGUGUUGACACAAGCUACGUGACGACCUUUUGCAAAUCCACCACUUAUCCUGCUCUCUGCAUGCGGUCUCUCUCUGGUUACGCAAGAGUAAUCCGCCGCAGCCCGCGACAGAUGUCACUUGUGGCCUUGUCCGUGAGCCUGUCCAGGACGAAGUCCGCAUAUUCAUUCUUGACAAAAUUGAACAGAUUCAAGAACUUGAAGCCCAAGGAGUAUAGAGCAAUUGCGGACUGCUUGGAAUUAAUGGAUGACUCCGUGGACCGGCUCAGCAAAUCGGUUCAGGAGAUGAAGAACUUGGGCCGAGUCAAGAGUCGGGACUUUUUGUUCCACAUGAGCAACGUUCAAACCUGGGCUAGUGCUGCUUUGACCAAUGGUAACACUUGUCUUGAUGGGUUUGCUGACAAGUCCAUGAAUGGUAAGGUGAAGGAUUCGGUUACGGCUCAGGUUGCGACUUAAUCUCUUGGUGAUUUCUAUUAUUGCGUGCAUCUUUAUUUAAUUUUUAGUUAUUUUUUUAAAAAAUUUUUUAAUCUAAAUCUGCUUAUUCGAUUGUUCAUUUUCAUUAAAAUCAACAUUAUUUAUAACUGAAUGAUAGUGAACGAUGUUUAAAUGUAAGGUUUUGAUUUGGAGUCAUGGUAGCUUUGUAAUGUAAUUCAUGUCCAAUUCACAUCUAGCUUGUGAUUUGAUAAUACUAAUCAAUUUAUAUUAUUAUCACUCUGUUUUAUCCACAGCAGUUUUAAUGUUGAUUUUAGUCAUUUCUUAUUAUUUGUUAGUUUUCAUGUGAUAUACGUUUCAACUUUUUAAGGAAUUUUGCAAAUAUCUCUAAAAGUGGACAUUGUUUCUUAUGGAGAAAGUGGACAUUGUUUCUUAUGGAGGCAUACAUUUACAUUUCAAUAUAAGAUAAUAUAUGUAAAUUGUGCUCUUUUCACCAUAAAUAUUGAUAAGGUAUGACAACAUGACUGAUGCGGCUCGAGUUGAGGAAAUUUUAAUAGCUAUUUAAUUUGAUAGAAAUUUUAAGGAAAAUACACAAAGAGGGAAGAAUUUGAAAUAAAAUUUCAAAAGUUCUUCUCUCUCGAGUUGAGCAACGAGAGUAUGAUUUCAACUCUCUCUCCCGUCGUGCGACCGCCUGUGCCUCUCAUGCUCUGCUGCUGUAGGCUGUUGGCUGAUUCAAUUGGCUCUGCCUCGCACUCUCUCAAAAAUAAUGCCAGGCUUGGCAUGCUCGUAUGCGCAAAACAGAGCAAGACAGGACAAGCCGCCUCUGUAAAAAAUCGGCAUCUGGCAGCGCAGAAUAAGCAGAUACAACUCGUUAUUGCUUGCCUCUCAUUCGUCAUUGUUACAAAAUUCGUUCCCAUAACACGCAUGCUAGUCUCUUUUCUAUUGGCUACUCCGAGGCUAAUUCCAAAACUAAAAGUUCUCCACCAAGAAAAAAAGAGGAUCGCUGAAUUGAUCCAAUUUGGCAUUACCGUGUUUAGUUUUCUGGAGAAAAUGACGAACAAGAAAGCGACAGGGAAAAAGGAGAAGGUGAAGAGCGAGAGUGACAUUCAAAACUAAUAAAUUGGAGAAUGUAUAUGAUAUUGAGUAACAAACAAAUUGUAGUGAAAGUUUACAGUGAAAGGUCACCGUCAAAGGUUGGAGACGAUGAUUUCAUUGAAAUGAAAUAAAAUAAAACAAUAUUAUCAUAUUUUCAAAUGAAUUUCUACUUUUUGCGAUUUUGUUAAGUUUCUUCUCUCUCCAUCCGUAACUAAUUUUUAAAUAAAAAAAUUAAUGAUUGUUUUUCAUUUAAUUAAUUGAUUAAUAUCCAAAUCACCAUUGGAUUAAAUAGAGUGAAUCCAACGGCUGUGAUUCGUUUCAUUAUUAAAUAAUUUUUUUUUGAGAGAAUUGGAAACCUGUGAAAUUGAUCAUGCUUUUGGUUUAGGUUAAAAAUAUAUAAAUGAAGGGUUCCUCUAUGAUGUUGUAAUUUUUUUACAGCAUCAAUAAUGUUUUAAUUGUGUACCAUUGGAUUUAAUCAAUGGUACACAAAAUUUGUAGUAAAAAAAAUUAAAAAAAAUGAUAAACAGUUUGUUAACCGUGUAAGAGGUGGAGAAUUUUGUAAAAUAAUUAUGACUACCAUUAGAGUUUGAAAUAAUUUUACUUAAAUAGUAUAUUUUAUUUAAAAUUAUUUUUCAAUCCUCCUUUAAAUUUGAAAUGUGAUAAAUUUUUUUUAAAAUAAAUCUAGCUUGUGAUUUGAUACUACUAAUGAAUUUAUAUUAUUAUCACUCUCUGUUUUAUCCGCAGCAGUUUUAAUAUUGAUUUUAGUCAUUUCUUAUUAUUUGUAAGUUUUCAUGUGAUUUACGUUUCAGCUUUUUAAGGAAUAUUGCAAAUAUCUCUAAAAGUGGACAUUGUUUCUUAUGGAGGUAUACAUUUACAUUUCAAUAUAAGAUAAUAUAUGUAAAAUGUGCUAUUUUCACCAUAAAUAUUGGUAAGGUAUGACAACAUGACUGAUGCGGCUCCCUCACGUCAAGUGUGAGAAUAGCUAUUUAAUUUGAUAGAAAUUUUAAGAAAAAUAUAUAAAGAGGGAAGAAUUUGAAAUAAAAAUUCAAAAGUUCUUAUCUCUCGAGUUGAGCAAUGAGAGUAUGAUUUCAAAUCUCUCUCGUUGUGCGACCGCCUGCGCCUUUCAUGCUCCGCUGCUAUAGGUUGUUGGCUGAUUCAAUUGGCUCUGCCUCGCACUCUCUCAAAAACAACGACGGGCUUGCUAUGCUAGUAUGCGCGAAACAGAGCAAGACAGAACAAGCCGUCUUUGUCGAAAAUCGGCGUCUGGCGGCACAUAAUAAGCAGAUACAACUCAUCAUUGAUUGCCUCUCAUUUGCCGUUGUUACAAAAUUCGUUCCAAUAGCACGUGUGCUAGUCUCGUUUUUGUUGGCUACUUCGAGGCUAAUUCCAAAAAGUUCUCCACCGAGAAAAAAAAGUGGAUCGCUGAAUUGAUCCAAUUUGGCAUUACCGUGUUUGAGUUUCUAGAGAAAAUGACGAACAAGAAAGCGACAGGGAAAAAGGAGAAGGUGAAGAGCGAGAGUGACACUCAAAACUAAGAAAUUGGAGAAUGUAUAUGAUAUUGAGUAACAAACAGAUUGUAGUGAAUGUUUACAGUGAAAGGUCACCAUCAAAGGUUGGAGACGAUUAUUUCAUUGAAAUGAAAAAAAAUAAAACAAUAUUCUCAUAUUUUCAAAUGAAUUUCUACUUUUUAUGAUUUUGUUAAGUUUCUUCUCUCUCCAUCUGUAACUAAUUUUUAAAUAAAAAAAUUAAUGGUUGUUUUUCAUUUAAUUAAUUGAUUAAUAUCCAAAUCACCAUUGGACUAAAUAGAGUAAAUCCAACGACUGCGAUUCAUUUCAUUAUUAAAUAAAAACAAUUUUGAAGGAAUUGGAAACCUGUGAAACCGGUAAUGCUUUUCGUUUAGAUUAAAAAUAUAUAAAUGAAGGUUCCUCUAUGAUGCUAUAAUUUUUUUACAGUAUCAAUAAUGUUUUAAUUGUGUACCAUUGGAUUUAAUCAAUGGUACACAAUAUUUGUAAUUAAAAACAAUGAUAAACAGUUUGUUAACCGUGUAAGGGGUGGAGAAUUUUGUAAAAUAAUUAUGACCACCAGUAGAGUUUGAAAUAAUUUCACUUAAAUAGUAUAUUUUAUUUAAAAUUAUUUUUCAAUCCUCCUUUAAAUUUAAAAUGUGAUAACUUUUUUUAAAAUAAAUCUUCCAAAAUCAUUUACCAUUAAGUAUAAGAUAUAAUAGUAGGUUAUUUAACACAAAUCAAAUAAAUAAGUUGUAAUUGAAAAUUUUAUAUAUGAUAUAAAACUAAUAAAUAACACAACUAAGUACAUGUACUUAAGUAAAUGUCAUAGUUACAUCAAUGAACUCAUUGGUGAGAUUGCUUGUAACAUAAAAAAUACUUGAUCACACAUGUUUUAGUAAAAUUUAAUAUCGUAUAUUAAAAUACUCUUUAUUUUAUAUAAAUUAAGGGUCAUUGUAUAAUUUAUCAUGAAUUAUAUAUUAUUUUUAACACCCAUGUAAUAUACUUAUUCUCUGAAGUUUAUGUUUAUCUUUCAAUUAAUAUUCUUACAUGGUAGGAAUUUUAAGUUUUACAAGCCUAUAUAUUUUCAUUUUAUUUUCAAAUAUCACUUUGUUAAUAUCAUAAAAGUUAAAUUUAAUAUAUAUUCGUAAUGUGUUUUAGUUUAUGAAUCAUGAAAGAUUAUUUUAUUGAUAUCCUUCGAUUGUAAUUAUAAAAUUUUAUGUUACUAAGAGUCAUUACUUUGUUAUGAUAGUUAAUAGUGACAAUAAAUAAAAUAUUGCCUUCAACAAUAUUUACGUGAGAAAUAAUGUAAAAGAAAGUCUUUUAUAUUUUUUUAUUUUAUUGACAUGGUAAGAAAUUAUCUGAACCUUAUAAAAUUUAACUUUCACAAGCUUGUUUUCAUUUUAUUUUCAAAUGUCCUUUGUUAAUUUCAUAAAAGUUAAAUCUAACACAUUUUCCUAAUUAACUUUAGUUUAUGAAUCAUGAAAGAUUAGUUUAUUGUUAUCUUUGAUAGUAAUUAUAAAUUUUUUAUGUUACGAAGAGUCAUUACUUUUAUUAUGAUAAUUAAUAGUCACAAUAAAUAAAAUAUCACAUCAAAUAAUAUUUAAUGGACAAAAUGUGGAAAAAAAUCAUUGAAUGUUUUUAUAUUUCCAUUAUAAAGACAUGUUUUGGGAUACUUUAACUUAAAAUUUUGACACAAUAUUUAAGCCACUAAAAUCUCAUAGUCUAAUGGUUGAUAUUGAAAGUCAAAGAAACAUUUCAUAAUGUUAUACCCUCCACCAUUGAAUUGCAUGAAAUAAAUAGUUUAUUUUUUUGUUAAAAAUUUAAAUCAAAAUAUUUCUCACUCUAUAGUUAUAUAGUAUCUUUUUACUUUCUAUCUCUCCCUCUGUUUCCAUAUUUCUUCAUAUUAUUAGUUCUAGAGUUUUUCUUCUUUUAAUAUUUUUAAUUUUUUAUUUAUGAAAUACUUGCUGGAUUGUAGUUUCUACUGAAUUUUUUUUUUUUUUUGGGGGGGAUAUUUGAGCUAUUUGUUGAUAGGUUUAUGUUAAAGAGUUAUAUUGAAGAGUUCGGUGUUUAAUAUUAAGAACUAAGUAAUUGGUAAUGUUGAAAGAGAACACAUGUUUAGGUGAUACAUCAGUACAAAUUGUAGCUUGAAAUCAGUUGAAAUUGUCUACUUGUUUCUAAAUUUUUUUUAUCUUUUUUUUGUUUGAUUGUAACUAGUUACACUUUUUUGUUUGGCAAAGCCCAAAAGAAAAUGAAAAGGAAAUCACGGACACAGUUAAUGUUUGUUUCGUGUAAUUUUUUCUUUCUUUGUUGUUUGAUUGUAAUAGUGAUUAGUGAUUUUUGAAAUCGGGUGGCUUGUUUGCAAGGAAACCGGGUUAAGGUGCUGAAACAUUUUGAGAAAUAUAAUAAAUUUAAAUUUAUUAGACUUGCUCUGUUCUGGCUCUAUUUCUAAGCUUCUUCAUUUUGUUACGGUUCUCUGCAAAGUAUAGUUUUAAUUCUUGUCCAACAACAUUAGUUUUUUCUCUGCUAAUAUCUAGUGUUUUUGUGCUUUCUUCACAAAUUAAGCUUUUGACCUAUAACAUUUCCUAUUAUGCAGUAUUAGAGCAUUAGUUGGUAAGGGAUCAAGAGUGAUUUUUUUGAUGCCUUAAAGUUGGAAUGAUUAUGUUAUUAAAUUCUAAUUUGUACAGGAAUAUAACCUAGGCUAAUCAAAGAAAGUUAGUUCUUGAUUGAGUUGCAUGUCUUAUUUGACUCUUCUCUGAGGUUUCAUUGGUAAUUUUCUUCUUGUCUGUUUUUUUAUUUUACUAAAAUGCUGUUGAGAUAUAUAGAUUGAUAAAUUGAUGUUCCUUUCACUUGCAUAUGAAUUUAUCCUUCCGUAUGAUUUUCAAGGUUUGUUAAGUUCAUUUACAUGUGGAUUUUAUGGUAGAUUUUGUAAGAUAAUCUUGUACAUUUCUCUUUUGGUAUUAAUUGUGGUAUGCUUGCUAUGUCUUAUUUAUUCGUGGCAGGUUGUGACCUAUUUUGAAGAGCAACAGGUCACUCUACUUAUAAGUCUCUGAAUUUAAAUUAUGGUAAGAAAAAAUUAUUUUCUCCUGGAUACUUAAAGUUAUCUUGUUAUAUGUUCGGGAAAAGUAUAAAUUCAAAAGUUAUGAUUGUUAGAAUUCUUUUGCAAGUUUCAUUAUUGCAUAGAGUCCUAUAUAUAUUACACAAUUCUGGAAAUAGUUUGAUCUUUUUUCCUAUAAGUCUUUAUAGAUUCUUAUUCACCCCUACAAUUUCCAUUGCUGAUUUUGUCUUUCUAUUUGUUGCUUGUUUUAAAUUAUUUUUCAUUUUCAAUGAAUUUUGGUCUUGCUUGUGCAGGAGUUGGCAUUUGUGAUAAUUUGAGGUUUAUUGCUAAUGCUAUCAUGGAGUGAAGAAUUAGAUUUGGUUAGAGUUUAGGCUGAUACUAUGUGCAAUUACCAUUGAGAAAAGAAGAGAUCAAUAUAAGAAUUACUAUUUUGUGUUAUUAAAUUCUUGUACAUUAUACUUGAGAAUAUUGUAUUGACAAUUGCAUAAAGAUAUUAAUGGAUUCUUUUGUAUUAAUAUAUUAUUAGUUUUUGUUUAUCUUAACAUUAUCAAGAACUUGUAAUUAAAAUGUAUAUGUAUUUUUUUUUCCUAAAAAAAUGGUUAUUCGCAACUUGCAUCUGCAUGUUGUUGAAAAUAUACAAAUAAAAUAAGGUUUUAACCGUAUUUAUUGAGUGUGGUUAAAUAUAUUUUAAAAACAGGCAAAAGGCUUUUAACAAGGAGCAUAGAAUGUUGUUGAAAAUAUUCAAUUUUAGACAACAUCAACAUUCACAGCGCGCGGUUGAAUGUUGUUAAAGGUGUUUAACAAUAUGCAAUACAUGUUAAAUCUCUUUUUUCUUACAGUGAAGAACUAAUGAAAUUAUGUUGUAUAAGUUGUGUUACAAUACAUGUUUUGUUAUUUUGUUUAAUUUCUUUUUACUGUCAUAAUUCAAUCAACCGUAUUAGUAUGUCUCUUGUGUUCAUACCUUAGUCGUUCCGCUGGCAUUUGUUUGAGAGAUCAAAUAUUUUAAAGUAAAUAAAAAGGUUCAUACAUGCAUGGAUUAUAGAGUACAUAAAAGAAAAUUAUUAGCGCCUAAUUGUUUAUCUGGAGGGAACUAAUUCUAACCACAAUCUACAUAAAAUAGGAAGCAUACAUGGUACAUAAAAUAUGGACUAUAUUCUAUCAGUAAAUUUGUAUUAAUGUAGAUUUAAUUUGACGAUUUUACUCUUAUAAUAUAAAAUAAUCAAAUAAAAAAAAGGUUAUCAUUAUAAUAAUUAUUUUAGGAAAUUUAUUUGUGGAAAAAGUUUUGGGCGUUUUAGUAUUGUACCAAAGACUCUCUCCUAGUUUAUGAUCUACACCCAUGUAUGUUGUGUAAAUGAUAGAAGUUUGAUAGUUUGAUAAUUUUCAUGUGAUCGAUAUCAUAUCCCAAUGACAUUUUGUUAGAUUAAUUAAAAAUUAAUAUUCAUACUAAUAAUUUAUUAAUUAUCAAUAAAUCAUUUAGAAAUUUUUUGGUGUAAAGUUAAAACAAAAAAAUUAUUGAAUUUGAAAAAAAAAAUUGGGGGUAUUUCCAUAGUUUUGCCUUAAAAUGUUAAAAUAAAAAUAGAUUAGUGUUAUAUUAUUAAGAGCUGGCAAAAUGGGUCAUCGGGUCGUAUUCGUGUCGUGUCAAAUUUAAGUUGACCCAAACCCAACCCAUUUAAUAAUCGUGUCAAAAUAUUAAGACCCAAACCCGACACGGAAAAAUAAUCAGGUUACCCAAUAACCCGCUUAAUAUCUGUCUAUUAAACAAAAUUUAUAUCAAACAUUUACACACUGUCGUACAUACAUAAUUUAUCGAUAUUAUAAAAUGUACAUAUCUACUAAAAUAUUACAUAUUUACACUAUUGUAGUUUUAAUUAUAUAUGUAUGUAUGUAUGUAUAAAUAAAUAAUAUUAUAUAUUGAUAUUAUAAAAUAUAUAUAUCUAAUAAUAUUUUACACAUUUCCAUUAUUGAAUCUCUAAAUAUAUAUAAAAUUUUAUAAAGGAAAAUUAUCAUUCGUAUACCCUAAAUUUAAGCUUAAAAAAUACUACAACACUUUAAGGGUGUAUCAAUCGUCCACCCUAAAUUGACAAAAGUUAUCUGCCGUCCACUAAACCGUUAGCUGCCGUUUGAAAGUUGACGGAACAGUAACGAAUUGACGAUUUUACCCUUGAAAAUUAUCACUUGUAUACCCUUAAAAUCUUUUAUUAUCACUUAUAUAUUCUUAAAUUAUCACUUGUAUCAUAUGAAAAGACUAGAUUACCCCUCUGACAUCAUCAUAUUUAAAUGGCAACUAACAGUUUGGUGGACGACAUAUAUAUUUUGUCAACUUAGGAUGGAUGACUGAUAUACCCUGAAAGUGUUGUAGUAAAUUUGAUAACGGAGUAAACUAAGGGUAUACGAUUGAUAAUUUUCCUUUUAUAAAUAAAAUACUAUUUUUAUAUUCAUCUUUUCAAAAAAUAGAAAUAAAAGAGAGAAUCAUCUUUAAUAUUAGAAUUUUGAUAAUAAGAACCUAAAAAUUAUUUUGAAAUAGAAAUAUAACUGGGUCAUUGAUCAGAUAAAUGGGUCAAUAACUUUAACCCUAACCCGACGCGGAAAAAAAUUGUGUCAACCCGGACCCAACCCAUUUAAUAAUUGUGUUAAAUUCGACGACCCAUACCCAUUUAUUCGUGUCGUGUUCGUGUCGGGUAAUCGGGUCGUAUCAAAUUUUGCCAGCCCUAAUAUUAUUCAUGCAAUCUUAGUUAAACAUGGUAAAGAGAUUUAAAUUAAUUAAAAAAAUAAAAAAUGAUAUAAUUAAUUAAUUGUACAAAUUAAUAAUUAAAAAAAUGAGCUUAAAGCUCCAAAAUAUUGAAUAAGGAUCUUCUCAUGAUAGCUAAUAUGAAAUUUGAAGGAUCUUUUGACAUAUGUACAUUUUUAACCAUGUAUGGUCAUGAUUACUUAUUUAUUAUGGGGUUUUAAAAAACUAUAAUGAGUUUAUUUUAAAAUUAUUAUUAACAUAGGAAAUUGGUUUUAAAGAUUACAUUUUAGGUAAACUAAUUAACACUUGUUAUUUUCAACAAUCUAUAUAACUUUUGCAUGUUUUUGAAUCAUAUAAUAUUAAUGUCAAAUGAUAGCCCAAUUGAUGGCCUCUUUUAGUGUAAGUAAUAAAACAACUAGCUGUAUUGAAACACAAUGCAUGUAAAAACAAAACGGCAAGCCGGUUAAAGAAAAUGACUUGCUGUUUUCGAAUAAAAGGCAUGUUAAAAGAAAUGGCUAGCCUCUUCAUCAUAAACUGCUAACCGUUAUCAAAUAGAAACCAAAAUUUAUGAAAUCGGCUAGCCGUUUUCUUGACAAAUUAAAAAGACACAUUUAGGGUUUAUUCUUCGUUUUCCAUCAUGCAAAUAAUAAACCAAUAAAAAUAAAACACCCACCAUUGACUUGAUACUUGGACAAUUAAACUUGAAACCAAAGGAAUUUGAAACUUAGGGUAAUGUACAUGAAACUUGAGAUCAUUAACUUGCAACCAUUAAUCAUGCAAUUAAUAGAUUUGAAAAACAUGAAACACCUACUUGAUAAUGAGACCGUUAAACCUGAAACCAAAGGAACUUAAAACUUAGGGCACUGAACACAAAACUUGUAAUCAUUAACUUGCUACCAUGAAAAUAAUGAAGUUAAUAGACUAAUAAACAUGAAACAACGACCAUUAACUUGAUACUUGUACCAUUAAACUUGAAACUCAUUUUUUAUUAUUAUAAAAAUAAUUUUUUAUUGUUAUGUAUCCUUUAAUAUUAAAAUAAUGAUUAUCUUAUUAUUAUUUUAUUAAUUAUUUUUUAAUAUUGUUAUAUUUAUUAUUAUUUAAUUCAUUUAAGGGGCAGUUUUUUUUUUUUUUUAAAGUGUUUGGUAGCCAAACAAUUGCUCUGUUUUUUAUAAUUUUUUAUUGCUUGCUUGUAUCACAUACAUGCAUGUAUUGUAGCUAUGCCGAUCUAAUAGAGACACCUUUUAUAAGAUCUAGAGAGUAUUAUCAAAGUAAGAAACAAAGGAGGAAAUUAUGGUAAAAGACUAAAAGGUCAGUGGGUCUGGUUUUAUCUUAUCCAAGUUGCAGCUCUCAAUGUUCAUUUUAAUGUUGGGGACGGUCCCUAACGUGCUUGUUUGUGUGCAGGGUGUAAAUAAGGGCCUUGUUGCAAAGCGAUUACUUUCCACCAUGCAAGAAAGGGAAAUGUUGCCUGAUUUUGUUCUGUGUAUAGGUGAUGACCGAUCUGAUGAGGAUAUGUUGGAAGUAAUCAUCAGUUCCAUGGCAGGUCCAUCCAUUGCUCCUGGGGCAGAUUUGCAUGUACUGUUGGUCGAAAACCCAGAAAAGCCAAGUAUUAUCUGGAUGAUACAGUGGAAAUCGUCAGAUUGAUGCAGGGUUUGGCUUGUGUUGCAGAUCAAAUGGUUCCUGUAUAGGCAUAUCAUCAAUGAAAAAACAGUCACCGCUUUUCCUGUCUCGUGUUUGCAAGUUUAAGGAAGUAGGCUGUGAUUGGUUCCUCCAUUUUGCCCCAGUUCUUUCGCUUUUGGGCUUGACUCGGGGUAACUAGCAUUGUAAAUUGUAAAAUUUCUACUGGAAGCAAACAUUCCAAUGAUUAGUAGUACACAGUGGAACCAAAUCAGAGGGCUUAGGGGCUGUCAAAAAUGGUUAGAACGUGCCUUUGUUAAAUACAAUUAGUAAUAAUAAUAAUAGUAACAACAAACACGUCAUGUGCUUUACGUUUUAUUUAAUCAACCUAUAACCCCAAUACACAUUACACUUUGUACCACUUGAGAAUUUCUAAAUAAUCAUUGUUUGAAUAAAAAGUGUGGAGAUGCAGUAAUUGGAAAGAAAUUCCAUUGUAUUUGCAUUGACAUUCUUUACUAAUGGUAGCCUGCCUGAAUGGGCGGGUCAAUUACCUAAACUUUUCCAGAAUCCCAAAAAUCAUGUGUUAUUUAAAUUAUAAAAUAUGAAUGAGCUCACAAAACCCUCUAUAAAAUCAAAGCCUGUUUAGUCAAUCCAAUUCAGUUUUUCGGUUAAUAGCAAAUACUUAGUUACUUUCAAGCUCUCUGCUAUCUAAAUUCUGAAAGCAUGGCAAAAAUAGCUAGUUACUUAUUGCUACUCUGUGUUUUGUGCAUUACUAGCACAGCCCCGGCAGCAAGUGUUGACACAAGCUACGUGACGACCUUUUGCAAAUCCACCACUUAUCCUGCUCUCUGCAUGCGGUCUCUCUCUGGUUACGCAAGAGUAAUCCGCCGCAGCCCGCGACAGAUGUCACUUGUGGCCUUGUCCGUGAGCCUGUCCAGGACGAAGUCCGCAUAUUCAUUCUUGACAAAAUUGAACAGAUUCAAGAACUUGAAGCCCAAGGAGUAUAGAGCAAUUGCGGACUGCUUGGAAUUAAUGGAUGACUCCGUGGACCGGCUCAGCAAAUCGGUUCAGGAGAUGAAGAACUUGGGCCGAGUCAAGAGUCGGGACUUUUUGUUCCACAUGAGCAACGUUCAAACCUGGGCUAGUGCUGCUUUGACCAAUGGUAACACUUGUCUUGAUGGGUUUGCUGACAAGUCCAUGAAUGGUAAGGUGAAGGAUUCGGUUACGGCUCAGGUUGCGUAUGUUGUUCAGGUCACCAGAAAUGCAUUGGGACUCGUUAACCAGUUUGCUAAUAAUAAUAGACACUGAGACAUGCCUUUCUGUUUCACAUAGAGUAUCAGUCAAAAGUGUGCAUGAGUUUUUUUUUUUUUUUUCCUGCAUUUUUUUUCCAAUUUGUAUCCUCGUCAUUUUCUGAGUUCAUGGGAGUGUUUUGAACAUUUUUGCAAUGUGAUACUUUUGUUUAGGCACUCACCAUAAAUGGUCCUAUUUUGGGCAUGUAAGUUAUAGAAUGUAAGUUGCAAUGCCCCACACGUGAAUGAAAAUCAAUAUAUACAACUGCAUAAUUAUAUUUACCCCACUUUGUUAAUAUUUAUACUUUGUUCAGGCUUUAUUUGGGACUGGCACUUGAUGGAGUUGAUGGCAUGUCACGAAAUGUUCUCAUAUUGCUUUGAAUUUGGUAGAUUUUGGAACUUUGUUAAUGAUCCAACUAUAUGCCUGUUCUCUUUUUUAGCAUUGGGAACUAUUAACGAUUGUUAAAGGGACUGAUUUCUUGGGGGAGUAUAUGUACAAGUUUCAAGAUUAAAAAAUGUACUGAUUGCCAGAACAACUUCUAUAGCUCGGUAGCCAUUUAUGAUUUGUAGGCAAAUUUUGACAAAAAUUUAGUUGUUGUGGGCCAAAUUUUGACAAAAACGUUGUUGGACGUAUUACAGCUAAUCCGUGGAAAUAGAUGGCUUUUUUUUUUUAAUCUGAAGAUAAUUAUUCACUUGUUCGACAUUUUUAAUUUUCAAUACGAGUUACCUCAUCACAGAGAGCAAUCUUCUAUGCAUUGGAGGUAAUAAUCCUUGAUAAAAUGAUAAUUUUAAUUUUAAAGUAACCAACCUAUGAUUAUAUAUAUAUAACAUAUCUUGUUAGACAUAUAUAUGUAUGUAUGUAUAUGUAUGUAUAUAAUAUAAAUACAUCUAUGACAUUAUGACAAGAUAGUAAUCAGAUUGUUGUACGCUUAAUAUGGUACCUAGUUAGUUAUGAUAUAUAGAGGAUUCUCAUGACUAUAAUGUAGAAACCAUAAACUUAUGUAUACUACUAUAACAUAAAAUAAACCAACAAUGAGGAUCAUAAUGGAGAAAUCAUAAAUUUAAAAGGGCCACUUGUAAAAUAUGUAUAUAUAUUAGUAAAAUAUUUAUUUAGUCGUAAAUAUUUUUUCAGUGAUGGGCCUUAUCUUUAUUCGAUUGUUGGUGUAUAGUUGAUGUGGUAUGAAAGAUUUUCUCAAGCAAGAGAAUUAAAAAGCACGCUCAUUUAGAAUUUUAUUGGUAUAUUUUCAGCCAUAAAAUAGAAAAUGAUAUCUUGUAUAAAUGCAUACUCAUGAAGAUGAUCAAGUUACAUGUUUAAUUCAUGUGAAGGUGUAAUUUUUUUUUCCUAAAAUAAAUAAUAAUGCAGAAAUCAAAGUAUCCGCAUGUAACAUGUUAAUUAUAAUUUUAUUAACUAGAAAAAUAAAAACGACCAACAAAACGUUAUCCCCAGUUCGGUUGAUACGACAAAGUAUUGAUGGAUACAUGGAUUCGUGCUGACUUAUUUUGACAAAUGAGUAGUUUUUAACCGAAGUAUAUAAUUUCAUUUAAAGGAAACGUUCGCUUGCCAAACUAGAAGCUAAAGCAGAGUCAAUUUUUUCCUUUCACUAUAUUUUUUUUAAUAACUAAUGAGAACGUUUAGGCGCUACCCAUUCACAUUAUUUUUUUUUCUCUUUUGAUAAUCUUUUCUAAGGUUUCCCAUUUCUUUUUGACCUACUUUUAUUCUUUGAUUUCUUUUACACGGUACAUGUAACCAUUUCCUUAAUUUUUCCUUCCUACUGCGUUUUGUUUAUUAAUUUAACUAUGUAAAUUAUUAGCUAUCUUGCCCUACUUGGUUUUAUACACACACACUCUUGUAUUAAAAUUAUAUUAUAUUUUAUGUGUUUGUGUGUGUGUGUGUACACACACAAUGAAUAACAUUGCUGUCUUGCCUAACUUAGUUAUUGAACAGUGCCAAUUGGGACAAAAAAUUUGACCACGGCAGCUUUUUGCUCCAAUGAAAUUCUGCAGUUUUUUCUUUUCUUUUCUUUUUUUAAUAUAUGAAAUCGAUGUCGCUCUGCUCAAGUGUAACUAAACUUGCGUCAAGUGUGUGGUAAUCUAUGUACGAAUCCAUUGUGUUCUUUAAUUAUAAUGUUAGCUUGUGAUUUCAUUUACUUGCCUCCCCUUUGCAGCCAAGUUUGAAUACCAAUGGAAAAUCGGGUCCAGGUGCUAUGGUACACUUAUGGUACCAUACUAUAACUAUAUUCAGUCAUUAAAUUUAAUUAUAGUGACAAUUAUGAAUUGAAUCCUAUAACUUAAUGCAGCUGUAAUAUAAUACUACAGUUAUACCAUAAUUUUUCCGUGUAAAAUCAGUUUCACACAAAGUCCAUUACGUACAAAGCAGGGCAAUUAUUCUCACUGAUUAAUGUCAUAACCCGCAAUCAUGUUAAUACUUAUAUGCCAUGAUUGGAUUAAUUAAAAUUGCCAAUUUGUCCCCACUAAACGAAAGCACCAGAUCUCAAUAGUACCCAAGAUUAUUUUUCACCCAUCUUUGCUUCCCCAUCGCCGGAAUUUAAGUAAUUAAAAAUGUGAGAGGUGGGUCCAAAAUUGGCUGGCCUCAUGUCGGCAGCGAAAGGCCAGCAAUUCUACCGAAUAUUAAAGUUUUUUUUUUUAAUAUUGUUAUACAGAAUUAAGUACUGUUUAAAUUUUUUAAACUCACUUAAAUAUUUAAAAAUUAUUCACUCUAAUUAUAUUUCGUGAAGGAUAGAUUAAUUCUACUUAAUUAUUUAAUAAUUAAGAAAAAAUUAUAAAUAAUUUUUAUAAGUAUUUUUAUGAAAAUUUAAAUUUUUACACUUAAUAUUGUAAGUGUAAGGACUUUCCCACUGAACAAAGACCCGUUGGUACCGAAUAUUAAAGUUAAUGUAAGAAAUAAACCCUUUUUUUUGAAAUGGAUCAGUGUGGCAUGCGCAUAAAAUAUCAUCCAUUGACUGACAUAGAUAUUAGAUACCACCGCCCUCGGUCCUCGUUCCUGUGCUUAUCCUACUGGUCCAUCACUCUUGUUCGAAGUUUAAGACCAAAAUUGCCCCUAAAGAGUGCUCACAAGCCCUCUAUAAAUCCUGAACCAUAUCAGUUUCUUCUCUCAGAAUCCCACCAAGCAAGCAGAAAGCUUUUAAUUAGUUUCUGAAAACAUGGCAAAAACAGGCUGUCUUUUGCUAUUGCUCUCUCUCCUCUACAUUAUAAGCUUGGUCACAGCUGCCGGGAUUGCUGACACAAGAUUUAUCAGAAGUUCUUGCAAAUCCACAACUUAUCCAGCGCUAUGCGUGCAGUCUCUCUCAGCUUAUGCCCCAUCAAUUCAACAAAGCCCCCGGCAACUGGCUGUCACAGCCUUGUCCGUGAGCCUCUCCAGGGCCCAAUCCGCAAAGUCAUUCGUGACCAAGCUGAGGAAGUUCAGGAACCUGAAGCACAGAGAGUAUGGGGCAAUUGCCGACUGCUUAGAUGAGAUGGGUGACACUGUGGACCGGCUCAGCAAGUCGGUUCAGGAGCUGAACCACAUGGGUCGGGCCAAGGGUCAGGACUUUCUGUGGCACAUGAGCAACGUUGAGACAUGGGUUAGUGCUGCUUUGACUGAUGAGAACACUUGUACUGAUGGGUUCGGUGGCAAGGCCUUGGAGGGUAAGGUUAAGUCCUCUGUUAGGGCUCAGGUUGUUAAUGUUGCUCAGGUCACUAGCAAUGCCCUUUCACUGAUCAAUAAGUUUGCUGGGAAACACUGAGCCGUAGUUAACUAUAUGGCUGUGUGAAUGUUUUGCGAGAGUUUGUGUCUUUUUUAUCUUUGGUUUAGUUUUAAUGUACAAAUUAAUCAUCAGUUCUGAGUGAGUGUUGAUUUUGAGCAUAUCUAUAAAAAUGAGCUUAUGUGAAUGAGCAAAGAUUCUUGUCUUUUAUGGAAAAGUUUUAUUUGAAGAUUGAAAGUGAAAUCUGGGUUAGCGGUUGAUUGAUGAUGACGCUUUCAAACCAAAUCCCUUGAUUGUAGGGAUUGUUUAAUGUAAGCCGAGAAAAAAAUAAAUGAUUAUGAUGGAAAUAAUAGAUGCGCUUGGGGUCCCAUAUGUCUCCUAGUGAAGUAAUGUCAUCGAUUUCAAAAUUUUAUCAUAAAACUUUAUUUAAAAUGGUAUAUCAUUUAUUAUUUAAAUAACCAGGUAAGUAAAAAUUAUCAAAAAUUAUUAAUCACUUAUUAGUCAAUCAUUUGAGAUAAAUUUUAAGACUUCUAACAUUAUUCCUUAUUUUUUUCCCAUAAUAAACAAUAUAAAAAUUAAAAUAUAUUAAUGAACGUUCUUGAUAAAUGAAAUAACUAUCACUCUUAUGCCAAAUGAAAUUCAACCCUAAGCAAUACAUAUAUCCGUGAUUGCCGGAACAAAGAAUAAAUGGGCAUAUCUAUAAAGAAAAUUGACUUACUUAAAAAUUUGUGUUAGAUAAGUCAUUAGAGAAUUUUAUUUUAGACACUGUAAUUUUUGAAAGGAUCACGCUCUCAUGAUUCCCACCUCUCCAUUUUUUUUUAUAGAUUUUAUGCGUAGGUACACUUAUUUCUGCAUGAGUAAUAUAAUAGGUAUCCCAAGUAUUAUAAAUUAUGUCUCAUUGAUAUAAGGUAUAUCAUAAUUUUCUAAAGUAAAUUAAUAAUUUCACAAUUUUUCCGAUGAAUAUUAUUUUGUUAGAGAUGAAAUUUAAAAAUGUCUAAUGUUGUUCAUAGUUUUUUUUUUAAUAGUAAUGUUAUUCAUAGUUGACCACUCAAAACUCUUGAUUUAUUUCAAAAGCAACCAUUGACAUUCACCAUAUUCAUCGGCUACUAGAUAUUUUACCAAAUGCUUAUUUGAAAUUUCUUAUUUAAUAGCUAUAAGUGCUAAUUUAAUUAUAUAAAUUCUUUUGAAAAUUUUUGUUAUUAUUUGAUUUUUUUUCUUUGAGUAGAGCUUUUAAGUAUUAAAUAAGUUAUUUUUCCUCUACUAACUUAGGCUUUUGGGAAUUGAGAAUAAAAAGUUUUUUUAAAUGUUAAUAUGUCUAAAAUAUAUUUUACUUAUUUUAUGAUUUUACUUUAUUUCUUUUAUAACAUAACUUUAAAUAAUUCGUCUAUUAAAAUAAUUUUAUAAUUUUUAAUUAGAACUCUCAUUAACAAUUAAAUAAUUAAUUUUUUAAUAAAAAUUUUGUUUGUAAAAAUACUACCAACAAAAUUUCUACUUAAAUAAAUUUUAUUUAAAACAAAGCGGAUUUAAAAUUCGAUUUUCGUUAAAAAUUAAUAAAUAAAUAACAAUAAUAAAUAAAUAUCCCAUACAUCAAAUAUCUCAAAUUAUAAAAAAGAAAGAAAUAUUUUAUGGACAGUUUUGGUUGGGAGUGUGAAAGCUAGAGGAGGAUAAGAGCAGAGCUGACAAAGAGGACUUUUGGUGGGGUCUUUCAGUGACUGAGACCACGUGACAACCUUUCCGUAAAUGGCCGAAAGCAAUUAAUUAUUUAAAGGGAAUUUUAUUUAAUUCUUCAAAGGAAAUAAGGGAUCACAUGCAUUGAUUGCGCACACUGACACUGCGACUGAGCUGGAGCUUAACAGGUCACAUUAUUUUGUUUUGAAUAUUUUGGCAAGUGGCAUAACUGUUAACGCAACCGUUUGGUCCCCCCAAUAAUGGUCCUGUCCAAUCGGUGCUUGUUUUGUUUUGAAUAGUAUUCUUUUAGCAAACAUAAAUUAAAUACAUAUAUAAUAUAAUAAAAGUAAUUUUAUAAUAAAGAAAUUAUUAUUUUGUUUUAUAGUAUAUUACGAUUUCAUACUUUUUUUAAUCUUUAAUUUAUGUGCAAUUAUUUUAUAUAAUAUAAUUAUUUUUUAAAAGAAAAUACAUACAUAUAUUAGUUAAGACCACUGUUAUGUUACGUUGAGUGUAACAUACACACACUCACAGCAACAAUGCUAAUAAUAAAACUUAUUAUUGUUGCUGUGAGUGUAUGUAUGUUACACUCUACGUAACAUAGGGUAACCUAUUAGUUAAACUUUGACAAAACGGACAGUGACAUUUUGUGUUUUGAUAAAAUCGUCAUUAAUAACAUUUUUAUUUUAAAAAAUAACCACCCACAUUGAAACACUAACUUUUUUUUUUUACAAAAAUUUCAAAAUUUUUUUUUAACCAUAAAACGGAUUUUGAUGGACUUUUUUUUUUAUUGAUUGGGGCUCUAAAAAGAGCUAGAACAACAGAACGGGGGUGAGAAUUUGAUGGACUUUCAAACAUAAAGGAGAAAUGAUUAAUUUUGAUUGAAAAAAAAAAUAGCAUGGAAAAAUGAGUCUCCUGGUUUUUAUUUUUACCAUUACAACACUUGAAAGCCAUUGACCCCAGUCCGUUCCGUACUGGCCCAGCCAGUAGGCACAUGGCUACCCAUUAGUAAACUCAAAACUCACAAGAGGCUCAUAUACACACACACACACACACAUAUAUAUACAUAUACACACACACAUGAGCCCGGUGACUCAAUAUAUCCCAUCCCAUGUCAAUUUUUUUUUUUUUAAAUUUUAUGCUAAAUCAUAAUCGCAAUUGAAGAGAAAUGACAUUCCUCUGACAAGCCAAAUUAAAUGGUUAAAUGAGAUUGUUAAUUUUGUUAAUCACAAAUCUAAAAGACUACAUGCGAAUGCAUUUUGUGUUAUGUAUCUUUCAACUCAAAAACAGAAGUCAAAAAUAAAAAUAAAAUUAUGGUUUAUUCGAUUUUGAAAAUGAAUUUUUAUUUUUAUUUUUUUAAAAUAAGAAAGUGUUAUUAAAAGAUCAUGAAGUCUCAAAGAUUAGAAGUUAAAUGGAUAGAUAAUGGAGAUAAACCAAUCUCAGUAGUCAAGGGCAGAUCGAAAAACUAAAUUCAUUAAGGUAAAAUAAUAAUAAAAAUUAAUAAUUUAUAAAAUUGAUCCUAAUAUCAAAAUUUAUUUGAAAAUUUGUCCUCACUAAAAAUAAAAUUUUCUAAAAACUUAAUAAAAAAAUAAGGAGAAUUUUUUAUUGAGUGAGGUUAAUUGUCCACAUAGACUAUGUAGAUUCGCCCCUAUCAUUAGCGAGUCGUAAGUCAAAACAGAAGGCCUAAGCCUUGCCAAAAUCAAUAUAAUCCACAUAACUGCAUUAAAUCAAAUUAAAAUAAAUUAAAAAAUAACAUGAAAAAAUGAUCCUCUUGCCCUCUUGGUCUUUUUUCUAACAACCCUUCUGUAAACUCACAGCUCACAGGUGGCUCAUUUUUUUACAUUACCCGAGCCGAGUGACUCAAUAUAUCCCAUGGCAGUCCUCUGUCAAGCCAAAUAAAAUGGCUAAAUGAGAUUGCUAACCCCAAAUCUAAAAGUCUAUAUAGGAAUGCACUUGUGUUACGAAUCUUUCAAAUCAAAACAGAAGUCAAAAAUUAAAAAGAAAUUAGGGUUUAAUCGACUUUGAAAAUGACUUUUUUUUUUUUUUUUGAAAUAAGAAAGUAUUAUUAUCGAAUUAUGAAGUCUCAAAGAUUAGAAGCUAAAUGAAUGGAUAAUGGAGAUAAACCAAUUUCAUUAGUCAGAGAAAGAUAAAAAAAUUCAUUUAUUGGGGGCAAAAUAAUAAUAAAAAUUAAUAAUUAUAGAAUUGAUCCUAAGAUAAAAAAUUCUUUAAAAAUUUUUUCCCACUUAAAUAAAAUUUUCUAAAAAAUUAAUAGGAAAAUAAGGGAAAUUUUGUUGAGUAGGGAAUUUUUGCCAUUAUCGAGUCAUAAGCCAAAACAGAAAGUUUAAAGGCUCAACAAAAUCAACAUCGUCUACAUAACUGUAUUAAAUUAAAUUAAAUUUCUUUUCAAACAUAUUAUGUUGUUACAUUUGCUUUUCAUCUUAAUUUUUUCAGUAAUUAACAGCUUGAUUCGGGUCACAGUCGUGUACAUAUAUUAGGAUUAAUUGAUUUUGUUCUCACCAUUAAUUUGGGGUGGGUGCUAAUAGGAUUAAUUGAUGAAACCUGAGAUAAUAUAUAUAUAUACAUAUACUCCACUAAUAUAGAUAAGGAAGAAAUUUUAUUUAUUAUUUAUUUAUUUUUGGUACACAGGGGCUCCUCAGAAAUUUUAUUUUUCAUUUCUACAAUACUCUUGGAUAUUCUUAAUAAAGCUUUUCACGUACCUUCAAGAUUUAUAUAAAAAGAUAAAAACUUUUUAAAGUAAGUCUUGGGACUUCCCUUGUAAUUUCUUCAUCCGUUGAAUCAUUGACACGUGCAUUUUUCAAUUGAUCACGUUAGAGUAAAUGUAGUAGUUUAAUUUAAGAAUUUAAUGAAUAAGGGAGGAGCACAUAUUAGUUGUUUUUUUUAUUAAUGUAAUGUACGUAAUUAAGAAUAAAUUUUUUUCAAAAAUUUACCAUAUCUUUAGCGUAACUUCUUAGUUGGCUUUUAGAACUGCAAAUUAUUAGAGUUUUUGAAUGGAUCGAAUCAUGCCGAUUUGAUUUUUAAUAUUGAGGUUUAUGAUUUAAAAGCAUCUGUAUUUAAUGUCUGAAUAUAUAGUUUGUCUGUUUAGCGUGCAUAUCGCGUUGCAUGUUUUGAACUUGACUGACUCUCGUGAGCUUUCUCAUUUUUUAAUUUUUUUUUUUUGGGGAUAAGAAACUAUUUUAAAUGAAUUUAACUUUGUCUAAUAUGAUUAGAGGCCUAUAGACAAAAUUAUUAAUAUUAGACAAUUACGCUAAGUUAAACCCUCCCUAUGUUAAUAUUAAAAUAAAUUGGUGCUUGUUUUUUUGUCUGAAAUCUAAAUAUACUUGAAUUAGUCUGAAUUCUAAACAAAACAGAAUGUCUGAAUAUGAAUAAUAUGUAAACAAAGUUAUUAAUAUUAGACAAUCAAGCUAAGUUAAACCCUCCUAUGUUAACAUUAAAAUAAACUAACGCUUGUUUUUUUGUUUGAAAUCUAAAUAUACUUGAAUUAGUCUGAAUUAUGAACAAAACUGAGUGU